rnacentral:lncRNA from 1 species
GAGGGUGUCCGAUUCCUAAUGCGUGAAGCGAAAAAAAUAAGUUAAAAAGGGUAUUUAUUUAUUGGUACAAAGGCCCAAACGUAAAGCCUAAUUUAAGAGAGAGCAUCUUCGUAUACCUUUUGCGUCUGCGACUUUAGUAGUCUACAGAUUCAAAUUCGAGGUUUUAAAAUUAAAAAUCAGAGAUGAUGAAGCAUGUCAUCGUGGCUGGUGUUUUCGCGAUGAUGAUCCCCUUCGCCUUCCCCGAUGCGCUAGCUCCAGCUCUCUUCUGCGUCUUCGUCGCCUUCUGCUCGCUGUUGUGCCUUGCGAUAGCAUCGAAGAAGAAAAAAACCGCCGAUCCCAGGGUUGCGCGACUUAUUGAGAACAUGGAUAAUCUCCAAGCAAUCGCUCUCAUGGCGGUUAUGCUCAAACCAGACGCCGCUGAGACGGAAGAGCUCUACGAGGCGGCGGCUGUGACAGAAGAGAUCUUGCCAAGCUCUGUGAUCUCGUGAAAGAGUUUGGGGAUGAUCAGAGCCAAGGAAGGAAGGAAGGAAGAGACCGUAGACCGUAUCGUAUAAUAUUAAUAAGUGUUUUUAGAGUUUGGGGAUGAUCGUGUUGCUGUUCUUCUAUCUCUUUCGUUGUUGGCUGCAAAAUCUAUAAUUACAUUUAACAAAAUCUCCUUUUAUUGUAUCUCUUCUUUAAUCUAAAUUAGGCUUUCAAAUCCAAGGAUCCUAAUCUCAUCUUUAUGGGUUGCUUUGUCAUAUUGGCUCUAACAGCAAGCAAGCAAAGCACAACUUGUUUCAUAUAUUUUGACUCUUGAUUUCUUCUGCUUACAGUUUGACAAAUAUUGUUCUGAGUUUCUUCUACCCAAGGACAUCAUCUUCUUGUUGUUAAUAUGUUCUGAUUGUUGACGCUGCCCAAGGAUGUUUGCUUCUUUAUAAGCUUAUUUGCACUUCUCUACUUGGUAUUAAAGGGCUUGCAAACUAUUUCUUCAAUCUUGCUCUGAGCCAGCCAAUUACAUUUUGGAUUAUCCGCAUAAAUAGUAACCUUUUUUUUAUCGAACAACAUCUUCCAUAUUCUUCAUAAAAUUCAAUUUAUUUUACAUGUUAAAAAGCACGAUUAUUUGUAAUAAUGUUUAUUUGUAGCAGCUAGUGACUUGUGUCGUUUGUAAAAAGUCUCUAGCGUUGUUCCUUGGUCAAAAAGACCUAUAGUUAUUCCACUUUCCUGACGUUGCUGAGCUCAUCCACACCGUCUCCUCUCUCAAACACCCCGGCUGCUCCCAUUCCCGACCCUGCACGGUUUCCCAAAACCAUACCUCAGUGAGAGUGAGAGAUUGAUAUUAGAUAUUAGCUAGUGAGAAAUGAACAUACCUAUGCACAUUGUCACUACUCCAAAACGGCAGUCUUUACCACGACGUUUCAUCUCGUGCAGCAGCGUUGCAACGCAUCUGGCCCCUGAGAAAGUGCAACAGAGUCUUGUUUGUUCUAUGGAACUCACUAACCAUAUGGGGGAACCUGGAUGAAGCAUAUACCUGUAGCGCCUAAGGGAUGUCCAAUGGCUAUAGCCCCUCCAUUGACAUUGAUCUUCUCCGGGUCUAGCCCCAGCUUGUUCCGACAAUAAACAAACUGAGAUGCAAAUGCCUAAACAAACACCGUAGUUUUUUAGACACAGGACAUAAGGGGUGGAUAUAGAAAGAAGAGUUGUUCUAUGCUUUUUAACCUCAUUGAUCUCAAACAAGUCGAUGUCAUCGAGUUCCAAACCAGCUGCCUUGACGGGAGCAGGAAUAGCAGCAGCUGGCCCAACGCCCAUAACCGCUGGAUCCACACCAACUGCAGCAAAUGUCCUGCAAUGUGUCAAAGAGUGCUUUAGUUUUUACUCAAAUGAAGGUUAAUAUAAAAAAAUAUCAAACGUACCUGAAUACACCAAGAAUGGGAAGCCCUUUCUGCAUUGCGACACUCCUCUUCAUGAGGAGAACUGCUCCUGCACCAUCACUUACUUGGCUAGAGUUUCCUGUUCAAACACAAGUGAAGCACUGAGUUCACAGUUACAAACAAAACAAACAAAAAUCUCAGCGGUGUGAAUAUAGUACCAGCAGUUGUGGAUCCGUCUUGCUUAAACACAGGCUUAAGCUUUGCAAGGCCGGAAAGGGUUGUGCUAGGUCGAAUCCCAUCGUCCACAGAAACUGUUAUGGGCUUCUCAUCACAUGUCUUUGGGUCAACAAUCUGAAACGUUAAAAACCAAAAGUCAUUAACAUGGGGAAAGAGCACUUGACUCAUCAGAUGAAGUCAUCAGGUUGUAAAACAGAAUCUACCCUGGUGUUUACUGGAGUUAUUUCAUCCUUGAAUUUACCGGAAGCAGUAGCAGAAGCGGCCUUUCUGUGAGAAUCAACCUACACAUGUAGCUCCAUAAACUAAUGCUGGCAGGUAACAUCCAAGUACAUGCAUUAGAAGUAGUUAGAAAGUUUUAUUAGAGUUACAGCAGCUUGAUCCUGCUCCUCCCUUGAGACACCAAACCGGUGCGCUACAUUCUCUGAAGUAAUACCCAUUGGAAGAAGGCAACUUUGUGCUUGUUCAAACUUCUUCACCUGCAACAACAGAAUAGGUAGGGCUUAAAAUUUUAAAACAUUCAAAGGAGGGAGAGAGAGAGACAAGAGGUACCUUUGGGUUGACUGAUCCUUUCCAUCCCCUUGGACUAGUUGUCAUGGACUCAAGCCCAGCUCCAAUACCUGUAAUCCAAACCUAUUGUCAGCUCAAUUCUUCACGCCAACCAAAGGACAGUGACUCCCUUACCAAUGUCAUAGAACCCUGCUUUGAUGGCGGCAGCAACGUCAGCAACAGCCUGAAGCCCGGAUGAACACUGUCUGUUCACAGUUCUAAUAGGAACAGUUUCUUUCCAACAAAAACAUAAAAUCAUAAGCAUAAGAUUCUGUACUACAGAUCCCCUAAAUAAACAAGAAAUCUCUCACCGGGGAAGCCAGCAUAGAAAGCAGCCAUCCUGAACUCAGUGGCUUUCUGAGAUCCUGAUCCCAAAACAGUACCAACUACAAUGUCACCAACUUCACUUGGGUUCAACUUCGUCUUCUCUAUCACCGCCUGCCAACAAAAAGCCACGACUUUGGAAAAGAGUGGGGAGAAGCAAAACAGAAUUGAAGAAAGACUUAGACAUACUCUCAGCACAGGUGCAAGUAGCUCGUCUGGAUAUGUAUCCUUGAAGCUUCCACGUUUUGCCUUGCAAAGUGCUGUCCUUUGUGCCCUGUUGAGUGUUUCAUCAAUCACAAAUAAUCUUUUAGAAAAUAAUUGAUUUUUUUUUUUUCAAAAGAAGACCAAAGAAAAAAAGAGAAAGAGAGAAACUUAACGCGACGAUGACAACAUCAUCUCCAUACAGAGAGGUCCUCUGAUACGCAGCACUGUCUCCCGCUAAGCAAGCUGAGACCUUUCGACAAGGCAACAACAACACAUAAACAUAAAAGAUUAACACUUUGAAACAGAAUUGAACAGAAAAAUCAUGAAAAAUUAGCGAUCGGAGGAGCUUACAGAGAGAGAAGAAGCCUGGGAAGAAGACGGAGGAGGAGGUCGCAGAUGGUGAAGCAGUACUCUUUGUCUCUCGAUCGCCUUCUCCAUUUUCGCUCAGUUCUGUUACAGAGAAAACUCUAAAUCUUAAUCAAAACCGUUAUAAUCAAUCAAACAACUGUUUAAUAUCUCCGGUUAAAAUAUUUGGUUUAUUCCGGUUCAGUAUUUAGCUGGUUCUCGCGCCGAAACGACGUCGUCUUUUUCCUUUAGGGUUUUAGAUAUUUUCUUACAUAUUUAGCUUCUCUCCUUGCAGAAAAACACUUUCGUCCGUCAUUUUUUCUCGACGGCUCGGUUCUCUUUCUCCACCUCUCACCUCGCCGCUUCGUUUCUCGACGUAAGUCUCUCAAUUCUUUAGUCUCCUUUGGCUUGUGGAAUUGACUCUCUCUGCUCUAUGUAUUCCCCAUUCGGUUCUACUUACCCUGUUUUGUUGUUUCUUAUGCGUUUUGGUUUCAAUUAGUAUCUCCCUAGCUAAUCAGUUCUUUACUUAAUCAAAGCUUUUAACUUUUAUGCUUUAUGAUGAAGCUUGUGACUUGUUAUGUCUAUACAGUUUAUUACAAAACUAUAUUACUGUUCUUGGUUCAGUUUUAUUACAAAACUAUAUUGACUUGUUUGAUGUCUUUUAUUACAAGACUAUAAUGAUUUGUUGGCUGUUCUUUCUUCAGUUUUAUUACAAAACUGUAAUGAUUUGUUUGCUGUUCUCGGUUCAGUUUCAUUACAAAACCAUAUUGACUUGUUUGUUGUUUUGGUUCAGUUUUAUUACAAGACCAUAAUGAUUUGUUUGCUGUUCUUUUUUUUUUUUUUUUUUUAAUUUGAUGUUUUUUUAAUUCAUAUGUGCAGAUCAAUUAGCAAAAAAAUGGUGCAAUACAAUUUCAAGAAGAUCACAGUCGUUCCCAAUGGGAAAGACUUCAUCGACAUCAUCCUCUCACGCACCCAGCGCCAGACCCCAACCGUCGUCCACAAGGGCUACAAAAUCAACCGCCUCCGCCAGUUCUACAUGCGCAAAGUCAAGUACACUCAGACCAACUUCCACGAGAAGCUCUCCACCAUCAUCGAAGAGUUCCCUCGCCUCGACCAGAUCCACCCUUUCUACGGAGACCUCCUCCACGUCCUCUACAACAAGGAUCACUACAAGCUCGCUCUUGGCCAAGUCAACACCGCUAGAAACUUGAUCAGCAAGAUUGCUAAAGACUACGUGAAGCUCCUCAAGUACGGUGACUCCUUGUACCGUUGCAAGUGUCUGAAAGUCGCUGCUCUUGGUCGUAUGUGCACUGUGUUGAAGAGGAUCACUCCUAGUUUGGCGUACUUGGAGCAGAUCAGGCAGCACAUGGCGAGGCUUCCUUCGAUUGACCCCAACACUAGGACGGUCUUGAUCUGUGGGUAUCCUAAUGUGGGGAAGAGUUCUUUUAUGAACAAAGUGACUAGAGCUGAUGUUGAUGUGCAGCCUUACGCCUUCACCACUAAGUCGUUGUUUGUUGGUCAUACUGAUUAUAAGUACUUGAGGUAUCAGGUGAUUGACACUCCCGGGAUCUUGGACAGGCCAUUUGAGGAUCGGAACAUUAUUGAGAUGUGUAGUAUCACUGCCUUGGCGCAUCUUAGAGCUGCUGUGUUGUUCUUUCUUGACAUCUCAGGGUCGUGCGGUUACACUAUUGCUCAGCAGGCGGCGCUUUUCCAUAGUAUAAAGUCUCUGUUCAUGAACAAGCCGUUGGUGAUUGUCUGCAACAAGACUGAUCUGAUGCCAAUGGAGAAUAUUUCCGAACAUGAUAAGAAGCUUAUUGACGAGAUGAAAGCUGAAGCGAUGAAGACUGCUAUGGGAGCGAGCGAGGAAGCUGUGCUGUUGAAGAUGAGCACUCUUACUGAAGAGGGAGUGAUGUCUGUGAAGAAUGCUGCGUGUGAGAGGCUGUUGGAUCAGAGGGUUGAGGCCAAGAUGAAGUCCAAGAAGAUCAACGACCACUUGAACAGGUUCCACGUGGCGAUCCCCAAGCCUCGCGAUAACGUGGAGAGACCACAUAGCAUACCUCAGGUGGUUCUGGAGGCUAAGGCUAAAGAAGCUGCUGAGAAGGAGAAGCGGAAGACUGAGAAGGAUCUUGAAGAGGAGAACGGAGGAGCUGGAGUGUACUCCGCUAGCUUGAGGAAGCAUUACAUCUUGGAGCACGAUGAGUGGAAGGAGGACAUAAUCCCUGAGAUCCUCGACGGUCACAACGUCGCUGACUUCCUUGAUCCGGACAUUCUGCUGAGGCUCGAGGAGCUGGAGCGGGAGGAAGCCAUCAGACAAGCUAACGGCGAGGAGGAAGAUUUUGAAAUGGAUGGCGAGGAGCUUACCGAGGAGCAGAAGGAGCAGCUUGCUAAGAUUAGGAACAAGAAAGCUGUGCUUAUCCGAGAGCAUAGGCUCAAGAAGACGGUUGCACAGAACAGAUCAACAGUCCCAAGGAAGUUUGAUAAAGACAACAAGUACACGACCAAGAGAAUGGGGAGAGAGCUGUCUUCUCUGGGGCUUGAUCCGUCUGCUGCGGUGGACCGCGCGAGGAGCAAGUCGAGAGGGAGGAAGAGGGACCGGUCGGAAGAUGCGAUGGAUGUGGAUGAUGAGCAAGAGGGGAACAAGAAGAUGCGCGUGAGGUCGAAGUCGAGGUCUAUGUCGAUAUCGAGGUCACAGUCUAGGCCGCCUGCUCAUGAGGUUGUGCCUGGCGAUGGGUUUAAAGACUCUACUCAGAAGAAGGCGGCGCUCAAGAUUAGCAACAGCUCUCACAAGAAGAGAGACAAGAAUGCGAGACGCGGUGAGGCUGAUAGAGUUAUACCGACUCUGAGGCCGAAACAUUUGUUCUCGGGGAAGAGAGGGAAAGGAAAAACAGACAGGCGUUGAUGAAACCAGACAAGGUACUCUAACAAACUCCAUUGUUUCUGUUAGUUUGGUGAUAUCUUAUCUCGAUAUUAAUGUGUUAUUUGGUUGUGUUAUUACAGGGAAAACAGAUGAUGGAUGGAUUGAAGAACAUGUCUCGAGUUUUGGAUUAUGCUUUACUUUUUGUUUACUACUAUUAUUAUGUUAUGCGUCUUUUGUGGUUUAUCGACAGACAUUAUAUGGAACAUUGUAGCUUCUUCUGCGAGCAUUGUGUUUCAAUGACUAAGAAUCGUUUUAAUAGAUUUAUUUUAAUUGAUCUUUUCAUUGCAAUGGUUAGUUAUAAGUUGGUGUUUAACAGUGCAAGUGAUCUAGUUCUUCUUUUUUGAGUCUAAAUCACAUCAAUGAGCUAUGUGCCAGAGCCUCAAAUCUUGAAAUUAUGUUUCUUUGGUGAAGAAAACUUGUGUGUUUUACUCGAGAUCCUUAACUUUUCUUUGUGUACAACUUUCACCUGAACCCUGUAAAUGCCUUGAUACUAAUUUACAAACUCAACACACCUUACGUUUUGAGUUUUUUCUCUAAACGUUCGUUAGAGCUCUUUUAGGAUCGUCGCUUGGGUUGCAAGGCAACAGUUGUUCAACAAUCUCAGUGAAAUGGUAAAGGUAAUUUUUUACCGUUGUGAUCAAUCUUUCUUCUUUUCUUAUUUGACUAAAGGAAAUACAGUUGUCACUCACAACUGACAUGCAUGCAUGAUAGAUUAUUACCGAGUCCCGAAAACAUACGACCGUUACACGGUAAGAAAGUUUAUUACUUUUGUGAUCAAUUUCCAUUUUCCUUUUGCAGCAUUAAUUAGAAAAGAAAAUUAUACUACGGACGUAUUGUUAUAAAUCAAGUGAUGAAUGUCUAUAACCAGCCCGAUACAUAAACCGACCGAAACCCUAGAGAGAGACGGUCCAAACCCUAGAGAGAGACGGCGGCCGCGACCUGGAGAGAGAGAAAGUCGGCCAUGACUUUUCAUUAUUCUAGUUUUCCUAUUCUUUUUUGGUUUAUGAUUUAGUAAUUAUCAUAAAUCAUGUUGGAUUAGGAUUUGUACUAUUUCCUUUUAUUUUUAUCUUGUAAUCCUUAUAUAAAGGAACAUAUGAUUCAUUAAUAAUAAGAACAAAAACAUUCAGUUCUCAGACCCUCUAUUUUCAACACGUUAUCAGCACGAUAGACUCCCAAAAACCUUGAGAAAGAAAAAUCGCUAAACCCUAACCUAAACCGACGAUCGUACCUAAACCCUAACCCGAUCGCAUACCGUCCGUUCCAGGAAGCUUUACCGUCCGUUCCAGGAAGCUUUACCGUCUCAGCCUGAUACGAUCUUAGCUCAGACGAUCUCUUACGUCCUCAGCUUGCAUCCCGGAUGACCUCAGCUUCACGUUCGGCAUCACAUCCAGCUCGCGUUCCAAAACAGACGCCCGCAAACCCGAUAGAAAGAAGACGCGCCCCGCUCCAACUCAGAUCGCGUCCAACGCCCUCAGCACACAUCCGCGACCAGACGCAAAACCGUUCCAGACAGCUCACGUCCGUCCUCAAACUCGCGACCUGAUAGGAGCCAGCGUCCGUACGGGUGAAGAUAGAGGUUCAUCCGACUUUGGUGGUCCGGUUCUCACCCCUACAAACAAAGGUAUAUCAUCAAUCUGAGAACAUAGAAGAACAAACCCUAAAAUCCUAAUCCAUUAUUAUGGAAACCCCUUGUUCUUGAUGAAACCCUAAAAUUCAUAUAACUUAAAAUCGACAAUCUCAUGACUAGUAACAAAAAUCGAUUCACUAGAACAUAUUUGAUUGUGUGUUGAUUGUUUCUGAUUUGAAUUUAAGAAACCCUAAUAAUUGGAAUUGAAACCCUAUAAACCCUAAAAAGCUUGAAUUCGUUUUUGAUUGAUAUUGCUUGAUUGAAUGAAUGAUUUGUUUGCUGUUCUCGGUUCAGUUUCAUUACAAAACCAUAUUGACUUGUUUGUUGUUUUGGUUCAGUUUUAUUACAAGACCAUAAUGAUUUGUUUGCUGUUCUUUUUUUUUUUUUUUUUUUAAUUUGAUGUUUUUUUAAUUCAUAUGUGCAGAUCAAUUAGCAAAAAAAUGGUGCAAUACAAUUUCAAGAAGAUCACAGUCGUUCCCAAUGGGAAAGACUUCAUCGACAUCAUCCUCUCACGCACCCAGCGCCAGACCCCAACCGUCGUCCACAAGGGCUACAAAAUCAACCGCCUCCGCCAGUUCUACAUGCGCAAAGUCAAGUACACUCAGACCAACUUCCACGAGAAGCUCUCCACCAUCAUCGAAGAGUUCCCUCGCCUCGACCAGAUCCACCCUUUCUACGGAGACCUCCUCCACGUCCUCUACAACAAGGAUCACUACAAGCUCGCUCUUGGCCAAGUCAACACCGCUAGAAACUUGAUCAGCAAGAUUGCUAAAGACUACGUGAAGCUCCUCAAGUACGGUGACUCCUUGUACCGUUGCAAGUGUCUGAAAGUCGCUGCUCUUGGUCGUAUGUGCACUGUGUUGAAGAGGAUCACUCCUAGUUUGGCGUACUUGGAGCAGAUCAGGCAGCACAUGGCGAGGCUUCCUUCGAUUGACCCCAACACUAGGACGGUCUUGAUCUGUGGGUAUCCUAAUGUGGGGAAGAGUUCUUUUAUGAACAAAGUGACUAGAGCUGAUGUUGAUGUGCAGCCUUACGCCUUCACCACUAAGUCGUUGUUUGUUGGUCAUACUGAUUAUAAGUACUUGAGGUAUCAGGUGAUUGACACUCCCGGGAUCUUGGACAGGCCAUUUGAGGAUCGGAACAUUAUUGAGAUGUGUAGUAUCACUGCCUUGGCGCAUCUUAGAGCUGCUGUGUUGUUCUUUCUUGACAUCUCAGGGUCGUGCGGUUACACUAUUGCUCAGCAGGCGGCGCUUUUCCAUAGUAUAAAGUCUCUGUUCAUGAACAAGCCGUUGGUGAUUGUCUGCAACAAGACUGAUCUGAUGCCAAUGGAGAAUAUUUCCGAACAUGAUAAGAAGCUUAUUGACGAGAUGAAAGCUGAAGCGAUGAAGACUGCUAUGGGAGCGAGCGAGGAAGCUGUGCUGUUGAAGAUGAGCACUCUUACUGAAGAGGGAGUGAUGUCUGUGAAGAAUGCUGCGUGUGAGAGGCUGUUGGAUCAGAGGGUUGAGGCCAAGAUGAAGUCCAAGAAGAUCAACGACCACUUGAACAGGUUCCACGUGGCGAUCCCCAAGCCUCGCGAUAACGUGGAGAGACCACAUAGCAUACCUCAGGUGGUUCUGGAGGCUAAGGCUAAAGAAGCUGCUGAGAAGGAGAAGCGGAAGACUGAGAAGGAUCUUGAAGAGGAGAACGGAGGAGCUGGAGUGUACUCCGCUAGCUUGAGGAAGCAUUACAUCUUGGAGCACGAUGAGUGGAAGGAGGACAUAAUCCCUGAGAUCCUCGACGGUCACAACGUCGCUGACUUCCUUGAUCCGGACAUUCUGCUGAGGCUCGAGGAGCUGGAGCGGGAGGAAGCCAUCAGACAAGCUAACGGCGAGGAGGAAGAUUUUGAAAUGGAUGGCGAGGAGCUUACCGAGGAGCAGAAGGAGCAGCUUGCUAAGAUUAGGAACAAGAAAGCUGUGCUUAUCCGAGAGCAUAGGCUCAAGAAGACGGUUGCACAGAACAGAUCAACAGUCCCAAGGAAGUUUGAUAAAGACAACAAGUACACGACCAAGAGAAUGGGGAGAGAGCUGUCUUCUCUGGGGCUUGAUCCGUCUGCUGCGGUGGACCGCGCGAGGAGCAAGUCGAGAGGGAGGAAGAGGGACCGGUCGGAAGAUGCGAUGGAUGUGGAUGAUGAGCAAGAGGGGAACAAGAAGAUGCGCGUGAGGUCGAAGUCGAGGUCUAUGUCGAUAUCGAGGUCACAGUCUAGGCCGCCUGCUCAUGAGGUUGUGCCUGGCGAUGGGUUUAAAGACUCUACUCAGAAGAAGGCGGCGCUCAAGAUUAGCAACAGCUCUCACAAGAAGAGAGACAAGAAUGCGAGACGCGGUGAGGCUGAUAGAGUUAUACCGACUCUGAGGCCGAAACAUUUGUUCUCGGGGAAGAGAGGGAAAGGAAAAACAGACAGGCGUUGAUGAAACCAGACAAGGUACUCUAACAAACUCCAUUGUUUCUGUUAGUUUGGUGAUAUCUUAUCUCGAUAUUAAUGUGUUAUUUGGUUGUGUUAUUACAGGGAAAACAGAUGAUGGAUGGAUUGAAGAACAUGUCUCGAGUUUUGGAUUAUGCUUUACUUUUUGUUUACUACUAUUAUUAUGUUAUGCGUCUUUUGUGGUUUAUCGACAGACAUUAUAUGGAACAUUGUAGCUUCUUCUGCGAGCAUUGUGUUUCAAUGACUAAGAAUCGUUUUAAUAGAUUUAUUUUAAUUGAUCUUUUCAUUGCAAUGGUUAGUUAUAAGUUGGUGUUUAACAGUGCAAGUGAUCUAGUUCUUCUUUUUUGAGUCUAAAUCACAUCAAUGAGCUAUGUGCCAGAGCCUCAAAUCUUGAAAUUAUGUUUCUUUGGUGAAGAAAACUUGUGUGUUUUACUCGAGAUCCUUAACUUUUCUUUGUGUACAACUUUCACCUGAACCCUGUAAAUGCCUUGAUACUAAUUUACAAACUCAACACACCUUACGUUUUGAGUUUUUUCUCUAAACGUUCGUUAGAGCUCUUUUAGGAUCGUCGCUUGGGUUGCAAGGCAACAGUUGUUCAACAAUCUCAGUGAAAUGGUAAAGGUAAUUUUUUACCGUUGUGAUCAAUCUUUCUUCUUUUCUUAUUUGACUAAAGGAAAUACAGUUGUCACUCACAACUGACAUGCAUGCAUGAUAGAUUAUUACCGAGUCCCGAAAACAUACGACCGUUACACGGUAAGAAAGUUUAUUACUUUUGUGAUCAAUUUCCAUUUUCCUUUUGCAGCAUUAAUUAGAAAAGAAAAUUAUACUACGGACGUAUUGUUAUAAAUCAAGUGAUGAAUGUCUAUAACCAGCCCGAUACAUAAACCGACCGAAACCCUAGAGAGAGACGGUCCAAACCCUAGAGAGAGACGGCGGCCGCGACCUGGAGAGAGAGAAAGUCGGCCAUGACUUUUCAUUAUUCUAGUUUUCCUAUUCUUUUUUGGUUUAUGAUUUAGUAAUUAUCAUAAAUCAUGUUGGAUUAGGAUUUGUACUAUUUCCUUUUAUUUUUAUCUUGUAAUCCUUAUAUAAAGGAACAUAUGAUUCAUUAAUAAUAAGAACAAAAACAUUCAGUUCUCAGACCCUCUAUUUUCAACACGUUAUCAGCACGAUAGACUCCCAAAAACCUUGAGAAAGAAAAAUCGCUAAACCCUAACCUAAACCGACGAUCGUACCUAAACCCUAACCCGAUCGCAUACCGUCCGUUCCAGGAAGCUUUACCGUCCGUUCCAGGAAGCUUUACCGUCUCAGCCUGAUACGAUCUUAGCUCAGACGAUCUCUUACGUCCUCAGCUUGCAUCCCGGAUGACCUCAGCUUCACGUUCGGCAUCACAUCCAGCUCGCGUUCCAAAACAGACGCCCGCAAACCCGAUAGAAAGAAGACGCGCCCCGCUCCAACUCAGAUCGCGUCCAACGCCCUCAGCACACAUCCGCGACCAGACGCAAAACCGUUCCAGACAGCUCACGUCCGUCCUCAAACUCGCGACCUGAUAGGAGCCAGCGUCCGUACGGGUGAAGAUAGAGGUUCAUCCGACUUUGGUGGUCCGGUUCUCACCCCUACAAACAAAGGUAUAUCAUCAAUCUGAGAACAUAGAAGAACAAACCCUAAAAUCCUAAUCCAUUAUUAUGGAAACCCCUUGUUCUUGAUGAAACCCUAAAAUUCAUAUAACUUAAAAUCGACAAUCUCAUGACUAGUAACAGAAAUCGAUUCACUAGAACAUAUUUGAUUGUGUGUUGAUUGUUUCUGAUUUGAAUUUAAGAAACCCUAAUAAUUGGAAUUGAAACCCUAUAAACCCUAAAAAGCUUGAAUUCGUUUUUGAUUGAUAUUGCUUGAUUGAAUGAGUGGUGAUAUGAAGAUUGCUAGAUUGAUUGAAUCUCAAAACUAAAACCCUAAAGGCCUUGAAACCUUAAAUCUCACAUUGCUUGAAAGAUUGGUUUAAAGUUUAGGAUUAUUUACAUAUUGCAUGAAAGUUAGGUUGCUAGAUUACUUGAUUCUAAAAACCUAAAAUCUAGCUGAUCAUUACCAACCUUGAAAUUGGUAAAACCUAAUUGAUAUGCAACUAAAUAAUAAGAUUGAAUGCAUCUAAUUUGAUCAUCAUGUUUUUACAUUAUGGCCGUGUGGCUUUGCUUGAUAAUAUUGACUAGCAUUGUUUAAAUCAUGAGAUUAAAAGUCGUGUGGCAUAAUGCAUAUCUAUGUAGCCGUGUGGCCUAGUAUCCGGAUGGUCAUAUGACCCGGAUCGCAUUAUGAUCCGAUCUUUAGGAUCGUUGCAUUACAUUAUAAUGGCCAUGAGGCCUAAGCAUCACAAUAUGUGACCGUGUGGUCCAAGAAUCAUAUAUAGACUUUGCAUUCUCGAGUUGUCUCGCACCAUGGUCGAGUAGUAAAUUGUUUUGGUCGAGAGAUUUAUGAAAUCAUAUGCACUAAUUAUUCUGAAUUAGUUGCACUCUAAAUCAAGAAUUGAUUAAUAAUAUGAUUUCAGAUGCCGAGAUUUGAGCCUUUGGAUUAUGCCAUCCUAAAUCUCUCUGGAGAUAAUUAUCCAGAAUGAGAAAUGAACACUUCAAUUGCCCUGAAGUCUAGAGGACUCAGGAAAUAUAUCAUUGAUGGCAAUAAUGAAAUUGAAAGUAAAAAGCAUAGAGCCAUAACAAUUAUGCGCUAUCAUCUCACUGAGGAACUGAGAAAUCAAUAUCAAAAUAUUGAGGAUCCUUGUGACCUUUGGAUAAGACUAAAAUCCAGAUACUCAAUGGAAUUAUGGCGAAAAGCCAUGAAUGAAUGGAAGAUUCUCAAGUUCCAGGAUUUUGAAUCCGUGGACAAAUAUAAUUCUGCUCUGAUGAAAAUCGCCCAUAGUCUUGAACUAUGUGGUGAAGUGGUAACAGAUGAGGAUUUAUUAUAUAAAACCUGUUCCACAUUCCAUCCAAAGGAUCAGUUGUUAUCAUAUAAGGCUAAGGGUUUCACAACCUAUAAUGACCUAUUGUCAUACCUAUUGACAACUGAACAAAGAGAGCAGAAGGUUAUAGAUACCAUUAGCAGAUUUGAAAAACUUUAGAAAAGAUACAUAGAGCAACAAAAGCAGUGAGAUGAGAUAUCCUGAGGAAUUGGAUCACGAUGAAUCCAAGGCAGCCGUGUCCACAAUAACAGAAGCUGUGGCCGGCUUAUAGAAAAGAUCUCGACGUUUUAUAUUUUAAAUCUUUGAUUUUGUGAUUUGCUUUAAACCUAAUUGUCAUUCACGAUUUUAUAUAUAUAAUAGAAUUUUUUUUGAGAUCAUUACCUUGCCUGAUCUUACUUGAAUAUAUGAAUGAUUCUAUUGAUAAUGAAUCGCCUAAAGGGCAUAGGCAUUACCAAGUAAGAAAUCGUGAAUGGGGUAUAGUAGCCUAGUAAGAAACUAUGGCCAAGGCAUUGUCUAAAGGGCAUUAGAUACACCCAAUAAUAUGUGACCCAUUGAGUUAUAAUAAAAUGGUUUCUAAAUAGAAACAAUGGGCAAACAAAAGGAAAUAAGUUCCUUCAGAUUUGAAAGAAAAUCACCUAAGACCUUAAAAGAAAGUGGUCAAGACUAUACCUACGUACUCUACUGAUCAAUACUAUGCUACAUAUCAGUAUGAUAAGAGGCAAGAGCCGUGGUGACUAUACUGAUAUAUCCCACGAAAUCAUAAACUUUAUGGCAAAACCGGAUUAGCUAUCCUAAGUCUAAAUUUGAUGCAAAGAUUAAUAUUGAAAAGGCACAAAGAAGUAUGCCGGAAAAGAUCUCACGUUCUGUAACUUGUACACAAAGGGAAAUUCAUUACAGUUUUAUUGUCUCAAGCACCACGAUAUUAUAGUAUGUUCAUGAGGGGGAGAGAGGAUAAACCCAUGAUCAAUACUACAAGUUCGUGUACUACUAUGGUCUAAGACCAUGUUUUAAACAGCCAAACCAUAAAGGCCAUUACUCAGCCGAAGAGACCAUGUCAUAAAUGGCUCGACCGUAAAGGCCAUAACCGGCCGGAAAGACCAUUACCUACACAGGUUCAGCCAUAUAAGCCAUUAUCUAUAAGGAUAAGACUAUAAAGUAUAUAAGCUUGGAGACAUUAUGAAUUUACAUGUAUAGAAUGAUAAUUUGCACCAGGCCAUAAAAAUGAGCAUGGAUAUUCUCAUCUCAGAUUAAAUACGGGUCAUAAAACCAUACAUACACCAUCUUAAGAGCUUUGAAUACACCACCACAGAUAUAUGUGUGCCGUCUAAGAUGGAACCUCAGAAGAGGAUUGAGAAUAUAUGUUGGAUAAGAAUAGGACUUUCUCCACGAAUUCAAAGAGACUGUGAGCCAAAACAUGGGUGAUCAAAUAGUGGCCAGGUACACGGAUUGCAUGAUCAAUGAAUCCAUCUAUCCAACAUCAUAAGGAGAAAGCUAUAAGCUGGUAAAGAGCAAAGAAAUAAUUAUAAAAGAAUGAAUGGUAUCAACCAUCAUGGUCUUGGCAAAGAUCCUCGGAUUAGAAUUGUAGACGUCCAAAGUAAAGAAAGAUUAUAAAAAGGCUAGCUAAUCGAGAUGCCAGACACUGACCCGAAUAGAAAAGAAUGACUAAGUCAUAAACCAGAUUAGCACCAAAAAAAAUCUGAUGUCCUUGAAAGAGACACAGUCAAGUUGCUAUAGAGUCUACACAAGAUAGACCAAGUGUUCCAUAAGAUAAGGAACCUCGGAAAGAAAAUGGUGCAUAGAAUCCGAGGUUAUAAGAGAAAUCAUACCAGACAUUGAGAAAAGGCUGCGCAGCUACACAUCUAAGGUACCAAACCAUGUGGCUUGGGACGCCAAGCUGCUAGGAAAUAAAGAUCCUGGAUAAUAAGAUCUCGAAUCUAUUAGAUCAUGUCUGGAACAUAAUGGAACCACAUGAAAGUGUCGACACACACACACACAUAAAGAUAUAUUUGUAUAAAGAUACAUAAGAGAAUAGCACUUGAACAUAAAGAUAUAAAACAAGGAUCAAGAACCCACGAAAGAAUACUCAUAAAGAUCAUAAAAGAAUAGAGAUUAAAGAUAAACGUGGGAUUUUAUACAAUCUAAGGAGAUGGGCGGAUUGGCCAUAUACAUAAACGCCAUCUGAUAAACCAGUGAAUAGAUGAGUCUAGUGAGAUAAAGAAACCGUGAGAAAAGACACAUGAUCACGAGGCCUAAAGAUGAUUCAUGUUUUCCUAAUAACAGCAUUAGAUCAUAGCUUGUUACACAAGGAUACUCACAGAGACUAUGGAACAUAUUAUAAAGAGAUAAACUCCUAUGUGGUGGAUGCUGCUACAUAUUCAAAUUUAACAAUGGUCUGGUCAUAAGAAAAAAGAAAAUAGAUUGACAUAUAAUGAUGCAGUAAGCAGCAUAUGGAUCACUGGAUGAAAGAACAGCAUUGUUCCUAAGCUGUUCAUGGACUGGAACAAAAGCAACUGCAUAUAUAUUAUGAAAGGGAGUUCUAUAAGAACGAUCAAAUUCAGUCUAUAUGAGGAUUUAUAAAGAAAUUCGAAAUCCUAGUUUUUAUACUAAACCUAAAGAGGUUAGUAGAUUGAUAUAGAUUAUCUAUUAAUCUGUAACCCUAGCAUGGACGGGCUAGUAGAGAAGAAAGAUCUGCCUAAAGGAAAGUGAUCUAAAUUGCCUCGGUUUGUUAUCUCAUAUAACAUGUCUUCGAAUUGACCAAACCGACAUCAGAUCCAUUGAUUAGGAUCCGGCAUAGCAAAAUAGUUUGCUACUGCUGUUACUCCCACGAGGCAUUGUCGUGAGGAUGAGAGGAGACGUUUUAUACAUCACUCUCGAUCAGAUACCAAAGUGUAUGUUGUCCAUCAGCUCGUGUAAUCGAGAUUCAUGACCUAAUAGAUGUAUAAUCAAACUCGUAUAGCCAGUGUGUGAUAUGAUCCACAGCAACAGAGGUCAUGGGACGCCAUCAAGAGAUGGAUAGAGGACUGCAAUGUCCGAGACAUAUAUAUAUAUAUGGCAUCACCGAAUGCAAAAGAGAGAUCGAUGACCGCAUGUAUAGACAAUGUCUAUAAUUCAAAACAUGGCUCGAUCAGUAUGGUCGAGGUAGUGAGAAGAAGAAACUCAUACCAUCCGUACUUUAUCAUCAUCACGGAUCAUAAUAGCCAAAGGGAGUAUCCGUGAACUUAUGAAGUUGAAGUCUAUGACUCAACAUGGAUCAAUUAAAUUAAGAGUAUGAUGAUAAUAGAAAGAUCAAUGGACAAAGGCAUUGGUACACAUCCGAGUGGUACACAUCCGUGUAGUAAGACACCGGAUCAUAGUCUCAUAACCUGAGAUCAUUAAUUCAUAGUAUCAUGCUCGGAAUAUUGUCCAUGAGUAUGCUUAGUUUGUCCGACCAAAGCAUAAGAACAGUCGAUGGUAGACGAUCACGUCUAGACCAUGUACACGUUUUGCAAAAGGAUCCAUGCAUACAUGAUUUGCAAAAGAUUUGAGGACAGUGUGGUUCACAUUGAUCAGCUCAUCUAUUUCAAUAAGACACACGAUGUCAAAGGACAUGAGAAAGGACCUAAGAGGUCAAAGUGGUCUAAUUACGGUACAGAAAUAAAACUGGCCGAUUCCCCACCUGCAUGUUCAGGACAGUUCACGCAUCUGAUGCGUAGACUAAAGAACUUCCACUGAGGUUCACAUCAGGGGGAGUAGUACGUGUUGUACUCUUUUUCCUUCAUCAUGGUUUUGUCCCACUGGGUUUUCCUGAUAAGGUUUUAAUGAGGCAACGUGAAGCGUAUUACGGAUCCUGUAUGGUUAUGGCAUCCAGGGGGAGUGUUAUAAAUCAAGUGAUGAAUGUCCAUAACCAGCCCGGUACAUAAACCGGCCGAAACCCUAGAGAGAGAGACGGCCCAAACCCUAGAAAGAGAGACGGCGGCCGCGACCUGGAGAGAGAGAGAAAGUCGGCCAUGACUUUCCAUUAUUCUAGUUUUCGUAUUCCUUGUUGGUUUAUGAUUUAGUAAUUAUCAUAAAUCAUGUUGGAUUAGAAUUUGUACUAUUUCCUUUUAUUUUUAUCUUGUAAUCCUUAUAUAAAGGAACAUAUGAUUCAUUAAUAAUAAGAACAUAAACAUUCAGUUCUCAAACCCUCUAUUUUCAACACAUAUCUCUUACUUCUUCUAUUACUCACUCUUUUACUUCACUCGACGCAUCCAAAAUUCCCACUCUUUAUUUCUUUAUGAUAAUUGCUGUUUCUUCUCGAGCAAAGCUUUUUUUUUCUGAAAAAGAAUAUUUUGUUACGGGGAAACUUAUAUGUUGCAUCACUUUGCUUCAUGGUGUGUUCUUCUAGAGGAUUUUCUGGCUGUGACAGAGGUUAUACCAUAGUGGAAACGAGGGAAGGGCAAGCCAGAUGACGAAGCCAUUUCGAUCAUGGAGAGGUUUACGAGCACCUUCUCGAGCCAGAAUGUUUUACUGAGACGAACUCUUUCUCUCCUGGCCUCAUCCAUAAUAUUAACAUGAGGAAAACAUCUCGUUUCGUGUCAAAAGAUUGACAUCGGAUCCGGUCAGUUUUUCUUUUUAAACUAAAAAAACUAUUUCUUUUUUUUUUUACUUUUUAUUUUUGGUUUUAAUUAAAUUUUGAUAUUAUAUAAUAUAUAUUGCACAAUUCUGUCUAUAAAAUUUUCUAUGGUCCGUUAGCGGGGUAUAUGUUUAAUAUGUUAUUCGUAUUGUAAAUUUAAGACUUAUACUAGUUUUCAUUUUUGAGAAAGGUGUAGGUGAUAAAUUUCAAUAUGUUAAAAACAAACCAAACUAUUGCAUCCAGUCUAUAGAAUUUCUAUAGUCCGUUAGUUUGGUGUACAUGUUUAACAUGUUUUUUAAUUGUAAAUUUAACACUUACACUAAUUUUCAUUUUGGGAAAAAGUUUAAGGUAAUGAAUUGCAAUAUGUAGAAGCAAACCAAACUAUGGUCCGUUAGCUUGUGUAUAUGUUUAAUAUGUUAUUCGUAUUGUAAAUUUAAGACUUAUACUAGUUUUCAUUUUGGAGAAAGGUGUAGGUGAUAAAUUUCAAUAUGUUAAAAACAAACCAAACUAUUGCAUCUAGUCUAUAGAAUUUCUAUAGCCCGUAAGUUUGGUGUACAUGUUUAACAUGUGUUUUUAUUGUAAAUUUAACACUUACACUAAUUUUCAUUUUGGGAAAAAGUUUAAGCUAAUGAAUUGCAAUAUGUAGAAGCAAGCCAAACUGUUGCAUCAUGUCCAUAGAAUUUUUUAUGGUCUGUUAAUAGUGUAAUAUAUAUUUUUAGUAUUGUAAAUUUAACACUUAAAACUAAUUUUCAAAGUUUUCCUUGAGUAUGCAAAGUGUUUUGAUUUAUUUUAAAGUUUUCAACAAUAUGUUUAAUAUGCUUUUUCCCUGUUAUAUAUUUGGCGAGGGAAGGGCAAGCCAUCGUGGAGGUGAUCAAAAGUUAUUGAUAAGAAGGAAUCAGAGAUCGAGGAGAUACACUGAAACAGAAAGAGGUAUCAAGAAACUCAAAAGUAAGUUUAAUAUGUUUAUAAAGUGUUUUGAUUUUAAUCACUUGCUUCAUAGCCUUACUGUUUUGUCUUCUUUUGGAGGAUUUUUUGGCCGUACCAGAGUGGGGACGAGAACCAAGUUAGAUACUGAAAGAGAAGAGUAGCAAGAAACUCAAAAAGUAAGCCAAAGUGGAGCUGGAGAGUUCACAUUCACAGCAUAGUGAGAUUUCCUUAAACAGAUAGAGUUUCAAGAAUGCAUUUAUUACAAUGACUAUUAACAUACUUAUGGGGUUUGAUAAAAUUUUCAUAACAAUUUGUAAUAGAUAAGUUUAUAUUUCCCGAAAUCAGAGUUAAUAAUAUUUCAGACUGAAACUGAGAAACAGAAUCUUCAGAAGAUUGAAAAAAGAAACUGAGAAAGCGAAACUCCAAGUAUCAAUUUUAUUGGCAUCAUAAAAAAACAAGAUGUUGCGGAUACAUGUUGAAGGGAAAGCUUUACGAUGAAUGAUUCUCAUCGGAUUUGUAAGUUUUUUGAUCAUCACCAGCCUCACUACUAUGAUGUACAUUAAGGAUAAGAGAGUGUCAAUGUUUGACAAAUGACAAAGUGCCAAUAAAAAGUAAAAUAAACAUUAGACUAAAAUGGUGCGGACAUUGUGAUGUGCACGUUCAGCGUUACAUACUGCUCAACAAAUAUUUAAUUACUAGAUUAAGACCCGCGAUAAACAUUAUAUAUAUAAAUUAUUUUAUGUAUUAUAUGUUCUUACGUAUUAUGAAAUAAUAGAUAUAUAUUGAAUAAUUAAAAGUCAGUAACUAUUACAUAUAUAAUUAAAUUGGUGCGAACGUAUAAAUCAAUUUUAUUAAUCUAAACAUUUUUUUUAAAACAUUUGAUAGGAUAUGUAAUUAAAUUUAAAAGAUAUUAACAUACAUAGUAUAUUUUUAAUAUUAAUGUCUAUUUUUUUUUAAAAUGAUGCUUUCUACUCAUAUGUAUUUUUAUCAAGUGUAUUUUUAAUAGCAAAAACUUUAAAUUACUGAUAACAAAAUUUUCAUUGUGGGAUUAAUAGUUUUAGUAAUUGAUAAUUUUAAAAAAUUUAUCAAUGUUAAUUCAAAACUUUUAUCAAAAAAAAUUAUUUAAAGUAAAUUUUGAAACUAAAAUAUUUAUUUAUUCAAUAUGGUUUAUAGUUUAAUUUAGAAUGAUAUAUAUACAUAUAUAUAUUUUAAAUCUUAAUGAUUAAUUAAAUUAAAAUUUUAUUUAUAUGAUUUUGUAAUCAUUUGUAUUUUGUCAUAACAAAAAUUUUAAACCAUGGAUCGCAAAAUUUGAAUGUGAGACUUUUAACAGUUUUAGUAAUUUAUAGUCAUUUUUUAAAAUUCAAAAUAUAAAAUAUACAGAAAAAUCUAAAUUUUUAUAAUAUGGUUAUUGUGUUUUUUUAAAAUUAUUUUAAUAGUUUUAAAUUAAACAAAUUUGAUAGAAGAUACAUUUUUUUUUUCAGAUCUUUAUUAUUCAAAAUCAUUAAUUGUCAUAUAUACUUUACCCACAUUAGGCAAUUCCGUAAUCUUUAUUUAAGGAAAUAAUAAAUGACAUUAAUAAUGAAUUUAUGGUUAAUUUAAUAAAAAGUUUAUUAUAUAAUUAGAUGGACCAACCUAUUUCUCUAAUAAUUCUAAGAAUCAUCUUAGUGAUGACAUGUGGCUACAAAAAGAAGUCGUAAUGUUUCACAAAUAAUAUAUAUGGGAUAAAUAACACUGACCUCAUGACAAUGCAACUACAAAGAGCCAAAUCUUAAGUUUCACAAACAAUAUAAGACCGUUUUAAAAAGAUAGAAACUAACAAAACACACACAUAACGCUCUCUGUCUCGAGUUUUAAAAUGCAUGAGAACAACACAAAGACAACACCAUCCAAUGAACAAACAUCCCAGAGCUCCAAAUGAUCUCUCUAUUCCUGCAACACUCUUUUUGAAGAGAUCUCAGGAUUUGGUUUUUAACGGUACGAUUCAGGACGUUUAGGUUUGCUCUGUAUCACUUGCUCGAUCUUGUCCAGAACAUGUGGUGUCAACAGUGGGAUCACAUCAACAGCCUUCAUGUUUUCUUGAAUCUGUGUUAAAAAAAAAAAAUCUUAGUCAAAGUCUAGACUUAGACAUUCCCUAUGCUCCUGAGAAUGUGGGGUUAUAAGUAACUGACCUGUGAUUCCCUUGUGGCACCGGUGAUAACUGAUGACACAUUAGGAUUUGAAGCACACCAUGCUAUUGCAAGCUGAGCCAAGGUUACACCUAGCUCAUCUGCAAUAGGCUUGAGACCGCUGACUUUCCUCAGCACGUCAUCCACAAGUGAUCUAUUGGCAAGGUUCUGCAAAACAGUAAGAUGUAUUAAGAUGCAGUUGAAAACAGUUAUGACCAAAGAGCAAUAACAAAAGGAUUUACUUUGUAGUUCUCCAGUGCAAAUCGGCUGUCCGAAGGAAUAGCUCCCUUGUUGUAUUUACCAGUGAGCACACCGGAUGCAAGUGGACUCCAAGUAGUGAGACCUAUGCCAUGGUUUGUGUACAGAGGAAGAAACUCUGACUCCACCUGCAUAAACAUAAGACCACAACAAACUUCAGCUACAUAACAACAUUGGACUUAAUACACAAAGAAAGGGAAUGUAAGAUAACAAACCUUGUGCCUAGCGAACAUGUUGUACUCAGGCUGUUCAACGAUUGGACCGACCAGAUCCAGCCUCUCAGCAGCUCCCCAUGCUUCUGUGAUUUGCUGAGCUGACCAUUCACUAGUUCCCCAGUAGAAUGCCCAACCCUUAUCAAUCACGUAGUUCAUCGCCCUCACUGUCUCUUCUAUAGGAGUCGAAGCAUCCGGCCUGUGACAAAUUAAAUGAAGAUAUUGCUACUAAGAUCAAUCCAAAGAUGCCAACAUUUUGUUCAUUUAUUGAUCAUAACACAUCACAACGAUAUCAAGAUGCAGAUCCAGAGAUUUUGGGAGCUUUGGGAGAUUUAGUAAAGAUUUCAAUAAUUGUUUUUUUUAUAACAAAUUUGGAAGCUAAGGUAAGUCUAUGUAAUGGUUCAUUCGGCUUUUCUCAGGAUUGGCCCUGGAUCAUCGAGAUAAUAAUCAGUAUGAACGAGUCAAGAGAUCAUAUGAAAACUAAAAAUCUACAACUAAGUCAUGCAUGAUGAAUAAUGUUUCUAAAAAUGAAGCUAUUGCUACUAAGAUCAAUGCAAAGAUGCCCACUUUUAGAUCUGUCUUAAUCAUCACAUAUCACAAAGAUAGCAAGAUGGAUGAUGCAGUUGAUUCCAAGAUAAUGUUUCCAAAAGUGAAACGUAUAUUUCAAGAUACAGAGACCAAAGCCCAUCACUUGAGAAUUAAAUGCAAGAGACAACAUAGUACAUUAAGACAAAGAUUCAUUCUCACAAAGCCUAAGGGCAUCUCCAACCCAUAUCUAAUUUUUCCUCUAUAAUUCCCACAAAAAUAAGAGUCAAAUCAUUAUCACAUUUAAAAAAAAAAAGACUGAAUCUUUAUUCACCUGUGACAAUAGAGCACAUCGACAUAUUCCAUAUCGAGUCUUUUGAGAGAAGCUUUGGUGCCUUCAACGAUAUGUUUCCUCGACAAACCUUUGUCGUUAGGACCAGGACCACCCCAGAAGAUCUUGGUGGAGACGACGACGUCGGAUCUGCGCCAGCCCAGCUCACGAAUCGCCUGGCCCAUAAUCUCCUCGGCGCGACCAUUGGCGUAAACCUCGGCGUUGUCGAAGAAAUUGACUCCGUGGUCACGGCAACACUGAAGAAUCGACUUGGCUUCUUUCACAUCUAGCUGGUUGCCGAAAGUCACCCACGCUCCGAAAGAGAGCGUGCUCACCUUCAGACCAGAUCUCCCCAAGUUCUUGUACUGCAUCGUUGCAGGAAUCGAGACAAAUCUGUUUGAUCUGAAGAGUUGAAAUGAGCGAUGAUCAGACAAUUAAGUAUGUACUUUAUUAGCAAUAAAUAACAAGUGACACUUAAAAGAAAAAGUGCGAUAAGAUCCGGUUUGGUUUAACUUUUCCGGUACAGGUUAACCAAUUUCGAUAUAAGUUCAUUUUCUUGACAUCAAUUUCGAAUAAAUUUUAUGGUUCAGUCACAAUCGAGUUUAAUAUUUGGAUAUAUUUUAUGGUUCAGUCGCAAUCGAGUUUAAAAAGACGUCGAAAAUUUGAUUAUUUGAUACGGUGUUUUCCGGUUUGAGGGUACUCCGGUUUAGUGAAUUUAAAUCGGUGUCGUACUUCCGACCAAACAAAUUAAAGAUGUGUGAUCUCGUACUUUAAAAGAAACGCGUGAUAGCGUUCGUAGUACUUUAAGUUAUUAAAAAGGUAAAAAGUUUGAAAGGAGAAGAUUUGUUGGUUCUUAGAGCAUCCACGGUGGUGGCACUCAUCAUGGAACCCUUAGAAAUUUAAAAAUAUUUUUUUUUUAUUAAAUAGUUAAAUAUCCUAACUAAAUAAGUGUUUACAAUGGUGAAUCCUAAUAAAAAAUCCUUACACUAAAUUUUUUUUUUUUUAAAAGUGAAUUACCAAAUGUUUCAAUAAUAUAGCAUGAAUAAAUUUAAAAUCACAAUAAUUAAAAAUAAAGAUACAACAAUUAUUAAUAUUCAUCACCAAAUUUGUUCCACACAUUUUGAAUUAAGUCAUGUUUCAAUUGGGCAUGCAUAUUCCUAUCACGAAGAUCAUUCCGAUUGGGAAACAUAUUAUUCAGAUUUGUAGGUCUCUCCGUUUCCACCUGUGAAGUUCUAGUGCUGUCUCCUUCUUCAAAUUCAGAUAUAUCGAUACGAGUGUAUCCGUCCCGUUCAUUUUCGACUAUCAUAUUGUGUAGGAUGAUACAUGCUCUCAUAAUCUUUCCUAUCUUUUCCUUAUCCAAAGUUUUUACCGGGUUUCUCACAAUCGCAAAUCGAGCUUGCAAUACUCCAAAAGCCCGCUCUACAUCUUUUCGGGUAGUUUCUUGAAAUUUAGCAAAUAACUGUUCCUGAGGACUUUGAGGGAGGGUGAUAGAUUGGAUAAAUGUUGACCAUUUUGGAUAUAUACCGUCUGUGAGGUAGUACGCCAACUUAUACAUGUGUCCGUUGACCAUGUACUUUACCCUCAGAGCUUUACCUUGUAAAAUGUCAUCAAAAACAGGAGAGCGAUCGAGAACAUUAAUAUCGUUUAAGGUACCUGGAGGACCGAAGAAAGCGUGUCAUAUCCAAAGAUCGUGUGAAGCUACACCUUCGUCAAAAUCGAUUGGAAAUCGCCUUUUAUCGCCUUUUCUCGACAGCUUUCUUUUUUUUUCUCUCCUUCGUCGAAAAUGAAUUUUUUUUUCUGUCUCCAGCAAAGACGAAUGAAUCUUCCGCCAAUACCCACCUGCCACGUCGCCCAAGGUUCAGCUCCCUCGACCCCUUACUUACGGGUUGAUCAUUAGAUAAUUAUGCUGAAAUAUAGUUUUUAUAUUACCAUUAACUUUGGUGACCCUUAGGAAUCGCUAAGGGCUUCCGUUGCGGUUGGUCUUAAUGGCCACAAGAUAAACAUGUGGUGGCCAUGUGGUUGUGCCUUUAGUCUAAUCAGUAAUCUCCAUCUUUCACUAAUUGGAGAGUUGUCUUGUAAUGGGAGAGCGUUGGCGUAUACGAAUAAAAUCAAGUCACUGUCACGUGAAAAUUGCUCAGCUCCCUUCUACACUCAUGCUCACACCCAAAGAGAUGCAUAUUGAACUCUGUUUCUUUUCAUGUGUUUUGGGCUUUGUUUCUAUGUAGGCCACUUCAAGGCCUAUAAUGAUCUUACUUUACAGAUUUUCUAGUUAACUCUUUCACAUGAGAUGGUGGAUUUUGCAAACAAGUUGGGCUGAUAACAAUCAAAUUUCUCUCUUUUUUGACAAAGGGCUAAUCAAAUCCUGAAAUGAUGCUUUGGUUACAUAUUUAUUAUCAAUUAUAUAACCUUAUCGAACGACAUUUUUAAUUCUCUAAACUUUUUAAAAGUUAUAUUAUCCAGCAAUUGAACGUACUAUAUUAUACAAAAUUGGUUUGUAAGCUAGCGUAUAUAUUAUUUCGCUAUUUUACUAGGUUACCAAACAAGCUAUAUAUAUAACUAUUAUGCUUAAUUUUUGGUUAUUAUAAUAGAGAUUCAUUUGUAUAAUUAAAAUAGGGAAUUUUAGAAAGGUAAAUAUUUAAUACUAAUGUUUUUGACAUUCAGGUUUAUAAUUAUGAGUAGAUAUUAGGUAAAGUUUGUAAUGAAUUAUAAAGUUAUUUGGUAAUGAAUGGGUUGGGGAAACAUAUGGCACUUGAUGCCAUGCAUGUGAGUGUGGGGUUUUGCUUCGUUAUCCAUCUUACAGAAAAUUCUAGUUUUAUCGGCCACCAAGAAAGAAAGAAAAGGAGGCAAAGAUCAAAAAGUCUGUCCAAAUCUCCUACCAAAGUGUUGACAUUUGUUUCUUGAGUUUUUAUAUUCAUUUCCUCGUACGUUAUCAAUUACUAUUGUCUGAGAUAAAUGAAUUUAUUAAUCUACAGAACACAAUCAAAGAGUUUCAUGUACUGAAAGUAUUGUUUCCCAUUCUGUUCCGCAACGUGCCAAAAUUUUGGUAUAAUUUUUGGCUGAGUUAGUCAUAUUUGUUAUCACUGCAAAGUCCAUCUCUAUAACGUCUUUUGCAAAUAAAACCAACUAAAAUUUUGAGAAACCAAAAAUCUCUGUAUUCUUUCUUGUAUAAAAAUCUUGUCAUCUAGUUUAUAACAAAAGCAACAGAUAGAAUAACAGACAAAAGAAAAACGACGUCUCAUUAUAGCACAAACGAUGACAUCGAGUGACGAGUGGAUCCAAGCUCCAACCAUUCGAUAAUUAAGUAACGUUUUGGGAGUGUCGGUGCUCCGGCUAAUAUAGUAGGUUAGCAACAAACGAUAAAUAAAAUAAUUCGAAUCAUGAAGAUGACAUCUCGGUGAUUUGAUUCAAGUUGAUCAAAUCAAACACUUACAUGCUGUAACGUUAAGAAGACAAACACUUACAUGCAAUAAAGAUGUCGUAAAUGGAAUGUGAUAAUAAAAUCCAGUCAAACAAUAUAUUUGUACACAGAACAUGAACACUAAAGUCGGAUAAUCGUUACUUGCUGUUUUUCACUUAUAUGAGGAAAGGGAAACAUAAAAUAAAAGGAUUUUUACCGUUAAAACCCCUCAACUAUGUUUGUUUUGGGUAAAAAUCCUGGAACUAAGUAUUUAACGUAAAAGCCUCCAAACUAACUUUAUUUAAUGAAGUAAAUCCUAACAUGUCAUAAUUACCAAUACUACUGGUAAAUCUUUAGUUUACGGGUUUAUACAUUAAGUAAACAUAGUUGAGGGGCUUUACCAUUAAAAAUAAAAAAAAAAUCAAAAUUUUAUAAUAUUAUCUAAAAAUUAGUAACUUAAAUUUUCAAAAUUAGCAUUUUUAAUUUUUUUUGUAAAUAUAUGAGUUUGAUGUGUUUUUAACAUCAACAUUAUAUAUGUAUAAAUUAAAAAUGUAAAAACCGAGAAAAUAUAACAAAAAUUAUAUAAAGAAUUUAGACGCAGUAAGACUUUCUUCCCUAACUUCCGGAUCAGAUAUAUUGCAAGAGCACAAAAUACUAUGGCGGACAAGCUUGCAAGUGGUGCGAGGAGUUCUCCUUCAGCUAUGUUAUAUGUCGAUUCAAUACUUUCGGUUUGGCUUUCUGAAUCGCACGGUCCAGUUACUUAGUUUUCGCUUAUGUUGUCAAAAAAAAGUUACUAAUUUUUAAAUAAUAUUAUAAAAUUUUGAUUAUUUUGUUUUUAAAUUUUUAUGGUAAAACUCCUUAACUAUGUUUACUUAAUGUAGAAACCGCUAAAUUAAAAAUUUACCGGUAGUAAUGGUAAUUAUGACCUGUUAGGGUUUAAUUCAUUAAAUAACGUUAGUUUGAGAGUUUUUUCAUUAAAUACUUAGUUUGAAGAUUUUUACCUAAAACAAAUUUAGUUGGGGGGUUUUAACUUUAAAAAUCCAAAAUAAAAAGAGAUAAAAACGUUAAGUAAAAUAAAAGUGACUACGAUCCAAUUUGACCCGCGAGUUUUGGCCUAACCAAACAUUUCGCCCCAACAAGAUCUUUCUCUUUAAUUAUACCUUUUUGCACUUUUACAAAAGUAAUUUAAGCAGUAAAAGUGUAACAAAAAAAAGUUUCAAUAAUUAACAGUUACCACCCUUCCAACCUCUCCCAUGAUGAAAACACAUGGUAUACAUCAUAUAAUUAUAAUUUUGUAUAUAGAAAUAUGCUUUAAAAUAAAUUUAUACUAAUUUGUACAAAAUAUAUCUAUGAUUGAUUAGAAGGAAAAGUUAUAUCAUUGUUUUUUUCUUUUCUUUUUUUCAGUUCGGUAUGGAAUAUGAUUUAUUUUUGUUUCAAUUUGCUUUGAAUUCGUUUUCACAAUACAGUUUCCAGUCUGCUUUAAUCGUUUUGACCAAAUUUAUUGAGCAUCCCAGUUUCCAACUAAUAUAGUGAGAACAGAUUGAAACUUCUUUGGAUGGGUUAGUCAAUGACUCAACGCGUAUUCUUUAAGUUCUACGUGGAUUUUUCUUUCUUUACAAGCCGUGAUUUACGCCAUCGGAAAUCAAAGGAUAGUACCCGCCAAUUCAGCAAGAAACUAUGACAACUGGUUUCCGUAAUAUUCUGCUCAAGUAAUAUUCACAUCAUCACAUGUUGUUGAUGCGAAAGUGAAAGCAUCAGUUAGAAGCCAAUCAACUUGUUCUUUUGCUUCACUCAUAUUUGAAGUUACUCAGUUAUUCAUAAAUGAUAGAUCAAUAGUUAGUCGAUUACCAACUCAUUUUAUAUUCUUUAAAAAUUCAUAGUCAUUUAUAUGAACUUAUAACUACGCAUAAGCUAAUUAAUCAAGUAUAUAUCGACAGGAUAUAUACAAUUUUAGCAAAUGAUUUGAUUAAUGAAUAUUGUGUUUUUGAUGUAAUUUUCUUUUUAGUUAGAAUAACAUCUAACUAAAUUCUAAUGAGUAAGAUUAAUUUUAUUGUUAAUCAAUCAUCUAAAUUUUGUGGAAUCUGACUUCUUACUUACUCUCUGGUUAACUCAGUAAUAAGAUUUGGCAUUAUAAUUGAUAGGUUCAAAUCCCUUCAAUAUACAUUAUCCAUGUGUUGCAAGUUUUAUAUAAUUGAGUUAUGAAAUUUUUUUUAUCAUAUAUAGACUUUUGAUCAAAAUGCAUUAAAGCAUGCAAUGUCUGUUAAUCACACACUUGAGCAGUUAGUGGAGGCUAGAGCUGUAAAUAAAGAGAUGGAGUUAACAACUAAUCACGUUAAAAAGGCAAAACGAAGAAUCAAAUUGUGUACACGACGUCGUAUCGUAUAGAUACAUGACGGCCGUCUUAACGUCUCUUUUGCGUGUCGUCUUUUUUUUUUGGCCUCUCCAUAUUCUAUAAAUCUCCAAGCUCGUACACUCACUGUCUUUUAUAACUCUCACUCCGCUCUAAUUCUUUCGGACAACGACAAACACUCUGCUCUAAUGACGGUUCUUCCGACAUGGAUUUUAGCUAUGAUGUGUCUAUUCUUCUUCGUCGGAGCAAUGGAGAACAAAACACACGACAAGAUCUCAUCUCUCUCCAAGUCUUUCUUUAUCCAUACACCUCUCUGUUUUUUUCUUUCUCACGAGAUUUAUAUAGACACAGAGAAGAAGAUUUAUUUUCAUCAUAUGUUUUACAUUAGUAAUUUGUUUACAUGUUUUCAUUCUCGUACUACAUAAAUUUCCCCAAGAUUUCUAAGAAAAUUUCCCAAAAAGAAUUAUAAAAUAUCAUUUGUUUUUACUGUUUAAUUUUUUUUUUCAGCCGACAAAAUUAGCAGCAGAACCAGGAUAAUUAAUAACUUGAGCCAUUGAAUUUUGUUCUGCGAUUCAGAUCUAACGCGAUCUAGACCGUACAUUCCGCUUUUUAGCUUGCAUACACGCAUGAGUCAACGCUAUUGUGUAGGUACACUUGACUCUGUUUAGAGUAAUUUACCGGUUUUAGCCUUACACAAUGCCGCUGUCGGAACUGUCUGCUAGGGUUAUUUACGUCAUAUAAUAGCACGUCCCUUUAAGUCUUAACUGUAGUGUGUGCACUCUCCAGUGAACAUUACUAUAAAGUCUAUGAAUUAAGGUCAACCAUUAGUUUUAUACUUUUAUCUAGAUUCUCAAUUUUAGAUUUCUAUAUUCUUCUUUAGAUCGGACCAAAUCGAAUGGAACAAACACGCAGUGACGAAUCCAGAUGAAGUAGCGGACGAAGUUCUCGCCUUGGCUGAAAUGUAAGUACUAUUGUUAUUUCAAUUUAUUACACAUUUACGUUUGUCCUUAUUUAACGGUUCUCUGUAACGCCGUUUACCUCUAGAAUCUUAGCCAAACAACCUAACACCGACACACGUCUAUGAAAAAAAAUCUUAAAAGUACAUAAGUAUCUAUCGUCCACCAUGUCAUGUGCACAUGUCCCAAUGUGAUUUUUUAAAAAAUAUUUAUUUUAAGUACAUAAUGAAACCGGGUAUGAUUCAUACAGGAGUGUAAGAAACCAUACCGAGAGGAGGAAGCUGGGUUACUUUACUUGCGGAACAGGCAACCCCAUCGACGAUUGCUGGCGUUGCGAUCGCAACUGGCACAAGAACCGCAAACGCCUAGCGGACUGCGGAAUCGGGUUCGGAAGAAACGCGAUCGGCGGUCGCGACGGGCGUUUCUACGUGGUCACUGACCCAAGUGACCACGACGCUGUUAACCCUAGACCGGGUACAUUACGUCACGCCGUGAUCCAAGACCGACCGCUAUGGAUCGUUUUCAAACGUGAUAUGGUGAUUCAGCUAAAACAAGAGCUCAUCGUUAACAGCUUCAAAACCAUCGACGGACGUGGCGCAAACGUUCACAUCGCUAACGGCGGUUGCAUAACGAUUCAGUUUGUGACGAACGUUAUAGUCCAUGGAUUGCAUAUUCAUGACUGUAGACCGACCGGGAACGCUAUGGUGAGAAGCUCGGAGACGCAUUUUGGGUGGAGGACGAUGGCGGAUGGUGACGCGAUUUCGAUUUUCGAGUCGAGUCAUGUUUGGAUUGAUCACAACUCGUUGUCUCAUUGCGCUGAUGGGCUUGUGGAUGCAGUCAUGGGCUCGACGGCCAUUACCAUCUCUAACAACCACAUGACUCACCACAACGAGGUUAUGUUGCUCGGACAUAGUGAUUCUUAUACGGAGGAUAGAGCUAUGCAAGUUACCAUAGCUUAUAACCAUUUUGGGGUCGGACUUAUUCAAAGAAUGCCAAGGUAAUAUAUAAAGACAAAAAAAAAUAUAUAUAUAUUUUGAUUAUUUUAUAUAAAAAAAAUAUAAAGACAAAACAAAAACAGAGUAUGCUCUGUUUCUAUAAAUAUGUUUUCUGACCAAUGCGGUAAACUUUCUUGAAGGUGUCGACAUGGUUAUUUCCAUGUCGUGAACAAUGACUACACUCACUGGGAGAUGUACGCCAUCGGUGGAAGCGCAAACCCGACAAUUAACAGUCAAGGAAACCGCUACGCCGCUCCUAAAAAUCCUUUUGCUAAAGAGGUUUGUGACAUUAUGGUGUUAUGAUGUUGAGUUUGUGACAUUAUGCUGUUUGUGAUUUUGUAACAUUAUGAUGUUGAAUAUUUUCGAUAGGUGACAAAGAGAGUGGACACACCGGCGAGUCACUGGAAAGGAUGGAACUGGAGAUCGGAAGGAGACUUGCUUCAGAACGGAGCUUACUUCACUUCUUCAGGAGCCGCUGCAUCUGGCAGCUACGCACGUGCAUCUAGCCUCGCCGCUAAAUCUUCUUCAUUGGUUGCAACCAUUACUUCUGACGCUGGAGCUCUACCUUGUCGCAGAGGUAGUCAAUGUUCCUCGUAGUUGUUUUUAACCUCCUCCCAACGUACCAUUACCCCCAAAAUUUAAAACCAUCUCCCAUUAUAUUCAGACAAAAGUGUACAUUCUCACACGUUUGUCAUGUAAAAUCAUUUUUUUGUUUGUGUGUGUUUGUGUCUAUCUUUAUCAACUUCGGGGUUGCUUGCUUCAAACGCAAGCUAACACAAGAAAAGGGGAAGAAAACCAACCUUUCAUGUAAAAUAGAAACUCCAGAAGUGUUGUUGGUUCUGUCUGAUCAACUCAGAUUCUUCUUUUUUCAUCUUUGUCAUUUACCUAGAAAAAAAGAAGAAUAUUAUGUCUUGUUUUUUUGUGUGUGUAUUCUUAAGGUUUAUAAUUUAAUAUAGGGUCUAAUGAUUUGUGAAUCUUUCUAUCUUUCUUUGUAUUUUUUUUUGUUAGCUGGAUUUGUUAACUUUAUUUUUCCCAUGUGGUUGCAAUCACUCUUGAUUAUACUUUAGCUUUUGGAGCAAAGAACUAAUAUUAAUUGGAAUGUUCAAACAAAAAAGAACUAAUAGUGGUGUGGGGAUUUAUAAAACUUUGCUAUAAUGAUAUUUAAAAUUUUAACACUAUGAAAAGUUUAACUGCGACCGUUUUUAAUAGCUAACCCUAUGUAUCACCCACAAAAGUUUUAUAUUUUUAAACUGCUUUUCGCUGUUUACAUUGGAUAACAGUUUUAUAUUACAAAUUUAUAAGAACUGUCGACCCAUAUUCUAAAGAAUAGAAUUAUAAUAAUAAAAUUAGCAUAUCUAUUUUAUUUAUUUUUUCUGCAUUGGAAAGUUGGUUGUUAGCAUGAAACGCAAGAUAAAUCUAAUGAACAGGCUAAAUCGGCUCCAUGUGCACACACAUGACAAAAAAAAAAUUUCAAAAUCACAAGCACAAAUUAAUGUUCCGACGGAUUUGUUUUCACCAUCAUUAAGAUUUGGGACUAAUUAAGAUUAUCCAUAUAUAUGCUUUAGGAAUGCUAAAUUUUGUAUAAACUUCUACAUUUAUACAAUACAUAUAAAAUAAAAUUACGUCUAUAACAACUAUUUUCUUUUAUGGUUUAGUUUAAUUUGUUUCAUUUAUACUAAUUGAUAGACGAAUUGAAUCUUUGUUCAACGUCUUAUCCCGCUUGCGGUAGUGCCUGAAGAGUUAAAAGAAGAUACUAGCCAAUUACAAAAUUAAACCAACAUAUAAAAGUGGACCAAUCAGUUGUCAAUCGCAUAGUUGUAUCACCAGAGAGCCUUUACCAUGGAGAAAUGUUAUUAAUUUUGUCCGUAACCAAAUUUAUUACUUUCAACUGUCACCGACCUUACAUUUUGCUAUAUAAACCCUAGAAAUCUCAUUGUAAACCUCAACAAUACAAGAGUCGAUCAAUAAUAACUAUAAAAAGAGAGAGGAGAGAUGUCGAGAGUUUUGUCAGUCGCAUGUGUCUUGCUCGUUAUGUCAUUCGUCCAUGCACGUGCUCGUCAAGUUCCGGGUGAUCAGUUCGAUGAGGGCAAGACGACGCCACAUGACAAUACAAAAACAAGGCUUGUGCAUGCAAAUGCACCAGCUCAGUCAACACCAACCAGUAUCGGUGACAAAAAAUGCAUCGGAGGAGUCGGGGGAUUAGCCGGAGCUGGUGGUUACGCUGGCGUGGGAGGUCUAGGAAUGCCACUCAUUGGUGGUAUUGGCGGCAUUGGUAAAUACGGUGGCAUAGGUGGUGCAGCUGGAAUCGGUGGCUUUCAUGGUAUAGGCGGCAUUGGUAAAUAUGGUGGCAUUGGUGGUGCAGCUGGAAUCGGUGGCUUUCAUGGUAUAGGCGGCAUUGGUAAAUAUGGUGGCAUUGGUGGUGCAGCUGGAAUCGGUGGCUUUCAUGGUAUAGGCGGCAUUGGUAAAUAUGGUGGAAUAGGUGGCGCAGCUGGAAUCGGUGGAUUUCAUGGUCUAGGCGGUGUUGGCGGCCUUGGUGGAGCCGGAGGUGGUAUUGGUGGUGGUAUUGGUAAAGUGGGUGGUAUUGGCGGUAUAGGUGGAGCCGGAGGUGGUUUAGGCGGUGUAGGCGGAGGAGUCGGUGGUGGUAUUGGUAAGGCAGGUGGCGUUGGUGGUGUUGGUGGUAUCGGCGGUGGACACGGCGUGGUCGGUGGAGUUGGCGGUGGGAUCGUUCCACAUCCUUGAAAUGAAGCUUUAUUAGAGAGUUUUUUCGAUUAGGGUUUAGUUAAGGAAUAAGUAACUAGUAGUCGGAUGUUACACUGUUGGUCUUUUGGGGUGAUCAUUAGGGUGACUUUGAUCAUUAGUCUGUCUUUUGUGUAAACGUUUGAUUUGAUUUUAUCUAUCGUGUUAUGUAACGCAUGAAUUAUUAGUUAUGGUUAGUUUUGGUUGAUGGUUCCUAUUUCUGCAUGUUCAAAAUAAAGUUUAGAGGAACUAUCUGUCAAGGCUUAUAACGAUGUUCUUUUAAUGUAUUUUCUUCAAACUUGCAUUUAUGUUAAUGAACUCUACACAAAUGAGAAAAAAAUAUUUACAUAAAAAGUUUUAAAAAAUCCCUUGAUAUAAUAAGACCAAAAAAUCUGAAACAUUACUCAUAACAUAAUCUGAAACAUUAUAAUCAACCUUUAACCACUAGUAAAGAGACUACCACAUUGAUAUUCACGUAUUUGUGUUUGAGUUCUUUUUUUUUUUUUUUUUUUUUUUUUUAUUGUGUUUGAGUUCUUGUUAUGAAGUCAAACACUUUGUUCUGUGCAUGUCUUCUUUGGACGACAAGUUACGCAAAAAUACAUUACGAAAUGAAACUAACCUCAUAUUGACUCGUUCGCUUGUUUUUUUUCUUUUUUUUGUCAUCUGAUAUAUUAAGAAACGCUUGAACAACUCAAGCAAGGGAAACAUACAACAUUAAAUUCUUUAGAUCAGACUUAUCCACAGACGGAUAGUCCUUUCUCCUAAGAAAAACAUCCAGACUCACGAACAUAGAAAACAAGUUCAUAAUCAUCAUACCAUAAAAGGUCUGUGAACUACUAAAAACCCAACCACAACUAAGUAGAGGGAACGCAUUCCUCGUUCUCAAAGAGACCUCUCAACCAUCUUGGAGCACCUGUAGCUACAUAAGACUGAGACAAACCUGAUCUGAUCACACUUUGGGCAAUGACGAAAGCCCCUCUAUUAGUCUCUCUGUCUUCCUUUAUCACCCUCCACCACUCGAUCUUGCCAAGUCUUUCCAUCAACUGUAACUGUUGGCAUCUAUAAUUCGGCCAUGCCUUGGGUCUUAGAAUUACCUUCAUGAAAAGAUCAUCAUCUAAGGCAAAGAUAACUCUGUUGAGAUGAUGAGAGUGCAUGCUCUCUAUAGCCCACAACAGCCCUUGAUAGCUUGCCUCUUCCUUGGAAUUGGUAUUUGAGAGAGCCCGACGACUAUGUAGCAUAACCUUACCUCUAUCAUUUCUCAACACCCAAGCAACACCACAGUUUUUCUGUUCUUUGUUUUGAUAAACACCCAAGUUGCAUUUUAACCAGCCAUUGGGGGGAGCAGACCAUGACUUCUUCACACCCGUCACUGCCUCUUGCUCUUCCUUAACUCCCUGCUCUUCAUUCUUUUGAGCCAUUAACCAGAAUUCCGCUUCCUCUCUGAUCUUAGCCACCAAGUCUAUGGCUCUAGCUUGUUUUCCUUCAAAGAUAAUCCCAUUUCUGUAUUUCCACAAAUACCACACAAUCCAAGGAAUCGAGUUUCUCACCCCUUCUGGAACCGAGGAGUUCUUUAUUAAGAGUAGCAGGGAGUGGAAGUUUGAAAAAUGAGACACUUCAUCAAAACCACUCUCCGAAUAAGGGACAUCUGCCAAAGCCCAAACCUGUCUUGCGAUGGAGCAGCGGAAAAUUAUGUGAUUAAUAGACUCUCCUUGAAAACCACAAGCCUGACAUACCGGGUCCAUUUUGAUACCUCUUUUCACCAGAAGGUCACCUACUGGUACCGCAUUACUUACUGCCCGCCAGAGGAAAGUUUUGAUUUUUGGGGCUGUAUCAAGUUUCCAUACCUCCUCUUUGAGAACAUUUAGAGAGGGCCUAGCUUCUGCUUCUUGAAUCUCCAAUCUUCUUCUGAAGUUGUUGAUGAACCAAUAUCCAGAUUUGACCGAAUAACACCCAUUCCUAUUAUGGAGCCAAACCCAAAAAUCUUCCUCAUUAAAAGCUGUUCCCAUCGCUAAGAUGCUUCGGAUGUGCUCUUCAUAGAAAAGAUCCUCCAGUUUUUCCACGUUCCAACAACCAUUCUGGUGGUCUAUCAAAUCAGAAACUCUUAGCAGUAGAUCGACAAAAAUAUUCUUCAUCAAAGGUCUUCUUCUUUCAGUGCCUCCAAUCCAUUCCUCAGUCCACACAUAUAUCGAUCUCCCGUCUCCCAAAUGUUUUCGGAGCCCUUGAAUUAGCAGGUCCUUCCCAAAUUGAAUGCUUCUCCAAGCAUAUGACGGUCUAGGGCCAUUUUUUGCAGAGAGGAAAUCAGAGUUGUCGAAGUACCUGCUCUUAAAGACUCUUGCAAAGAGGGAGUCCGGCUGAUUUAGAAUCCUCCAUGCUUGCUUAGCCAAAAGAGCCUGAUUGAAGCUUUGAAUAUCUUUGAACCCUAAUCCUCCAUGUUCUUUUGCCAAGCACAUUUUAGUCCAGCUCAGCCAGUGAAUCUUCUUCUUAUGUUCCAGAGAGUUCCACCAGAAAUCCGCCAUAGCCCUUGUGAGAUUCUCACACGAUUGCUUGGUGAGUUUGAAGCAGGACAUGGCGUACACAGGCAUAGCCAUAGCUACCGCCUUUAUCAGAACCUCUUUACCACCCAAAGACAGUAGUUUGGCAAACCAUCCAUUUAGUCGAUCCUUUAACCUAUCAUAGAUAUAAGCCAAGAUCUCAGUUUUGGAACCGCUGAAACAUUCUGGCAGGCCCAAAUAAUUCCCUGUUCCACCUUCCUUGGUGAUUCCUGUGAUCUCUUGAAUAAGCCCCUUGGUUCCGUCAUCCACCUUAGACCCAAAAGUAAUAGCUGAUUUCUCAAUGUUAAUUUUUUGUCCCGUGGCUUUUUCAUAAAUCUGAAGAAUCUUGAUUAGUUCUGCUGCCUGAUUCGUUGAUGCUUUGCAAAUCAAGAGGCUGUCAUCAGCAAACAACAUGUGAUGAAUCAUAGGUCCUCCCGGAGAAAACCGAAUGCCUUCAAUAGCUCCACUCUGAACUGCUUUCUCGAGAAGAUGAAUUAGACCUUCAGUGCAGAUUACAAAAAGGAACGGAGACAGAGGGUCGCCUUGCCUAAUCCCUCUUUCUGGUUGGAUGUUUCCAAACGGCUGGUCAUUAAUGAGCGUAGAGUAUCUAACAGUAGAUACGCAGAACAUCACUCUUUCUACCCACAUGGUCUCAAACCCUAUAGCCAAUAGGAGAGCUCGAAGAUACCCCCAUUCCACGCGAUCAUAAGCCUUCGACAUAUCUGACUUGAUGGCCAUGAAUUCCUUCGAUAUACUUCGAUCAGUCCUCAGCGCAUGAAUGACUUCAUGGGCAAUUAGAAUGUUGUCGGUGAUGAGUCUCUCCUCUACAAAGGCAGAUUGUGUUGGUGAAACUAUAUCAACAAGGAGUGGCUUAAGCCGAGACACCAAAAUAUUUGAGAUGAUCUUGUAUAGGACCGAACAAAGGCUGAUAGGUCUUAGGUCAGACAUGAGAAUCGGUUCAUCAAUCUUUGGCAGGAGACAGAGAUGAGUGUAGUUCCAUUCCAAAGGAAAGGUCCCGAAUACAAAAAAUUCCCGCACCUCUUUUGUCACUUGAUCACCUAUCGUGUUCCAAUAACUCUGGAAAAACAACCCCGUCAUACCAUCCGGUCCUGGCGCACUGCUCGCUUUGAUAGAGAAGACCGCCUCUUUCACCUCCUCCUUACUAACCUCUCUGACUAGAAUCUCAUUCAUACCUGCUGUCACCCUACUCGAGAACCCUUCAAACAACGCAGAGAAAUCUCCAGAAUUAGCCGAGGAAAAAAGUUUUUUGAAGUAUUCAGUAGCUACCUCUCCUUUUGCAGCCUCAGAGAAAUGUGCCUGCCCUCUAUCAUCCAUAAGUUUGGUGAUUCUUCUUCUCGAUCUGUUCGCUUUUACCGACGCAUGAUAAUAUUUGGUAUUUAAAUCUCCUUUCACCGCCCACUUAUCUUUGCAUCUUUGCUUCCAAAACAAUUCCUCCUCUCUAUACGCCUGAAUCAGCUCUGCUUUUAAAAAGUUAAUCCUUAGAGUAGCAGGAUACAUCGCAGAUUGCUCCAUCUCCAAAGCGUACUGAAUCUGUUUGAUCUUGUCCCUGGAGUUUAUGUUCUCCUUCUUUUUCCAUCUGCUUAACGCCUUUCUGCAAUUCUUCAGUCUAUCAGCUACCUUGGUUUCGAAUAAAGGGUGAUUUGUGAGCCAAGCUUUCUUGAUUUCAUCUUGAACCCCAGUCUUAUGUAAGAAUCUGCCAUCAAACCGAAAGCUUCCUCUGUAACUCUCUGAGGCAUUGAUCAGCUUGACUAGGACUGGUCUAUGGUCAGAUCCUCGUUUGUCCAUGAAGACUUGAUUAGACGCUGGAAACAGUUGAAACCAUCUCUUAUUCCCAAAACCCCUAUCCAACUUGGAGUGUAUCGAUAAUGUUCCUCUCUGACCACCCCAAGUGAAGCUGUUCCCUGUACUAGGAAGCUCAGUCAUCUCCCCAAUAAGCAGCAUAUCGUUAAAAGCUUGAAACGAUUUCUCACUUCUUCUCGGACCGCCUAUUUUCUCAUCAUUGUUUCUAAUCUCGUUGAAAUCACCAACCAUACACCAUGGCUCUUUCCUAUAAGCUCCUAUACGUGAAAGUCUUUCCCAGAGUUUUGGUCUAUUACUCUUUUCCGGCUCCCCAUAAAUACAAGAUACAAAAAAGCAAUCCUUCCCAAACCGCACCUUAAAGUCCACUAGAUGCUUGUCUACAAACUUGAAAUCAAUAUGUACAAAAUGUUUCCACAUCAAUGCUAAGCCUCCGCUGUACCCGAUAGGAUUUACUGUCAUUAUCCUAUCAUAACCUAGCAAUGUCUGUAGAUCCACCAACCCAUCUCGGUUCUGUUUCGUUUCCAUUAAAAACAAAAUGUCUGGGAAAUGUUCCUUCCGCAUUUCCCGUAACCUUGGAAUGACCAGGUCCUGUGCACGGCCCAAUCCCUGGCAAUUCCAACUGAUCAUAGACAUUUUAGAUGUUGGACGGUCCCUCACUUGGGACCACCAAUGGUUUCUUAAACCUUGCAGAGCUUUGAGAUGGCUCGACAUCUUCCUGUGCUUUCCUCUUUGCAUCCGUAACCACACCUUCCCCAACUAUUUUACCUCUUCCAGUAUCGGGCCUCAGUACCCCCUUCCCAUUGGCUCUCCUGGUGAACGUACCAGGCCUUUUUCUUCCCUUUGCUUUCUUAAGAAGAGUUCCAGAAGCACUAGGAACAUAGGAGCCAGCGCUAUAACCCGUUAGACUUGCAGGAGAGCCGCCCUGGUUUGAAUCAGAUUGCUCCAUUGAAAUAGGCUUCUCCGUUACCACCUUUCCGGAUUGAAGAACUCUGUUUCCCGCCGAAAUUGCGCCCGCCAAUAAUUUCUCCUAUCUUUGGAUAGCAUCAGGACAAGCGCUAAAGUCAAAGACAAUCCCUUUUCCUCUAUCCAAGUCUUUGGUUACAGUCGGAGGGGUCUCAAGUCUGAGAGAGAUUUUCUGAGCAAUGGGAUCUUUCUCAAGGUCUUCAAUGGAUUUCCUAAUCCUUUCCUCCCUAGCACCCUUCUCCGCGCCCGAAGCAGCCUUUAAGUAUAACCUCAUAUCCUCCAGAACUUCCUCAGCAAUCUUCGGUCUGCCAGUGAUAGGGUCCAACCCUAGCUGAUGCUCUGGAAUGAGCCCGAAGAGCGGGUCAGAUUUUUUCUGAUGGGCAAAAUCCUCAUUUCUUUUACUUUCCGCAGAUGAGCCUUCCAGGAUCUCCGUGGAAGCCUUCAAGUUUUUGAAGAUAGGACACUGAGGUUGCUCAUGGGUGAUCCUCUGACAUGUAUAACAUCUUUUCUGAAGCCUUUCAUAAUCAUAUAAGAUGUUUACCGCUUCUCCUCCUGGUGUUGUAACUUUCUUCGCCCUCCUAAGAGGUUUUGAGACAUCAAACCGUACCAGAACUCUUACAUAAUCUCUGACCUGAGAUUUGUCGGGAUCAAAGGCCACCACCUCCACUUUACCAGCAAAAUCUCCCAGAGAUUCUAAUGCUUUCUUCGUGUAGUGGUUGAUGGGAAUGUUUCUCAUCUGAACCCAUACAGAUAUAUAUUGUAGAUAGUCCUCCGGCGGUUUCUCAACCCAUCUCUCCAGAGCAAUAGGCCACAUGUUGUGUGUGUGAGCUCCUUUGUUGAGCACAUCGAUCAUAUCUUGUUCAUGUUUGAAGAUAAACUGAAACUUAUCUUUUGAUAAGGCCACUCCUUUCACCCUGUCGUACAGACGCCACUUCCGAGGCAUGUCGAGGAUUAGGUCUGCCAUGCUCUGGCACUUAGGGUUCAGUAAUCUGCCAACCACGCUUAGCGCAUUCCUACCCGUUGAGUAAUACUCCGGAUGAUCAGGAAGCAGAAAUGGUUCAUCGUCUUCUUCUAAUGACAACUGAAGCAGAGCUUUAUCCAGAUGUGACGUCAUUGAGAAUUCCAAACUUGAAGAAAAGUGUAGUGACUAACAAUGAGACAGAUCGGCGAAAAUCCCUUUGAUUUGAAGAAGAACCUGAUGAAGCUUCAAGAACAAAACGUAGACUUUUUUUUGGAUCUGAAAAGAUAAUGAUGUUAAAAGCCAAUAAUGAGGAUGACUUUUGAGAAAGGAACCGUGUUUUUUCCACCAAAGGCCCCACUUUGCUUGAAAGAGUAUUUUAGCAAACAGGGAAGAAAGCCCAAAAAAAGGAAUCUGCUAUAUUACGCCGAGAGAAUUCCUUGAGAUUUUUUUUUGACUCGUUCGCUUGUUCAUAUUGGUCAAUUGGUAAUAUAAUUAAUUUAUUACUAUCUUAAGAAAAAAAUUGUUUAUUUACUACAAAAACACUAUGUAUAUAUGGAAAGAAUAUGUUGAGCCAUUCCCAAUUCCUACAAAUUCAACACCAAUAUAGCAAAUCUUAUUGAUAAAUCCUGCAUCAAUGAGAAAUUCACCAAAACUUUACGAGAAGAUGAAUUAGACCUUCAGUGCAGAUUACAAAAAGGAACGGAGACAGAGGGUCGCCUUGCCUAAUCCCUCUUUCUGGUUGGAUGUUUCCAAACGGCUGGUCAUUAAUGAGCGUAGAGUAUCUAACAGUAGAUACGCAGAACAUCACUCUUUCUACCCACAUGGUCUCAAACCCUAUAGCCAAUAGGAGAGCUCGAAGAUACCCCCAUUCCACGCGAUCAUAAGCCUUCGACAUAUCUGACUUGAUGGCCAUGAAUUCCUUCGAUAUACUUCGAUCAGUCCUCAGCGCAUGAAUGACUUCAUGGGCAAUUAGAAUGUUGUCGGUGAUGAGUCUCUCCUCUACAAAGGCAGAUUGUGUUGGUGAAACUAUAUCAACAAGGAGUGGCUUAAGCCGAGACACCAAAAUAUUUGAGAUGAUCUUGUAUAGGACCGAACAAAGGCUGAUAGGUCUUAGGUCAGACAUGAGAAUCGGUUCAUCAAUCUUUGGCAGGAGACAGAGAUGAGUGUAGUUCCAUUCCAAAGGAAAGGUCCCGAAUACAAAAAAUUCCCGCACCUCUUUUGUCACUUGAUCACCUAUCGUGUUCCAAUAACUCUGGAAAAACAACCCCGUCAUACCAUCCGGUCCUGGCGCACUGCUCGCUUUGAUAGAGAAGACCGCCUCUUUCACCUCCUCCUUACUAACCUCUCUGACUAGAAUCUCAUUCAUACCUGCUGUCACCCUACUCGAGAACCCUUCAAACAACGCAGAGAAAUCUCCAGAAUUAGCCGAGGAAAAAAGUUUUUUGAAGUAUUCAGUAGCUACCUCUCCUUUUGCAGCCUCAGAGAAAUGUGCCUGCCCUCUAUCAUCCAUAAGUUUGGUGAUUCUUCUUCUCGAUCUGUUCGCUUUUACCGACGCAUGAUAAUAUUUGGUAUUUAAAUCUCCUUUCACCGCCCACUUAUCUUUGCAUCUUUGCUUCCAAAACAAUUCCUCCUCUCUAUACGCCUGAAUCAGCUCUGCUUUUAAAAAGUUAAUCCUUAGAGUAGCAGGAUACAUCGCAGAUUGCUCCAUCUCCAAAGCGUACUGAAUCUGUUUGAUCUUGUCCCUGGAGUUUAUGUUCUCCUUCUUUUUCCAUCUGCUUAACGCCUUUCUGCAAUUCUUCAGUCUAUCAGCUACCUUGGUUUCGAAUAAAGGGUGAUUUGUGAGCCAAGCUUUCUUGAUUUCAUCUUGAACCCCAGUCUUAUGUAAGAAUCUGCCAUCAAACCGAAAGCUUCCUCUGUAACUCUCUGAGGCAUUGAUCAGCUUGACUAGGACUGGUCUAUGGUCAGAUCCUCGUUUGUCCAUGAAGACUUGAUUAGACGCUGGAAACAGUUGAAACCAUCUCUUAUUCCCAAAACCCCUAUCCAACUUGGAGUGUAUCGAUAAUGUUCCUCUCUGACCACCCCAAGUGAAGCUGUUCCCUGUACUAGGAAGCUCAGUCAUCUCCCCAAUAAGCAGCAUAUCGUUAAAAGCUUGAAACGAUUUCUCACUUCUUCUCGGACCGCCUAUUUUCUCAUCAUUGUUUCUAAUCUCGUUGAAAUCACCAACCAUACACCAUGGCUCUUUCCUAUAAGCUCCUAUACGUGAAAGUCUUUCCCAGAGUUUUGGUCUAUUACUCUUUUCCGGCUCCCCAUAAAUACAAGAUACAAAAAAGCAAUCCUUCCCAAACCGCACCUUAAAGUCCACUAGAUGCUUGUCUACAAACUUGAAAUCAAUAUGUACAAAAUGUUUCCACAUCAAUGCUAAGCCUCCGCUGUACCCGAUAGGAUUUACUGUCAUUAUCCUAUCAUAACCUAGCAAUGUCUGUAGAUCCACCAACCCAUCUCGGUUCUGUUUCGUUUCCAUUAAAAACAAAAUGUCUGGGAAAUGUUCCUUCCGCAUUUCCCGUAACCUUGGAAUGACCAGGUCCUGUGCACGGCCCAAUCCCUGGCAAUUCCAACUGAUCAUAGACAUUUUAGAUGUUGGACGGUCCCUCACUUGGGACCACCAAUGGUUUCUUAAACCUUGCAGAGCUUUGAGAUGGCUCGACAUCUUCCUGUGCUUUCCUCUUUGCAUCCGUAACCACACCUUCCCCAACUAUUUUACCUCUUCCAGUAUCGGGCCUCAGUACCCCCUUCCCAUUGGCUCUCCUGGUGAACGUACCAGGCCUUUUUCUUCCCUUUGCUUUCUUAAGAAGAGUUCCAGAAGCACUAGGAACAUAGGAGCCAGCGCUAUAACCCGUUAGACUUGCAGGAGAGCCGCCCUGGUUUGAAUCAGAUUGCUCCAUUGAAAUAGGCUUCUCCGUUACCACCUUUCCGGAUUGAAGAACUCUGUUUCCCGCCGAAAUUGCGCCCGCCAAUAAUUUCUCCUAUCUUUGGAUAGCAUCAGGACAAGCGCUAAAGUCAAAGACAAUCCCUUUUCCUCUAUCCAAGUCUUUGGUUACAGUCGGAGGGGUCUCAAGUCUGAGAGAGAUUUUCUGAGCAAUGGGAUCUUUCUCAAGGUCUUCAAUGGAUUUCCUAAUCCUUUCCUCCCUAGCACCCUUCUCCGCGCCCGAAGCAGCCUUUAAGUAUAACCUCAUAUCCUCCAGAACUUCCUCAGCAAUCUUCGGUCUGCCAGUGAUAGGGUCCAACCCUAGCUGAUGCUCUGGAAUGAGCCCGAAGAGCGGGUCAGAUUUUUUCUGAUGGGCAAAAUCCUCAUUUCUUUUACUUUCCGCAGAUGAGCCUUCCAGGAUCUCCGUGGAAGCCUUCAAGUUUUUGAAGAUAGGACACUGAGGUUGCUCAUGGGUGAUCCUCUGACAUGUAUAACAUCUUUUCUGAAGCCUUUCAUAAUCAUAUAAGAUGUUUACCGCUUCUCCUCCUGGUGUUGUAACUUUCUUCGCCCUCCUAAGAGGUUUUGAGACAUCAAACCGUACCAGAACUCUUACAUAAUCUCUGACCUGAGAUUUGUCGGGAUCAAAGGCCACCACCUCCACUUUACCAGCAAAAUCUCCCAGAGAUUCUAAUGCUUUCUUCGUGUAGUGGUUGAUGGGAAUGUUUCUCAUCUGAACCCAUACAGAUAUAUAUUGUAGAUAGUCCUCCGGCGGUUUCUCAACCCAUCUCUCCAGAGCAAUAGGCCACAUGUUGUGUGUGUGAGCUCCUUUGUUGAGCACAUCGAUCAUAUCUUGUUCAUGUUUGAAGAUAAACUGAAACUUAUCUUUUGAUAAGGCCACUCCUUUCACCCUGUCGUACAGACGCCACUUCCGAGGCAUGUCGAGGAUUAGGUCUGCCAUGCUCUGGCACUUAGGGUUCAGUAAUCUGCCAACCACGCUUAGCGCAUUCCUACCCGUUGAGUAAUACUCCGGAUGAUCAGGAAGCAGAAAUGGUUCAUCGUCUUCUUCUAAUGACAACUGAAGCAGAGCUUUAUCCAGAUGUGACGUCAUUGAGAAUUCCAAACUUGAAGAAAAGUGUAGUGACUAACAAUGAGACAGAUCGGCGAAAAUCCCUUUGAUUUGAAGAAGAACCUGAUGAAGCUUCAAGAACAAAACGUAGACUUUUUUUUGGAUCUGAAAAGAUAAUGAUGUUAAAAGCCAAUAAUGAGGAUGACUUUUGAGAAAGGAACCGUGUUUUUUCCACCAAAGGCCCCACUUUGCUUGAAAGAGUAUUUUAGCAAACAGGGAAGAAAGCCCAAAAAAAGGAAUCUGCUAUAUUACGCCGAGAGAAUUCCUUGAGAUUUUUUUUUGACUCGUUCGCUUGUUCAUAUUGGUCAAUUGGUAAUAUAAUUAAUUUAUUACUAUCUUAAGAAAAAAAUUGUUUAUUUACUACAAAAACACUAUGUAUAUAUGGAAAGAAUAUGUUGAGCCAUUCCCAAUUCCUACAAAUUCAACACCAAUAUAGCAAAUCUUAUUGAUAAAUCCUGCAUCAAUGAGAAAUUCACCAAAACUUUAUGUUGCUUUUCUGAUCAUGGUUCUUUUGUUUGGUCCGAGUCAUGAGCUACCACCGUUUUGGCUCGAAACCACCGUCACAAUGACAAAUAAUCUUGGAGGUCCACUUCUUACGGUUCAUUGCAAAUCUAAAGAUAACGAUUUGGGGGUUCACAUGGUGGCUGCCAACACAGAUUACCACUUUACAUUUCAAUCAAAUCUCUGGAAAUCAACACUGUUCUUUUGCAGCUUCCACUGGAACAAUCAGGUCAAGCAGUUUGAUAUAUUUGAUGCUUUGAGAGAUCAAGAUGAAUGUUAUAAAUGUAACUGGACUAUCAAACCUGAUGGUCUAUGCAAGCUUGAUAAAAAAGGUAAAUGUUUCCCAUGGAAAUGAUUUGAUAUAAUAUAUGAUUGUGAUGGUGAAUAUAAAGAUGAUCAAAUGAAAUAUCUAAUAAAAGUCAUUUUAGGAUGAAAACAAUUUCAGUCUCUUUGUAUUCUUAUAUUUUAGUUUUUUCUAAUUAUUUAUUAGAAAGGUCAAUUUUUUUUUUGGUCAACAGCUUUUCAUUCAACUAAUAAAAGCUUACAUAUUGUUUUGCAACAUAAGAGAAGCGAGAGCAUUUUUUGCAAGGUUAUCCGCUACAAGGUUUGCGGAGCGCGGAAUUAAAACAAAAGAUAGAGAUGUGAAGAAAGGAAUGAGGUGACUAAUAUCGCAUAGAAGUUCCGCUAUCUCGUUCAACACCGACCCUGAUCGCAUGGCAGAAAUGAGGACGCUUGAGUCCGAUAGAAUCUGGAGCCUUGAAAACCCCUCUUUUGAUGCUUCCUGCAUCGCCUUCCGAAUGGCUAGAGCCUCCGCUAUUAGAGCUGAUCCGACAAAGCUGCGCGACUCCGCGCCUUGGAUCUCCAAAUGGGUCUUCUUAUCCUGUAUAAACCAACCAAGUCCAGCACAUUUAGUCUCAACAUUCCAAGCCCCAUCUACCGAACAUGUCGGAACCUCAGUCACAAUCUUUUCUGCAUUGCUUCGCAAAGGGAGUUCAAAUGUUUCUGGUUUUGUCUUAGCAGCUUCCCAUUCUUUAGCAUCUCGAACUGCUUUGGAGAGAGUCUCCUCCGCUGUGUAUAGCUUAUCCUCAAACAGUCUCUUGUUCCUUGCUGUCCAAAGGUUCCAAAUGAUCCAAGGGGACAGGGGGGAACAACACAGACCUGACGGCGGGAGAUUUAGGACCUUGGGGAUAAGGGACAAUAGGUGUUGUAGUGUGCCCAAAGGGAAGGCCUGAGCUUGGGAGCCAGGGAGAAAGAUUGGAGCGAGCUCCCAUGUUCGUUGAGCAAAAGGACAGUGCAUGAGAACAUGUUCAACAGUUUCCAGCAUCCCACAAACCUUACACGCAUGAGCAACUUCCACUCCACGUCUGAUCAGAAGCUCUGCGACAGGUCAGAAGCUCCGCGACAGAUAGGGCACUGUUCAGAGCUCUCCAAAUGAAAUGUUGGAUCUUUCCUGGAGCGUCUAGUUUCCAGACAUGUUUGAUCCAAUCAAACCCAAGCGGGUUCGGUUGAUGUUCUAUUAGAUUGGUCAUCCUAUAGCCAGACUUGGUGGUAUAGUUACCUUUGCUCUCUCCUAACCACACCAAUUUAUCAGGAGGUUUUUUGGAACUGGGGAUUAGCUGCCUGAUAACUUCCUCAUAAUGAGGUAAAUGGAACCGCACCAAAGAUAAAUUCCAUUCAUUCGAGUCCGGUAAUAGCAAGUCUUGGACUUUAAGGUGCUGGUUUGUCCUUGUUGGAGGUCCAAUGGGCGUCAGCAGUUUUGAAGUGGAGAGCCAAGGGCUAGACCAUACGUUGAUACUAGCUCCAUCUCCUACCAAGUAGCCCAACCCCUUCUCAAGAACAUCUUUCCCUGCCAUUAUCCCUGUCCAACCAUGUGACGCCGCCUGUUUAGGGGUGCUCUCCAUAAAGGAGCAUUCUGAGAAAUACUUUCCUUUCAGCACUUGGGACAGUAAAGCUUCGGGGUUGUUCAUGAUGCGCCAUCCCAAUUUAGCUAGGAGGACAUCAUUGAACGAUUCAAUAUUCUUAAAGCCUAGGCCCCCCACACAUUUUGGCGUUGCCAUUCGAUCCCAUGAAACCCACGCCAUCUUCCGUUUAUCAGGUGCACUAUCCCACCAAAAUCUUGUCAAGAUUGAUUGGAUGCGCUUACAGACUGACUUGGGGAUUUUGAAGCUUUGCAUGGAGAAGUUGGGGAGAGUUGAUAGGACUGUUUGCAGCAUCACAUGCUUUCCCGCACCCGAUAGGAACUUCAUCGGCCAUGCUUGGGAGCGUUGGCGUAUCUUGUCCACCAGUCCUGUAAAAACAUCCCUCUUCUUGCGUCCAAAAUUCUUAGGUAACCCUAGGUAUUUGCCCAUGCCACCUUCCUUCUCUAUGCCAAUAAAGGUUUUAACUCUACGCAUGAUCGACUCUGGCGUUUUCGAGGAGAAGGAUAUUGUUGACUUGUUCAGGUUUAUGCACUGCCCUGAGCAGUUCUCGUAUCUCUUUAGAAUCCUCAUUAGAGAGGUACAGCUCUUCACAUUGGUACUACUGAAAAAGACUGUAUCAUCCGCGAACAAUAAAUGGUUGAUGAAAGGGCUUCUUCGAGCCACUUGUAGUCCCUUCAGUUGCCCAUUUUGUUGUUCCUUCAGGCACAGUCCCGUGAGUACCUCAACACACAGAAUGAACAGGUACGGGGACAGCGGGUCUCCUUGCCGUAGCCCUCUGUUCGGUUGAACUUUACCAAACGGCGCACCAUUGAUGAGGUAUGCAUACGAAACAGUGGAGACACAUUCCAUCACCCAAUUCACCCACACCGAGUCAAAGCCUAGCUGGUCGAGGACUUUGGCUAGGAAAGUCCACUCAAUUCUGUCGUACGCUUUGCUCAUGUCGGUUUUGAUCACCAUGGAGCAUCUCUUUGAGGCUUCAGAAAACUUUAGAUAGUGCAGGUUCUCGUGAGUGAUAAGGAUGUUGUCCGUAAUAGCACGCCCCGGGACAAAAGCUGAUUGCUGCUUGGACACGAUGUGAUCAAGGAACUUCUGGAGACGAAGGGUUAGUAUCUUUGCUAUGAUCUUGUAGCGCACAUUGCAGAGCGCUAUGGGACGGAACUCUGAGGGGCUCUUUGCACCAGGGACCUUAGGGAGUAGACAAAUAUGCGUUUCAUUGAUUUUUGGAUCCAUUUUUCCAGUCAGGAAAAAGUCCCGCACCUCCCUACAGAUGUCCUCCCCUAUCACUUCCCAAAAGGAAUGAUAGAACCCUGCAGAGAAACCGUCUGGUCCUGGCGCCUUAUCAGUGUUGAUUUGCUUCACUGCGCAGAGAAUCUCCGUAUCCGUUGGGAUCGCCGUGAGUAUUUGAUUGGUCUCCGGGGAAAUACGCCUUGAGAUGGAUUCUUCAACAGCCCCCAGACCACCAGCGCCAUUAGAUGUAAAGAGUUUGGUAUAGUAGUCUUCAAAGACUUUACCGAUCUCAGUCUCCUCAUGAAAAGGUAUGCCGACUUCAUCUUCAAUGGUGGUUAGGCGAUUAUAGGAUCUCCUUCGUUUAGUUACAGCAUGGAAGUAGGCGCUGUUCCUGUCUCCUCCUUGUAACCAUUGCACCCUACUUCUUUGACGCCAGUACAAUUCCUCCUCCUUGUAUGCUUUGCUGAGGGCUAGGGAGAGCUCCCUGAUGAUUUUCGGGUAUGGGUUUCCACAGGAAAGAUGCUCCUCCAAUAUAGACUGGAGAUCAAUAAUAGCUUUUGCACUAUUCUCCUUCUUGGUUUUAAACCAUUUGAUUAGUUCCUCACAACAACGCUUUAUCUUAUUUUCCACCUGCUUAAGUACAUCUUUCUGCCAGGCUUCUUCUAUCACUUUGCGUGCCUCUGGCAUAUCCUUGAUGUUUCGGUCGUACCUGAACAAGCGCCUCCUCUUAGGCUUGGAUGAAUCCAAGUAGGUCACCAGAGGUCUAUGGUCAGAACCCUCAAAACGGAGGUAAUCACAGCGGCCAGCAGGGAACAUAUCAAACCAAGCACAAUUUGCUAAUGCACGGUCCAACCUGGCUCGGAUGAAGUGUGUACAUUGUUGCCCCCUCCACGAAAGGGGGUUGCCUACAUGCUUCACAUCCCACAAGCCAUUUUCCGACACAAAGCUUCGAAAGGGGAUAAAAGAACCCUCACAUCUCUCUGGUCCCCCGACCUUCUCCACAUUGUCUAAGAUGUCAUUAAAGUCCCCUGAAAGAAGCCAGGCAGUAUCUCUGUCUCGCCCAAGCUGGGAAAUGGAUUCCCAAAACGCAGCUCUAUUUUCUUGUUGAGGCAUCCCAUAUAUAAAAGUGACAUGAAACUCAAUAUUUUUUACCUUCAGUUUGGUGUCAAUGAAGUGUGGGGUCGCUUCAAGUAUACUGAUGUCAAUGUCUGCUUUCUAGAAGAGUGCCAAGCCUCCACUGAUGCCAAUUGGUGGGACUGUGAGGUGGUCAUCAUAUCGGAGACUCUGGAGCUCAGAAAGCACAAACUCAUCUUGAUUUUUGGUCUCCAUUAGGAAGAGACUAUUCGGGUUUAGGGUCUUUUUUAUUUCCCGGAUUCUUGGAACUGUCAAGUCACCUCCCAAACCUUGACAGUUCCAGCAGGCUAGAGCUAAGGAAUCGGGUUUUGCGGGGGCCGAAAAUCCGCCCUUCGCUUCCUUGUUGCUGGGACUUGCACUAUUGUUGGGGGUUCUUGCGCUUGAGGAUCAGGUAAGUCUUCAUUCCCACUCCUUUCCACACAUAAUUUCUUGCGGGGCGGAUUAGUGGAGCGAGCUGUCAUCUGUUUCGAAAGGCGCGUACUUUGGAGGGGACUUCUAUUCACUUUUGCUCUGGUUGCUCUCUUCCCUUGAGCUGCUGGAUUAGCACUGGUUCCUUUCUUUGCCGAUGCUUUGCUUGCAGCUUUCUUUUUACUUGAGGAUGCUUGAUUAGUUUUGGUUUUAGUGCCUACAGGAGAGCCAAUUCGCAGUGUAGCAGGGACUCUCUGACCAGACACAGGGUGAUCCCUAGCCGGUGACUGGUUAUGUUUGCUACCAGCACUUCCUUCAUUAAAUUUAUUACGAAGGUCUCCUUGCUCAUAGUUGACCUCAACAUCUUGCAGCCGUGCUAUCAAUGAGGUGGAGAGGCCACCAGACCUCUGGGAUUCCUGAUGGGGGCGCUCAAUUCUCUCCAGCGCUGAUCGUCGCUCUGAGGAGUGGCUGUUAAUCUCACCACGUUCCGGAAUAACCGGUAGUUCCAUAGGCUCCCUGGCUGGAUUCGGGGGAGGGGUCCUUGAGGACUGAGAAUAUUGAGGACGAUCCCCAUGAAGGUGGUAUUCUCUCGAAGAGUGGGUGGAGGAACGGUCUCUUAGCUCUCUUCUCUCAAAUGUAGGCCUCCUGUCCUGAGCUCUUCCUACAGCUCUUGAGUCAUAAGAUGAUUGGUGUCGCGCAUAGUCAUGGUAAGGUCUUCUUUCCGGAUAACUUGGUCGAGAGGUAGCUGAUCUUUGAGAUACCGCAUGAUCAUCUCUAGGAAGAGAAUCCGAGUUCCUCAUUUGGCUUGUUGGAGCUCGUCGGUAGUCUUGACGUCUUCAGUGAUCCUCUAGGCUCCUCAGUGUAUUCUGCUGGCUUAUUCCCAACUCGUGGGCAGAUGUUCUUGUCGAGACUGGUUUACUAGGGCAGUCAUCCUCCUCAUGGAAGAGAGAGUAGCAGUAGAAACAAUGUUUCUGCAGAUUUUCGUACUCCAAGUCCACAUUGAAGACUUCACCAGACUGAAGUUGGACCGGAAGUUGCAUCUCCAGGUUUUUUAGACAAUCAAUAUCCACACGAACUCUGCCUUGGGGAAUGUCCUCAUCCAUGUGGACACCAAGCGCUUUUCCAAUAGUUUCUAGGAUCUGGAAGGUCCAGAAGUGGAGGGGCAGGCCGUGAAUAUUAAUCCAGAAUGGAGUACGCCUGGGGAAAGAGUUUGAGACGAUUGGCUCCCAUCGUUGUAGGAUGAUCAUCCACCUUUUGUAGUGGAAAGGUGCUCGCCGCAUUACAGAUAAUAAGGCAUCCUCUGUCUCAAAUUUGACUUGGAACAAGUCUGGUCCUAGAGUUCUUCCUGUGACAGCGGUUUCGAGGUUCCAGAAUUGGAUUAGCCAGUCCAGGACCCACUGAGGUUUUUGGAUCGAUGGUUUGGUGACCCGACCUAAGAGAGUGAGCUUGUUGUCUUCGAUGAGUUCUGAGUUGUCAUUUGACGGGAGUAGAAUUGGGGCUCUUCUUCCUUGCGAAGAGGGUUUCCGUGUUGGGGUUCUAGAUGCCUCAGGCACCCAUUUUCCUUUUUCGGAUCUUGAAUACCUGUUCGACAUGUUGAUGUAGGUUGCACUAACUAAUGAGCUGGGUUGAAUCCUCACUGCGAGGUAACGACGAGGUGGUCCGUAGAGACUGAGUGUGGUAGCUCUCACUGACGAGAGAGGAAACUGUCCUCCGGUCCUUAGCGUCGAGGUAAAGAAGCUGGUAUGUUUAGUUUAUGAAGUUUUCGUCGAACAAAGCUCCCAGAUCUGUCAUGGGUUUCUUUCCAGAUUUCAUUUCUACACCGUACAAAGAACCACCAUAAAAGGGGGAAAUCGAUUGCCCCAAAAAACUUCACGCCGGAAAGUAGUUGCGGUGGUUGUCGGAGCUACAGGACGGAGGAGCUAAGGUGGAGAGCGGAGGCGAUCGAACUAGAUCUGAGGAGUGCGCUUGUCUGGGGAAAUGGGCCUGGGAGAGAUUUCAAAAAACGCGUGCAUCUCAAACGCUCUAUUGAACGCAACCAAAGCCUGGUUAGAAACAUUAGAAAGGUCAAUUUAUAUGUAUUUUAUCUUGAAAAUAAAUGAGUUGAUGUAUGCAUUGGCAACCAAAGAGAGUGAAUGCAUGACAUGAAAACAAUAAUUCGAUUUAACGACAUGAAACCAUCGAUUUUUAUCUUUACACGUCAACUAAAAUCUGCAGCUACAAAAAAAACCAAUACACAACAUCUUGAAAUCCAACGGUCAUUAGUCAGUCUUCUUACAGUACAAACCUAGUACAGACCUAGCAAUAAUUUUAUAUAUCCUCUGAAAUCGGUGGCUUUCAUGGUAUAGGCGGCAUACAGUUGCAUAGGUGGUGCAACUGGAAUCAGUGGCUUUCAUGGUAUAGGCGGCAUUGGUAAAUACGGUGGCAUAGGUGGCGCAGUUGGAAUCGGUGGCUUUCAUGGUCUUUUGGGGUGAUCAUUAGGGUGACUUUGAUCUAUUUUCUAGUUUGUCUUUUCUGUAAACAUUUGAUUUGAUUUCGUCUAUCGUGUUAUGUAACGCAUUAUGCAUGAAUUAUUAGUCAUGGUUUGUUUUGGUUGAUGGUUCCUAUUUUUGCAUGUUCAAAAUAAAGUCUAGAGGAAUCUGUCAAGGCUUAGAAUGAUGUUCUUUUAAUGGAUUUUCUUUGAAAUUGCAUUUAUGUUGAUGAUCUAUACACAAAAGAAAAAGAAAAAUAUUUAGAUAAAAGUUUAAAAUCCUUUUAUAUAUAUAUAUUUUUUUAAUUGGCUUGAUCCUUUUAUAUAAUAAGACCAACAAAUCUAAAACAUGCAUUACUCAUGAAAUAAUGGAAAAAACGGAUGGAGUUUUAUGGAGUACAAAGGCAUGAGAAGCGUAUAUAUGUAGGUAUUAUUGUUGGAAUUGUGUGAGCACAUGUCCAACUCUAUAUUAUCCGAUUAGUACGAUAUUGUCCACUUUGAGCCUAAUUGACUGGUUCCCAUGAAUUUACUUUUGGACUCCUUUCCAAAAGGCCUCGUACUAAUUAGAGUUAGACAUUAUCGUGUCCUACAACUGAACUUCCAUGAUCUUCUGAUUUGAUCUCUGCCACACACCUCUCAUUUCUAACUUAUAGUAUACCAUUCAUCUCUCGAAGGGUAUUUUGAUCUUUUCGUCGAUUUCUCGUCAAUCUGGCUUUGAUACUAAUUGUUGGAAUUGUGUGAACCCAUGUCCAACUCUAUAUUAUCCGGUAGGUACGAUAUUGUCUACUUUUGGUCUAAUUGGCUGGCCCGCGUGAAUUUACUUUUGGACUCCUUCCCAAAAGGUUUCGUACUAAUUAGAGUUUGACAUCUCUUUAUAUAUUAGUUGUCUAAUUUGAUAUUUCACAAUUAUAUAUGUUGGUUGGAUUGUACAACAAAUCGGAUUGAACCAAAUAAUGGACUCCUUCAAAGAAAACUAAUCCAACAUGCGUUAUACAUGUAUACAUUUGUAAAACUGAAUUAAAACUAACCAACUCGAUAACUUAGAUAAUUCUUAUAUAUAUACGGAUACUUUUUUUUAUCACGAUGUAUAUACGGAUACUUACCCACGCCAAAUCGCUGAUAAACAAGAAUGCAUGAUUCGUUCAACGUAAAUACGAUUAUAAUUCAUGUUAGUUGUUUCAAUUCAUACUAUAUAAACAUAUAUUUUAACUAGAUAUCUUAAUGAAGUAUUCGAACGUACCAGUCAACGUUUCAGAAAUUGACAUUGUACUAUAGUAUAUAUAAUAUACUCUCUCCGUUUUAUAUUAAGUGUCGUUUUAGAGAAUUUUUUUCGUUACAAAAUAAGUGUCGUUUUCGAUUUUCAAUGUAAAAUUUAUUAAUUUUAUGCAAAAUUUAUUUUUCUAUUGGUUGAAAUAUGGUUAGGUGUAUAGGUAAUAGUUUUUUUAUAGGAAAUGUAUAAAAUUAAUUGUUUUUUUAAUCCGUGUGUCGAAAACUAAACGACAUUUAUAAUGAAACAUAAGGAGUAAUUAACAUAGUAGGAAAUUAUUUUGGCAGUUCGAUAUUUUAAAUAAAAAGUAUAUAAUAAAUGUGGGCUAAGAUCCACAGAAAAUAUAAGCAACAAUAAAUGACGUAGUAAAGGCCUUGGGAUGAGAGUGACGAAAAUUAAAUAAGAUACGAGUUGCAUGACAAACACUUGUUUCAUUCAUGCAUGGUCAUCUCAUCUCUAUAACCUUUCUCAGUGGCCCAACUUGAAUUUACUUACUCUCGUGCAAUCAAUUACGACGUGUAUAAGAGUUUUGAUAUGUUCCAUCCGUUUAGAAAAGAUAGAUGUUUUAAAUUUUUUAUUUUUUCGCAAAAAUAAAUAUUUUCUGUUUUCUAUGAAAAUAUUGUAAACUUUAAAAAAAUUAAUUGAUUUUACUAAAUUACUAUUGGUUAAAAAAUAUUAAAAAUUAAAAAUUGUAGAAAACAAUACAUUUAUUAUAAUCACUCCGUUUUUAAUAUAAGUCGUUUUAGAAUUGCAUAUAUAGAUUAAAAAAAUCAUUAAUUUUUAUAUUUUCUAAACAAAAACAUCAUUAAUUAUUUAUUUAAUCACAAAUCAACCAAUAAUAAAAUAGAAGGUAUAUUAUCAUUGGUCAUAUAACAUUAAGUGUUAAUAAAUUUUACAUAAAAAAUCGAAAACGCCAUAUAAUUUGGAACAUAAUUUUUUUUCUAAAACAACUUAUAUUAACAAUUUUUAAUGUGUUUUUUUAAUAUGUGUGAAAACGCUAAAAAGUCUAUUUUUCUGAAAUGGAAGGAAUCUUUUUUUUUUCUGUAUUUGCAUAUAUGCAUAUAUAUAUAUAUAUAUAUAGUAUUUUUUAAGAAAAAAAUACAAAACUUAUAUGGUCUAAAAAUUCUAGACAUCACAUUUAUUGUAGCUUGGAUUCAAUUUUUUUUAAAUGAACUAAUGAUUGGUCGAUGAUUUUUAAUUUUUAUUUAUUUUAAUUGGAUCUAAAAAUAAAAAAGUAAGUCUAUAACCAAUUAAUAUCACUUGCCAAAUAAUUUACAUAAUAAUAUUACAAAUAAUAAUUUACGAUAACUAAUUGUUGAAAUUAUAGAAAGAGAAAUAAAUGGAUCAUUUUUAUAUUUAAAAAAGUACGGAAAAUAAUAAACGACAAACCGUUUAUAUAAAUCAAUAUAAAGAUUUUAUAUUCUUAUUUAAAAGCAUUAUAUUUUAUAUAAAUUAUCAUAAUCCUACUAUAUAUUAACUGAGAAGUAAAUUUAGUGAUUUUUGUUUACGUGUCGAUCAUAGGUGAACUCUUACAAAAUUGUUAUAAUUUGAUUGGUCGAUGAUUUUUAAUUUUUAUUUAUUUUAAUUAGAUCAAAUGUAAGUCUAUAACCAAUUAAUAGUAUUUGCCAAAUAAUUUACAUAAUAAUAUUACAAAUAAUGAUUUAUGGUAACUAAUUGUCAAAAUUAUAGAAAGAGAAAUAAAUUGAUCAUUUUUAUAUUUAAAAAUACAUAAAAUAAUAAACGACAAACCGUUUAUAUAAAUCAAUAUAACGAUUUUAUAUUCUUAUUUAAAAGCAUUAUAUUUUAUAUAAAUUAUCAUAAUAACUAUUAACAUCUCCUAAAGUUCAUAUUAUAUGCUUUAUAAAUCAUCUAUAAAAAUAUUUAUCAAAUUAUUUAUCUUGACUUAUUGUAUAUUUUAAGUUAUUAUAAGAGUUUGUAAGUCAUCUAUAAAAGCUUAAAGUGAAAGCUAUAUACCAUACUAUAUAUUGAUUGAGAAGUCAUUUAAGAGAUUUUUGGUUAUGUGUCGAUCAUUUAUGAAAUCUUAAAAAACUGUUAUAAAUUGAUUGUCGAUAGUUUAUAAUUUCUAUUUAUUUUUAUUUAUUUUAAUUAGAUUUAAAAGAAAAAAGUAAGUUUAUAAACAGUUAAUAUCACUUGCCAAAUAAUCUACAUAAUAUUACAAAUAAUUAUUUAUGGUAACUAAUUGUUGAAACUAUAGAAAGAGUAAUAAUGUUUGAUCAUUUUUUAUAUAUUUAUAAACUACAUAAAAUAGUAAACAAAAAGGUUUAUUAAAAUUGAUAUAAUGAUUUUACAUUCUUAUAUAAAGCAUUAUAUUUGUAUACGGCCCUAUAUUUGUAUAUAAAGUCAUAUAAUAACUAUUAAUAUCUAAUAGAAUUCAUACAUGCUUUAUAAAUCAUCUAUAAAAUUAUAAAUACAUUUAUAAAAUUAUUUAUCUGGGCUUAUCAUAUGUUUUAAAUUAUGAUAAGAGGUUUUAAUUAUUUAUACAAGCUCAUAAAUUAAUUUAUAAAAUCUAUUUUUAAAUUUUAUUUUAUAUUAAAUGAUAAAUCACUAAAUUGAUUUUUUUCUUAGGUGUCGAUCAUAUAUAGAGUUUGAGAAAAAAUAUUAUAAUUUGAUUUGUUUAUGGAUUUUCAAUUUUUAUUUAUUUUAUGAGUACCAAAAUUAGUUCUAGAAAUAGUUUUAUCAGCAUCCAAACGACCUAAAUAUACUGCACAAAAUAAUUUAUGGUAAUUAAAUAUGUGAUUUAUAAUAUAUAUAUAAUGCUUCAUAAAAUCAUUUUUAGCAAUCACGUAUUUAUAAACUAUAUAAAAUAUUACAAAACUUUCAGUAUUAUAUACCUUCAAAAAUUAAAUAAUUUUAUUAAAAACUGAAUCAUGAAUAUUAUACAUAACUAAUUUUAGUACAAUUACCAAUACAAAAUAUCAAAUAUAUUUAAAAUAGUCAUAUUUAUCUUUUUUUAAACAAUUAUUCUUAGAAAAAUAUUUAACAAAAACACAUAAUGAUAAAAACAUAUUUUAAUUUGAAAAAUUAUAAUAAAUUUAUUGUUACAAAACAUUCAAACCCGCGAAACCGCGGGCAUCCACCUAGUAUGUGUUGACCCCGACGAAAAUAAUGAGUUUUUUCGGUAAAUGUUUUAUUACUGAAGCCUAUGAUUUUAAGUGUUAUUUUAAAAUUUCUAAUCACAUUUCAAAUUUGUAUUAAUAUAUAUUAAACUCUCUUUCACGGUACAUAGGCAUUGUUUUAAUUUUUUAUCAAUUAAUUUAGUAAAACUUCAUAAUACUUCUAAAAUUGGUGGUCUAACCACUAUAAAAUCGCUAUUCUCUAGAGAAACGGAGAAACAAAGGUUCCAAACCUCUUUGACCUUCAUCAUAUGUUAGUGCAGGAUGCAACUAUGCAUUAAAACAAUAUUGUCAUAUUUUUGAAUUUUUCUCAAAAUUUAUGUGUUAACCCUUACGAAAAUAUUGAGUUUUUCGGUAAAUUCUCUAUAUACUGAAGCCUAUCAUCUCUAAUGUUGUUUUAAAAUUUCUAAACACAUUCUAAAUUUGUAUUAAUGUAUAUUAAGCUCUCUUUCAUGGUACACGGACAUCGUUUUAAUUUUUUAAUCAAUUAAUUUAGUAAAACUUUAUAAUACUCCCUAAAUUGGUGAAGUAGCCACUAUAAAAUCGCUAUUCUGUAGAGAAACGCAGACAACAAAGUUUCCAAACCUAUUUGACAUUCAUCAUAUGUUAGUGAAGUAUGCAAUUUUACAUUAAAACAAUAUUUUCAUAUUUUUGAUUUUUUCUCAAAAUCUAUGUGUUAACUCCCUACAAAAAUAUUGAAUUUUUCGGUAAAUGUUCUAUAUAUUGAAACCUAUGGUCUUUAGUGUUGUUUUAAAAUUUAUAAACACAUUAUACAUUUGUAUAAAUGUAUAUUAAACUCUAUUUCAAGGUACAUGUGCAUUGUUUUAAUUUUUCAUCAAUCAAUUUUGUAAAACUUUAUAAUAUUCCCUAAAUUGGUGGACUAACCACUAUAAUAUCGCUAUUCUCUAGAGAAACGGAGACAACAAAGGUUCCAAACCUCUUUGACCUUCAUCAUAUGUUAGUGUAGGAUGCAAUUAUGCAUGAAAAUAAUAUUGCUAUAUUUUUGAUUUUUUUUUUCAAAAUCUAUAUGUUAACAACUACAAAAAUAGUUUUUCGGUAAAUGUUCUAUAUACUAAAGCCUAUGAUUUUUAGUGUUUUUUUUAAUUUCUAAACACAUUCUACAUUUUUUAUAAAUGUAUAUUAAACUCUUUUUAAUGGUACAUCGGCAUCACUUUAAUUUUUUAUCCACUAAAUUAGUAAAACUUAUUAAUACUCCCUAAAUUGGUGGACUAACCACUACAAAAUCGUCAUUCUCUAGAGAAACAGAGACAACAAAGGUAACAAACCUCUUUGACCUUCAUCAUAUGUUAGUUUAGGAAGAAAUUAUGCAUUAAAAAAGUAUUGUUAUAUUUUUUGAAUUUUUUCCAAAAUUUAUGUGUUAAACCCCCUACGGAAAUUUGAGUUUUUCGGUAAAUGCUCUAUAUACUGAAGCCUAUGAUCUCUAGUGUUGUUUUAAAAUUUCUAAACACAUUCUACAUUUGUAUUAAAGUAUACUAAACUCUCUUUCAUGGUCCAUGGACAUCGCUUUAAUUUUUUAUCAAUCCCCUAUAUAUUAUUUGUAAAACAUUACAACUUCUUUUUGUAUCCACAUGUCAUCACUAGGAUGAUUCUUAGAAUUAUUAGAGAAAUAGGUUGGUCCAUCUCAUUAUAUAAUAAGCUUUUUAUUAAACUAACUAUAAAUUAAUUAUUAAUAUCAUUUAUUAUUUCAUUAAAUAAAGAUUACGGAAUUGCCUAAUGUGGGUAGAGUAUAUAUGACAAUUAAUGAUUUUGAAUAAUAAAGAUUUGAUAAAAAAAAGUAUCUUCUAUCAAAUUUGUUUAAUUUAAAACUAUUAAAAUAAUAUUUUUAAAAACACAAUAACCAUAUUAUAAAAAUUUACAUUUUUCUGUAUAUUUUAUAUUUUGAAUUUUAAAAAAUGACUAUAAAUUACUAAAACUGUUAAAAGUCUCACAUUCAAAUUUUGCGAUCCAUGGUUUAAAAUUUUUGUUAUGACAAAAUACAAAUGAUUACAAAAUCAUAUAAGUAAAAGUCUAAUUUAAUUAAUCAUUAAGAUUUAAAAUAUAUAUGUAUAUAUAUCAUUCUAAAUUAAACUAUAAACCAUAUUGAAUAAAUAAAUAUUUUAGUUUCAAAAUUUACUUUGAAUAAUUUUUUUUGAUAAAAGUUUUGAACUAACAUUGAUAAAUUUUUUAAAAUUAUCAAUUACUAAUAUUAUUAAUCCCACAAUAAAAAAUUUGUUAUCAGUAAUUUAAAGUUUUUGCUAUUAAAAAUACACAUGAUAAAAAAAACAUAUGAGUAGAAAGCAUCAUUUAAAAAAAAAAAAAAAAAAUAGACACUAAUAUUAAAAAUAUACUAUGUAUGUUAAUAUCAUUUAAAUUUAAUUACAUAUCCUAUCAAUUUUUUUUUUUAAAAUGUUUGGAUUAAUAAAAUUGAUUUAUACGUUCGCACCAAUUUAAUUAUAUAUGUAAUAGUUACUGACUUUUAAUUAUUCAAUAUAUAUUUAUUAUUUCAUAAUAUGUAAGAACAUAUAAUACAUAAAAUAAUUUCUAUAUAUAAUGUUUAUCCCGCGCAAGGCGCAGAUCUUAAUCUAGUUAAUUUAGUAAAACUUCAUAAUACUGCCUAAAUUGGUUGACUAACCACUAUAAAAUCGCUAUUCUCUAGAGAAACAGAGACAACAAAGGUUCCAAACUUCUUUGACCUUCAUCAUAUGUUAGUGGAGGAUGAAACUAUACAUUAAAAUAAUAUUUUCAUAUUUUUGAAUUUUUUUCAAAAUCUAUGUGUUAAUAACUCCUACGAAAUAUUGAGUUUUUCGGUAAAUGCUCUAUAUACUAAAGCCUAUGAUCUUUAGUGUUGUUUGAAAAUUUCUAAACACGUUCUACAUUUGUAUCAAUGUAUAUUGAACUCUCUUUCAUGGUAUAUGUGCAUUGUUUUAAUUUUUUAUCAAUUAAUUUUGUAAAACUUUAUAAUAUUCCCCAAAUUGGUGGACUAACCACUAUAAAAUCACUAUUCUUUAGAGAAACGGAGACAACAAAUGUUCCAAACCUCUUUGACCUUCAUCAUAAGUUAGUAUAGGAUGCAAUUAUGCAUGAAAACAGUAUUGUUAUCUUUUUGAAUUUUUUUUCAAAAUCUAUGUGUUAACAACUACGAAAAUAUUAAGUUUUUCGGUAAAUGUUCUAUAUACUAAAGCCUAUGAUCUUUAGUGUUGUUUUUAAAUUUCUAAACACAUUCUACAUUUUUAUAAACGUAUAUAAAACUCUAUUUCGUGGUACAUGAGCAUCGCUUUAAUUUUUUAUCAAUUAAUUUAGUAAAACUUCAUAAUACUCCCUAAAUUGGUGGACUAACCGCUGUAAAAUUGCUAUUCUCUAGAGAAACAUAGAAAACAAAGGUUACAAACCUCUUUCACCUUCAUCAUAUGUUAGUGAAUGAUGCAACUAUGCAUUAAAACAAUAUUUUCAUAUUUUUGAUUUUUUUUCAAAAUCUACGUGUUAUGUUCUAUAUACUGAAGCCUAUGAUCUUUAGUGUUUUUUUUUAAAUUUCUAAACACAUUCUACGUUUGUAUUAAUUUAUAUUAAAUUCUAUUUCAUAGUACAUGGGCAUCAAUUUAAUUUUUUAUCAAUUAAUUUAGUAAAACUUCAUAAUACUCCCUAAAUUGGUGGACUAACCACUAUAAAAUUGCUAUUCUCUAGAGAAACGGAGACAACAAAAGUUCCAAACCUCUUUGACCUUCAUCAUAUGUUAGUGAAGGAUGCAACUAUGCAUUAAAACAAUAUUUUCCUAUUUGUGAUUUUUUUUCAAAAUUUAUGUGUUAACCCCAACGAAAUAUUGAGUUUUUCGGUAAAUGCUCUAUAUACUAAAGCCUAUAUCUUUAGUGUUGUUUGAAAAUUUCAAAACACAUUCUACAUUUGUAUCAAUAUAUAUUAAACUCUUUUUCCUGGUACAUGUGCAUUGUUUUAAUUUUUUAUCAAUUAAUUUUGUAAAACAUCAUAAUAUUCCUAAAAUUGGUGGACUAACCACUAUAAAAUCGCUAUUCUCUUGAGAAACGGAGACAAGAAUGGUUCCAAACCUCUUUGACAUUCAUCAUAUGUUAGUGUAGGAUGCAAUUAUGUAUGAAAACAGUAUUGUUAUAUUUUUGAAUUUUAUUCAAAAUCUAUGUGUUAACCCCUACAAAAAUAUUGAGUUUUUCGGUAAAUGUUCUAUAUAUUGAAGCAUAUGAUCUUUAGUGUUGUUUUAAAAUUUCUAAACACAUUCUACAUAUGUAUUAAUUUAUAUUAAACUAUAUUUCAUGGUACACGGGUAUCGCUUUAAUCUUUUAUCAAUUAAUUUAGUAAAACUUCAUAAUACUCCCAAAAUUGGUGGGCUAACCACUAUAAAAUCGCUAUUCUCUAGAGAAACGGAGACAACAAAGGUUCCAAACCUCUUUGAGCUUCAUCAUAUGUUAAUGAAUGAUGCAACUAUGCAUUAAAACAAUAUUUUCACUUUUUUGAAUUUUUUUCAAAAUCUAUGUGUUAACCCCUUCGAAAUAUUGAGUUUUUCGGUAAAUGCUCUAUAUACUAAAUUCUAUGAUCUUUAGUGUUGUUUUAAAAUUUCUAAACACAUUCUAAAUUUGUAUAAAUGUAUAUUAAACUCUCUUUCUUGGUACAUGUGCAUUGUUUUAUUUUUUUUAUCAAUUAGUUUUGUAAAACUUCAUAAUAUUCCUUGAAUUGGUGGACUAACCACUACAAAUCGCUAUUUUCUAGAGAAACGGAGAAAACAAAGGUUCCAAACCUCUUUGACAUUCAUCAUAUGUUAGUGUUUUCAAAAAAAAAAAAAAAGAGGAUCGGUUUUUAUGGUUUGAAAAACCUCAGUAUGCAGAUUACGUAUGUAAAGUUGAAUGGUAGGAUGCAAUUAUGCAUGAAAACAGUAUUGUUAUAUUUUUGAUUUUUUUUCAAAAUCUAUGUGUUAAUCCCUACGAAAAUAUUAAGUUUUUCGGUAGAUGUUCUAUAUACUGAAGCCAAUGAUCUUUAGUGUUGUUUUAAAAUUUCUAAACACAUUCUACAUUUUUAUAAACGUAUAUUAAACUCUCUUUCACGGUACAUGGGCAUCGCUUUAAUUUUUUAUCAAUUAAUUUAGUAAAAUUUCAUAAUACUCCCUAAAUUGGUGGACUAACCACUAUUAAUUCGCUAUUCUCUAGAGAAGCGUAGACAACAAAGGUUCCAAACCUCUUUGACCUUCAUCAUAUGUUAGUAAAAGAAGCAACUAUGCAUUAAAACAAUAUUUUUGAAUUUUUCUCAAAAUCUAUGUGUUAACCCCCCUACGAAAUAUUGAGGUUCUCGGUAAAUGCUUUAUAUACUAAAGCCAAUGAUCUUUAGUGUUGUUUUAAAAUUUCUAAACACAAUUUAAAGUUUCAUUAAUGUAUAUUAAACUUUUUUUCAUGUUACAUGUGCAUUUUUUUAUUAUCAAGUAAUUUAGUAAAACCUUAUCACAUUUUAUCUAAAUUGGUGGACUUGCCACUAUAAUAUCGCUAUUCUCUAGAGAAACGGAGACAACAAAGGUUCCAAACUUCUUUGAACUUCAUCAUAUGUUAGUAUAGGAUGCAAUUAUGCAUUAAAAAAAUAUUGUUAUAUUUUUGAAUUUUGUUCAAAAUCUAUGUGUUUAACUAACCCCUACGAAAAUAUUGAGUUUUUCUGUUAAUGUUCUAUAUACUGAAGCCUAUGAUAUUUAGUGUUGUUUUAAUAUUUCUAAACACAUUCUACCUUUUUAUUAAUGUAUAUUAAACUCUCUUUCAUGGAACUUGAGCAUCGCUUUAAUUUUUUAUCAAUUAAUUUAAUAAAACUUUGUAAUACUCUCUAAAUUGGUGGACUACUAACCACUAUAAAAUCGUUAUUUUCUAGAGAAACGGAGACAACAAAGGUUACAAGCCUCUUUGACCUUCAUCAUAUGUUAGUGAAGGAUGCAACUAUGCAUUAAAUCAAUAUUUUCAUUUUUUUGAAUUUUUUUCAAAAUCUAUGUGUAACCCCGACGAAAUAUUGAGUUUUUUGGUAAAUGCUCUAUAUACUAAAGCCUAUGAUCUUUAGUGUUGUUUUAAAAUCUCUAAACACAUUCUACAUUUAUAUUAAUGUAUAUUAAACUUUCUUUCAUGGUACAUGUGCAUUGUUUUAAUUUUGUAUCAAUUAAUUUAAUAAAACUUCGUAAUAUUCCCUAAAUUAAUGGACUAACCACUAUAAAAUCACUAUUCUCUAGAGAAACUGAGACAACAAAGGUUCCAAACCUCUUUGACCUUCAUCAUAUGUUAGUUUAUGAUGCAAUUAUGCAUUAAAACGGUAUUGUUAUAUUUUUGAAUUUUUCUCAAAGUCUAUGUGUUAACCCCCUACGAAAAUUUGAGUUUUUCGAUAAAUGCUCUAUAUAUUGAAGCCUAUGAUCUUUAGUGUUGUUUUAAAAUUUCUAAACACAUUCUACAUUUAUAUUAAUGUAUAUUAAACUCUCUUUCAUGGUACAUGGACAUCGUUUUAAUUUUUUUAUCAAUUAAUUAAGUAAAACUUCAUAAUACUCCCUAAAUUGGUGGAAUACCACUAUAAAAUCACUAUUCUCUAGAGUAACGGAGACAACAAAGGUUCCAAAGCUCUUUGACCUUCAUAAUAUGUUAGUGUAGGAUGCAAGUAUGCAUUAAAACAGCAUAGUUAUAUUUUUGAAUUUUUUUCAAAUUCCCAUACGAAAAUAUUGAGAUUUUCUGUAAAUGUUCUAUAUACUAAAGCAUGUGAUCUUUAGUGUUGUUUUAAAAUUUCUAAACAAAUUCUACAUUUUUAUUAAUGUAUAUUAAACACUAUUUCAUGGUAUAUGGGCAUCGGUUUAAUUUUUUAUCAAUUAAUUUAGUAAUACUCCCUAAAUUAGUGGACUAACCACUAUAAAAUCACUAUUCUCUAGAGAAGCGGAGACAACAAAGGUUCCAAACCUCUUUGACCUUCAUCAUAUGUUAGUUUAGGAUGUAAUUAUGCAUUAAAACGGUAUUGUUAUAUUUUUGAAUUUUUCUCAAAGUCUAUGUGUUAACCCCUACGAAAUAUUGAGUUUUUCGGUAAAUGCUCUAUAUACUAAAGCCUAUGAUCUUUAGUGUUGUUUUAAAAUUUCUAAACACAUUCUACAUUUGUAUAAAUGUAUAUUUAACUCUCUUACAAGGUACAUGUGCAUUGUUUUAAUUUAUUAUCAAUUAGUUUUGUAAGACUUCAUAAUAUUCCUUGAAUUGGUGGACUAACCACUAUAAAUCGCUAUUCUCUAGAGAAACGGAGAAAACAAAGGUUCCAAACCUCUUUCAUAUGUUAGUGUUUUCAAAAAAAAAAGAAAAGAGGAUCGUUUUUUAUGGUUUGAAAAACCUCAGUAUGCAGAUGACCUAUGUAAAGUUGAAUGGUAGGAUGCAAUUAUGCAUGAAAAAAGUAUUGUUAUAUUUUUAAUUUUUUUUCAAAAUCUAUGUGUUAACAACCCCUACGAAAAUAUUGAGUUUUUCGGUAAAUGUUAUAUAUACUGAAGCCUAUGAUCUUUAGUGUUGUUUUAAAAUUUCUAAACACAUUCUACAUUUUUAUAAAUGUAUAUUAAACUCUCUUUCAUGGUACAUGGGCAUCGCUUUAAUUUUUUAUCAAUUAAUUUAGUAAAACUUCAUAAUAUUCCCUAAAUUGGUGGACUAACCACUAUUAAUUCGCUAUUCUCUAGAGAAACGGAGACAACAAAGGUUCCAAACCUCUUUGACAUUCAUCAUAUGUUAGUGAAAGAUGCAACUAUACAUUAAAACAAUAUUUUUGAAUUUUUGAUUUUUUCUCAAAAUCUAUGUGUCCCCCUUACGAAAUAUUGAGUUUCUCGGUAAAUGCUAUAUUUACUAUAGCCUAUGAUCUUUAGUGUUGUUUUAAAAUUUAUAAACACAAUCUAAAUUUUUAUUAAUGUAUAUUAAACUCUCUUUUGUGGUACAUGUGCAUUUUUUUUUUAUCAAGUAAUUUAGUAACACUUUAUCAUAUUCCCUAAAUUGCUGGACUGACCACUAUAAUAUCGUUAUUCUCUAGAGAAACGUAGACAACAAAGGUUCAAAACCUCUUUGAACUUCAUCAUAUGUUAGUGUAAGAUGCAAUUAUGCAUUAAAAAAAUAUUAUUAUAUUUUUGAAUUUUGUUCAAAAUCAAUGUGUUUAACCCCUAUGAAAAUAUUGAGUUUUUCUGUCAAUGUUCUAUAUACUGAAGCCUGCGAUCUUUAGUGUUGUUUUAAUAUUUCUAAACACAUUCUACCUUUUUAUUAAUGUAUAUUAAACUCUAUUUCAUAGAACUUGAGCAUCGCUUUAAUUUUUUAUCAAUUAAUUUAAUAAAACUUCGUAAUACUCUUGAAAUAGGUGGACUACUAACCACUAUAAAAUCGCUAUUUUCUAGAGAAACAGAGACAACAAAGGUUCCAAACCUCUCUGACCUUCAUCAUAUGUUAGUGAAGGAUGCAAAUAUGCAUUAAAUCAAUAUUUUCAUAUUUUUGAAUUUUUCUCAAAAUCUAUGUGUAACCCCGACGAAAUAUUGAGUUUUUCGGUAAAUGCUCUAUAUACUGAAGCCUAUGAUCAUUAGUGUUGUUUUAAAAUUUCUAAACACAUUCUACAUUUGUAUUAAUGUAUAUUAAACUUUCUUUCAUGGUACAUGUGCAUUGUUUUAAUUUUUUAUCAAUUAAUUUAGUAAAAUUUUGUAAUAUUCUCUAAAUUAGUGGACUAACCACUACAAAAUCACUGUUCUCUAGAGAAACGGAGACAACAAAGGUUCCAAAACUCUUUGACCUUCAUCAUAUGUUAGUUUAGGAUGCAAUUAUGCAUUAAAACGGUAUUGUUAUAUUUUUGAAUUUUUCUCAAAAUCUAAGUGUUAACCCCUACGAAAAUUUGAGUUUUUCGGUAAAUGCUCUAUAUACUGAAGCCUAUGAUCUUUAUUGUUGUUUUAAAAUUUCUAAACACAUUAUACAUUUGUAUUAAUGUAUAUUAAACUCUCUUUCAUGGUACAUGAGCAUCGUUUUAAUUUUUUUAUCAAUUAAUUUAGUAAAACUUCAUAAUAUUCCCUAAAUUGGUGGACUAACCACUAUAAAAUCACUAUUCUCUAGAGAAACGGAGACAACAAAUGUUCCAAAGCUCUUUGACCUUCAUAAUAUGUUAGCGUAGGAUGCAAUUAUGCAUUAAAACAGUAUUGUUAUAUUUUUGAAUUUUUUUCAAAAUCCCCUACGAAAAUAUUGAGAUUUUCUGUAAAUGUUCUAUAUACUGAAGCCUGUGAUCUUUAGUGUUGUUUUAAAAUUUCUAAACACAUUAUACAUUUUUAUUAUUGUAUAUUAAACUCUAUUUCAUGGUACGUGGACAUCGCUUUAAUUUUUUAUCAAUUAGUUUAGUAAAACUUCGUAAUACUCCCUAAAUUGGUGGACUAACCUCUAUAAAAUCGCUUUUCUCUAGAGAAACAGAGAAACUUAGGAUCCAAACCUCUUUUACCUUCAUCAUAUAUUAGUGAAUGAUGAAACUAUGCAUUAAAACAAUAUUUUCAUAUUUUUGAAUUUUUCUCAAAUUCUAUGUGUUUUUCAGUAAAUGCUCUAUAUAUUGAAAGCCUAUGAUCUUUCGUGUUAUUUUAAAAUUUCUAAACACAUUCUAAAUUUGUAUUAAUGUAUAUUAAACUAUUUUUCAUGGUACAUGCGCAUUGUUUUAAUUUUUUAUCAAUUAAUUUAGUAAAACUUCGUAAUAUUCCCUAAAUUAGUGGACUAACAACUAUAAAAUCACUAUUCUCUAGAGAAACGACGACAACAAAGGUUCCAAACCUCUUUGACAUUCAUCAUAUGUUAGUUUAGGAUGCAAUUAUGCAUUAAAACAGUAUUGUUAUAUUUUUUAGUUUUUCUCAAAAUCUAUGUGUGAACCCCUACAAAAAUUUGGGUUUUUCGGUAAAUGUUCUAUUUACUGAAGCCUAUGAUCUUUAGUGUUAUUUUAAAAUUUCUAAACACAUUAUACAUUUGUAUUAAUGUAUAUUAAACUCUAUUUCAUGGUACAUGAGAAUCGCUUUAAUUUUUUAUCAAUUAAUUUAGUAAAACUUCAUAAUACUCCCUAAAUUGGUGGACUAACCACUAUAAAAUUGUUAUUCUCUAAAGAAAUGAAGACAACAGAGGUUCCAAACCUGUUUGACAUUCAUCAUAUGUUAGUGAAGAAUGAAACUAUGCAUUAAAACAAUAUUUUCAUAUUUUUGAAUUUUUCUCAAAAUCUAUGUGUUAACACCCCUACGAAAUAUUGAGUUUUUCGGUAAAUGCUCUAUAACUGAAGCUUAUGAUCUUUAGUGUUGUUUUAAAAUUUCAAAAUACAUUCUACAUUUUAAUUAAUGUAGAUGAAACAACACUCUUUCAUGGUACAUGGACAUCGUUUCAUUAAUUAAUUUAGUAAGACUCUAUAUUUGGAGUAAAAAAAUAACAUACUAUAUAUUUCACUAUAUUAUAGAGUAAUUAUAUUACAGAGUGAACCAUUGAAGCAAAUCUAACUCUGUAAUAGAGUUACAAUAUUUUAGAGUGAAAUAUAGAUAAUUGUUUUGUUUACCAUUAGAGAUGCUCUAAGAAAAAAUAUUUUAUUUUGAAAUUUAAACUAUUUAUGUACAUUCAAAUAAUAUCAUGGGGCUUUAUAUGCAGAAUUUUAGUGAACAUACUAAAAUUGAAUUUAUCUGAUCUAAUACAUAUAUAUAUCCGAUUAAUUCAAUUGUAUCGGAUCAACACAUAAUAUCCCCUAUAUAUUAAUCCUCGAGCAUUACAACAUGUUUCGUAGCCACAUGUCAUCACGAAAAUGAUUCUUAGAAUUGUUAGAAAAAUAAGUUGGUCCAGAUAAACAUAUACUAUGCUUUUUAUUAAACUAACUAUCAAAUUAAUUAAUAGUAUACAAAAAAAUAUUUUUCUUUCCUUAAAUAAAAGCUAUGAAAUUACCUAAUAUGGUUAACAUAUAUAUGUGACAAUUAAUGAUUAUGAAUAAUACAUAUGUGAUAAAAAAAAUUCUAUCAUCUCUCUUUUUUGUUUAAUUUUAUACUAUUAAAAAAAAAUUAAACAAUCACAUUAAGCAUAUAAUAAAAACAAUUAGAUUUUUUCUUAUAUGUUAUAUUUUUUAAUUUUUAAAAACGACUAUAAAUUACUAAAAAUGGUAAAAGUCCCACAUUUAAAAUUUUGUGAUCAAUAGUCUAACUUUUUUUUGUUCAAGCAAGAUACAAAUGAUCAUAUAUCAUAGGGGUGGGCAUUCGGAUACAUGUUCAGGUUUGUAUCAUAUAUUUCAGUAUAAAGGUAUAGAACCUGUUCGGGUAUUUCUACACUUCGAGUUGGGUUCGGGUAUUUUAUGUUCGGGUUUGGAUAUUUUGGAUCGGAUUUGGAUAUUUAAAUUUUGAAGAAAAAAAAAAUAAAUUAUUCAUUGUUUAAGUUUUUUGUAUUUAAAAUAUAUUUUAACUUAGCUGUUUUUUUAAAAAUUUUAAAAGAUUAAACUAUUAAUAGGUUUGGAGAUAAAACUUAAAAAUAGAAAGAUACUAAUUUAGUUGUUGUUUUGAAAAUUUAGAGGCAAAUUUUGUUAAUGGAAAAAACAAGAACCUGAUAUGUAUUUUAAGUGAGUAGCAAAUGAUUUUGUCCAUAAUUAUAUGUAUAUUAUCUAAUUUUGAGCAAUAAGAAUCAUUAAUAUAAAUAUUUUUAAUAAAAUGAGAGAAAUAAACUAGAAAUAUAGAGUUAAGUAUACUUAUGUAUGGUUAUCUUCGGAUAUCCAUUCGGGUUUGGAUAUUACCCAUUCGGAUUCAGAUAUUACCCAAACUGGUGAAAUAAGUCAUUUGUUUUGUUGUUCUAAUUAGAUGAUUUUUAAACCGAGCUGGUGAAUAUAUACUAGACAAACAUUUAUAUUUCGAGUCUGCACUUAUAUUCUAUAACAGUUUGAUAUAUUAGAUUUGAACACUAACUUGUUAAUAUAGUUUGCGAGUGAUUUUUUUUCAAAAUUUUGAUUCUUAGAUAUGAAUAUGGAGUGAAACUGAUUUUUACAGAUGUCUAUUUUUUUAAUUGAUACUUAUGUAAUUCACUGAAUUCAUAAAAUAAGUUUUUAAAAGAAACUUAACUCAAAUCAAUGAAACAAAGACGAUAACGAAAUCAUAAUUCUAUAGAGGUAGAAAAUGAAAUCACUUAUGAAGAGUCAAUAGUAAACAAUCGAGAGCAGAAAAACUAAUCCCCUUUCAUCAUUAUAUAAUCAAUGUCGUCUAUUUGGUUUUGGUGAUCUCUGUGGCCUCAAAACUUAAUUUCUUUUUUUUUUUGCAUACGAAAUCUAAAAAUAAUUAAAAUGAGAUGUAAUACGUUAGCUCUUUAACAACGAUGAUAUAUUUAAGAGACCAACAUUUGUAUUCAUCAUUUUAUAAUGGAUAAAUAUUGUACGGUUGCGAAAUGUUAAAAUCAUAUUUCAUAAACGAGCAUUAUAAGAAUAUCAUCCAGCAUACAUAUAUUAGGGAUAUCCAUAUGUUUAAUUUGAGGGAUUAUCAACAAACAUUUUAGAGAUAGAAAGAGAGUGAGGAAGGGAGAGGACGAGAGAUGGAGAAGAACAAUGCGAUGAUGAUACUAGAAGAGAUCAAAUCUUCCGACGUAAGCUUCUUCUUUGUCUCCUCCAGCUUCGAUUAAUUUUCCAGGAAUCUGUAAAAAAACUUCCAGUUAAAUCUCGCGACUGUUCCGUACCAUCUUCGUCCUGCGCUAUGUAAAUUCUACAAUCCGUAUCCUUCCGAUUGCUUGAUUUAUUGUGUGGAUUGAGUUUUCCGCAGCUUAAAAUCUGUUAUCAGCUGAAUCAAUUUCGUUUUUGAUCCGUGUACAUAUAUGUUUGUAUCCUCUUGAGGUCUACGAAGAAGAAAGUACAUUAGGAGUUGUAGCUAUUAAGAAUGGAUUUACUGAAAGCAGUUGCAAUUUUUUUAGCACAUAAGGUCUAACGAGCUUUCAAUUUGUACAACAACAGCUGAUUGAGAACCGGGUUCAACUACUCACGCAGCUCGCUCAGUUAGAUACACAAGGGGAUUCUGAUGUGCCCUCUUUCCUCCAGAGCCUAACAGUAUCCACACUUUGUUGAAAUAUGUUCAGUUGUACGCUCUGAUCUCUAUGUGUUUGAUUGUUGGUUUUAGGGAAAAUAUCGUGCGAAUAGAGAUUCCAGGAUAAUGAUAUUGAACACUUUUGCACUGAAGUUAUUAUCUGCUUCAUGUUUGAUAUGUUUUAAGUGUUACUACUAUGGUUCACUUGGGCUAAGACAAUUAGAUAUGGUUUAAAUGGUAUGUUCUGGCAUGUUUCAUGUCGUUACCCAAACUGGUGAAAUAAGUCAUUUGUUUUGUUGUUCUAAUUAGAUGAUUUUUAAACCGAGCUGGUGAAUAUAUACUAGACAAACAUUUAUAUUUCGAGUCUGCACUUAUAUUCUAUAACAGUUUGAUAUAUUAGAUUUGAACACUAACUUGUUAAUAUAGUUUGCGAGUGAUUUUUUUUCAAAAUUUUGAUUCUUAGAUAUGAAUAUGGAGUGAAACUGAUUUUUACAGAUGUCUAUUUUUUUAAUUGAUACUUAUGUAAUUCACUGAAUUCAUAAAAUAAGUUUUUAAAAGAAACUUAACUCAAAUCAAUGAAACAAAGACGAUAACGAAAUCAUAAUUCUAUAGAGGUAGAAAAUGAAAUCACUUAUGAAGAGUCAAUAGUAAACAAUCGAGAGCAGAAAAACUAAUCCCCUUUCAUCAUUAUAUAAUCAAUGUCGUCUAUUUGGUUUUGGUGAUCUCUGUGGCCUCAAAACUUAAUUUCUUUUUUUUUUUGCAUACGAAAUCUAAAAAUAAUUAAAAUGAGAUGUAAUACGUUAGCUCUUUAACAACGAUGAUAUAUUUAAGAGACCAACAUUUGUAUUCAUCAUUUUAUAAUGGAUAAAUAUUGUACGGUUGCGAAAUGUUAAAAUCAUAUUUCAUAAACGAGCAUUAUAAGAAUAUCAUCCAGCAUACAUAUAUUAGGGAUAUCCAUAUGUUUAAUUUGAGGGAUUAUCAACAAACAUUUUAGAGAUAGAAAGAGAGUGAGGAAGGGAGAGGACGAGAGAUGGAGAAGAACAAUGCGAUGAUGAUACUAGAAGAGAUCAAAUCUUCCGACGUAAGCUUCUUCUUUGUCUCCUCCAGCUUCGAUUAAUUUUCCAGGAAUCUGUAAAAAAACUUCCAGUUAAAUCUCGCGACUGUUCCGUACCAUCUUCGUCCUGCGCUAUGUAAAUUCUACAAUCCGUAUCCUUCCGAUUGCUUGAUUUAUUGUGUGGAUUGAGUUUUCCGCAGCUUAAAAUCUGUUAUCAGCUGAAUCAAUUUCGUUUUUGAUCCGUGUACAUAUAUGUUUGUAUCCUCUUGAGGUCUACGAAGAAGAAAGUACAUUAGGAGUUGUAGCUAUUAAGAAUGGAUUUACUGAAAGCAGUUGCAAUUUUUUUAGCACAUAAGGUCUAACGAGCUUUCAAUUUGUACAACAACAGCUGAUUGAGAACCGGGUUCAACUACUCACGCAGCUCGCUCAGUUAGAUACACAAGGGGAUUCUGAUGUGCCCUCUUUCCUCCAGAGCCUAACAGUAUCCACACUUUGUUGAAAUAUGUUCAGUUGUACGCUCUGAUCUCUAUGUGUUUGAUUGUUGGUUUUAGGGAAAAUAUCGUGCGAAUAGAGAUUCCAGGAUAAUGAUAUUGAACACUUUUGCACUGAAGUUAUUAUCUGCUUCAUGUUUGAUAUGUUUUAAGUGUUACUACUAUGGUUCACUUGGGCUAAGACAAUUAGAUAUGGUUUAAAUGGUAUGUUCUGGCAUGUUUCAUGUCGUCCUUGACAGCAGUAUAGGCACUCUGGGAAGACGUCACAUGUCUUGACGUGUCACAGUGUUUGUUGAACAAGGCGAUUCUGCAUGUUGCUUCAAAGUACCUGGCUUUGGAUCGUUCUGAUUGCUCUCAAUAUUUUCUAGCUUUUGGUAUUAAGGUACAAUAUUUUCCCUUUUGCUGCUUAGUGCUGAGCCUCAUUAGUUGUUGUAUUAUCUUUUCUUACUCCACUUCUCGUAGGUAAGCCCAUGGUGUGGGAAACAUUUAUACAUGUCUGUUAUGUCCAUGGAGGAGUCUCAAGAGGAAGAGCAUUCUAACAUUUUCUUUCAGGUUGGUAAUGUUAGACGCUUCUGUAAGUACAAGUCUGUCAGAGAUUACUGGUCGACUGAGCUAUUCUAUCAUUCUUAAUGCAGCUUCUUUUGGAUUAUCUUCGCUUUUCUGCCUCAAGCUUUACUGCUAUUGGAAAAACAUGUUUCGUGAGUGAUGAGGCCUCAGCUGUUAAGUUUGUUUCAGAGCAGCUGAAUUUGACAAAGGAGGUGAUAUUGAAUGCCAAGGUAUCUUCCGGAAAUCAUCUGAACAAUGAAUUAAUUAGCAUAUGUUUUGACUGAAGUUACAUUUUCUACUGGAGGUUGAGAUUAGUGUUUAGCAUUGUUGUCAUCUGUUAAUAGCAUUAAUAGCUUUCACCUUAUUUUUGAAACAGAAAGUUGAAUCCUUUUCCUCGGAGAUUCUUAAGGCUGUGCAAGGGGUGAUUGACUCUAUCGUUCGUCUGUGCAAAGAGUUCUCUCCAACAGUGAAUCAGUGUGUGAACGAAAUGAAGAUUAAUGGAAAUGUAGGAAUAGCAAGGAUGGAGGAAGGCAACAGUGUAUGUAAUUUGGUUAGCAUAAUUACGAUGGGAAUUAAAUCUAUGAGCGAAUUGGGUAUGCUUGCUGCAAGAGAUGGUGGUAAUCUUGUGACAAUUCUUAAUACAUCAUGGAAGGGUGUGAUUACUUUGCUUCAGAUAGACAAGCAGACAUUGGCAUCUAAGGUAGAUGUAGGAGAAAUCAUUCUAAAGCUGAUAUCACUGAUCAAGGAGUCUCUGAGAUUUGCCGCUGAGGCUUGGUCUUGCUCAGCGAAGGAAAACAUAUCUGCAACAGAAGCCAGAAGAGUCUUUCUUCCUGUGAAAUUUUAUCUCAUCAAUGCUGUUAAAGUUGCGGCGCUUUUUCCAAGCCAGGCGUCUAUGGUGUUCAAGGAAAUAUCACUCUGCAUCUUGAUGAUCUCUGCGUUCAAAGUUUCGCUGAGCCAACAAACCCAUGGCAAACACGCAAGUGAAGUAAUGACGGAUCUUCUUGAGAAAACAACUGUAGAUCUUCUAAGUGCACUGUUGAACGCAGGCGAAAUAACACAAGAACUCAGGCUCUCACUUCUUGAUUCGUUGUUCAUAAAUGAACAAUGUUUCUCAACCCAAGUUUGUAACAAACAGGGCCAUGAUUCGCAGACAGAACCAUCAUUGGUGGAUAUCCUGUCUUUAUCUGUUGAAUCCGCAGCAAGUGCCAGAGGUUUGCUCCUGGCCCGAGUUGUACUGUUUCAGUCUGUCAUUAGGUAUUCUUCUGAGCUUGAAGAAGAUGCAAAGCUUGCAAUCACCAGAAAGCUGCAAUGGUUUCUCGACAUAUUAACAGACGAAAAGGUUUACACUUCAGUCCUUUCUUCUCAGCUACCAAUGGCAGAUGGUUCUGGGAAGACAAUAAUCUGGGAAUCGAUGUUUUCAGCUCUGCUUCUAUCUCUUAAAAGCCUUAUGAUUAUUCUGUCUUCAUCUCCUGCAUGGGAAGAGCUUGAAACACUCUUACUCCAGAAUCUCUUGCAUCCCCACUUCCUGUGUUGGCAGAUAGUCAUGGAACUCUGGUGCUUCUGGGCUCGUCAUGCCACUGACGAUACGGUGGCCAAUGUGAUCGAUAAACUUUGUAUCUUCAUGUUGUCAAUGUCAACAUCAGAAGCGCCUCUUUGUCCUGAUUCCGUUCUCAGAAGAACUGCAAAGUCCAUCUGCUUUCUUCUCACUCACAGCCCCAAAUCCUUAACAGCUCAAGUUUACAAAAACAUUUCCACUGAGAGCAGAUCUGAAUCGGCACCAGAUGCAUAUCUAGCCUUACUGUUAGAGGGCUUUCCGCUGAAUUUCCUUCCAGACAGAAUGAAAAACGACGCGAAGAAACAGAUCUUCGCAGAGUUCUUUCACUUCAUUGAGAAUUUCAAUCAGAAACCAUUAAGUUCCUCCAGAUACUCUGUGCAGGGAGGUCCAGUUUUCGCACUAACUGCUUGCAUUGGGAUACUGUAAGUAACUAUGAUAUCUACUCUUGACAUUUCCCUAGAAACUUAAACUGAAUAUCAUUUAAAACUUUUGUGUUGUGGUCAUUGUGGAUAUUGACUCUUGUCAUUUUUUCUCUGUAGGAAGAUGAGCAUACCAGAGAUUGACUCCAAAACUCUGAAGUUUGGCGUCGCUCUCAUUCAAAAGCUCAGAAACUCCAAAGAUGAAAUGACAAGGGACCGUUACACUGAGAUUCUCAGCGAAACACUAUCAAUCAUCUCAAGAAGCGAGCAGCUAUACACUUGCCAAGAGAUGGAUAAUGUCAUAACAGAGCUUCAAAGGCUUUUCAUUACAGAAACUGAUAACAGUCAGCAUCAUCUCCAUAAACUGAAGCCAAGCCUUGCUCUCUUCUUGUCAGGACUUAGCAAUUACGAGAUGUCUGAAACCGAAACCUGUCCAAAGAGCCGUGCAGUCUGGGAACUCUACCAUUUGCUUCUCAGGAAACGCCACUGGGCUUUGGUGCACCACGCGGUUACUGCGUUUGGUUAUUUCUGCGCACGUACUGGCUGUGCCCAGCUAUGGAGAUUCGUACCUGAAGACGCUGCUCUAGCUUUCGAUAUAGCUUCUGGAAAAGAAGCAAAAACAGAGCGGUUCAUGUCAGAGUUAAAGAUGUUCUUGGAGAAAGAACAAGCGCUUCUCUCGACCACAGCUUCACAAGAGGAACUCGAGAUGCUUUCGAAAGAAGGCACGCAGGUCAAAGCAACAGUGCAGAAGCUUUUAGAAGGAAGAAAGCAGCAGAGAUCAAUGGAAGUAGAGAAACAAUCGAACAAGAGAAGGAAGCUUCCAGAAGGAAUAUGCAGAGGAGUGGAGUUAUUGCAGAAGGGAAUGAAGAGGAUCAACGAAGGUUUAAGUGAGAUGAGUUCAGAUGAGAGUCAAGACUUUCAAAAGAGUAUACUGAAUCAGUUUUCAUGUCUUGAAGAUUUGGUGUCUCAUUUGGUAAGCCUCGCUGCUUCNNNNNNNNNNNNNNNNNNNNNNNNNNNNNNNNNNNNNNNNNNNNNNNNNNNNNNNNNNNNNNNNNNNNNNNNNNNNNNNNNNNNNNNNNNNNNNNNNNNNNNNNNNNNNNNNNNNNNNNNNNNNNNNNNNNNNNNNNNNNNNNNNNNNNNNNNNNNNNNNNNNNNNNNNNNNNNNNNNNNNNNNNNNNNNNNNNNNNNNNNNNNNNNNNNNNNNNNNNNNNNNNNNNNNNNNNNNNNNNNNNNNNNNNNNNNNNNNNNNNNNNNNNNNNNNNNNNNNNNNNNNNNNNNNNNNNNNNNNNNNNNNNNNNNNNNNNNNNNNNNNNNNNNNNNNNNNNNNNNNNNNNNNNNNNNNNNNNNNNNNNNNNNNNNNNNNNNNNNNNNNNNNNNNNNNNNNNNNNNNNNNNNNNNNNNNNNNNNNNNNNNNNNNNNNNNNNNNNNNNNNNNNNNNNNNNNNNNNNNNNNNNNNNNNNNNNNNNNNNNNNNNNNNNNNNNNNNNNNNNNNNNNNNNNNNNNNNNNNNNNNNNNNNNNNNNNNNNNNNNNNNNNNNNNNNNNNNNNNNNNNNNNNNNNNNNNNNNNNNNNNNNNNNNNNNNNNNNNNNNNNNNNNNNNNNNNNNNNNNNNNNNNNNNNNNNNNNNNNNNNNNNNNNNNNNNNNNNNNNNNNNNNNNNNNNNNNNNNNNNNNNNNNNNNNNNNNNNNNNNNNNNNNNNNNNNNNNNNNNNNNNNNNNNNNNNNNNNNNNNNNNNNNNNNNNNNNNNNNNNNNNNNNNNNNNNNNNNNNNNNNNNNNNNNNNNNNNNNNNNNNNNNNNNNNNNNNNNNNNNNNNNNNNNNNNNNNNNNNNNNNNNNNNNNNNNNNNNNNNNNNNNNNNNUUUUGGGGAAUUGCCACUAAUACCACUUUCCUAAUACCACUUUUCAACUUUACACUUUUCAAUUUUACCAUUAAAAUUUUAAUGGCUAAAGUACCAUUAUACCCUUAUUUAAUCAAACAUACACCUAUUUUCUUUCUCCCAGGAUUCAAACAGUUCCCAAAUUGAAUGACGAGAUUCACGACUCCGAGGAGAUUCUACGAUUAUGAUGAUUUCUCCGGCGAGAUUCGACGACUCCGGCGAGAUUUGAAGACGCUGACGUCCGACGAGAUUUGGCGAAGACUACAAGCUCAAACGAACAAAACAUGACGAAUGCGUAACAAAGGUGAGAGGAUAAUAUAUGGUGAUUUUCGUCUCUUUCUGUAGUUUAAUCUUUGAUUUCUCAAAAUCGAUCAAUUUCUGAGAAGGAAGACGAAGUCUUUCUCAUGAAGUUUUCAAAUCUCAAAUUUAUAAGACUUUCUAAAUUUAUCGAUCAAGAACAUAGUGCUUAUGAAUGAAGACGACUAACCACCAUCAAGUUUUUUCGAUUGUGUUUAUGAAUUCCAUGGAAGCUCCACUGUUUCAAUCUCCUUCUUACUUUCUCGAUUCAACUUAGUUUUAGAAUCUAUACCAAAAUUCCGCAAAAGCAAUCACUAAAGCUUUUGGAUAUCGUUUUUGGUUUCAGCUUAGAGUAAUCAGAAGAAUGCUGAAAGACUAAUCUUGUGACAAUUCUUAAUACAUCAUGGAAGGGUGUGAUUACUUUGCUUCAGAUAGACAAGCAGACAUUGGCAUCUAAGGUAGAUGUAGGAGAAAUCAUUCUAAAGCUGAUAUCACUGAUCAAGGAGUCUCUGAGAUUUGCCGCUGAGGCUUGGUCUUGCUCAGCGAAGGAAAACAUAUCUGCAACAGAAGCCAGAAGAGUCUUUCUUCCUGUGAAAUUUUAUCUCAUCAAUGCUGUUAAAGUUGCGGCGCUUUUUCCAAGCCAGGCGUCUAUGGUGUUCAAGGAAAUAUCACUCUGCAUCUUGAUGAUCUCUGCGUUCAAAGUUUCGCUGAGCCAACAAACCCAUGGCAAACACGCAAGUGAAGUAAUGACGGAUCUUCUUGAGAAAACAACUGUAGAUCUUCUAAGUGCACUGUUGAACGCAGGCGAAAUAACACAAGAACUCAGGCUCUCACUUCUUGAUUCGUUGUUCAUAAAUGAACAAUGUUUCUCAACCCAAGUUUGUAACAAACAGGGCCAUGAUUCGCAGACAGAACCAUCAUUGGUGGAUAUCCUGUCUUUAUCUGUUGAAUCCGCAGCAAGUGCCAGAGGUUUGCUCCUGGCCCGAGUUGUACUGUUUCAGUCUGUCAUUAGGUAUUCUUCUGAGCUUGAAGAAGAUGCAAAGCUUGCAAUCACCAGAAAGCUGCAAUGGUUUCUCGACAUAUUAACAGACGAAAAGGUUUACACUUCAGUCCUUUCUUCUCAGCUACCAAUGGCAGAUGGUUCUGGGAAGACAAUAAUCUGGGAAUCGAUGUUUUCAGCUCUGCUUCUAUCUCUUAAAAGCCUUAUGAUUAUUCUGUCUUCAUCUCCUGCAUGGGAAGAGCUUGAAACACUCUUACUCCAGAAUCUCUUGCAUCCCCACUUCCUGUGUUGGCAGAUAGUCAUGGAACUCUGGUGCUUCUGGGCUCGUCAUGCCACUGACGUUACGGUGGCCAAUGUGAUCGAUAAACUUUGUAUCUUCAUGUUGUCAAUGUCAACAUCAGAAGCGCCUCUUUGUCCUGAUUCCGUUCUCAGAAGAACUGCAAAGUCCAUCUGCUUUCUUCUCACUCACAGCCCCAAAUCCUUAACAGCUCAAGUUUACAAAAACAUUUCCACUGAGAGCAGAUCUGAAUCGGCACCAGAUGCAUAUCUAGCCUUACUGUUAGAGGGCUUUCCGCUGAAUUUCCUUCCAGACAGAAUGAAAAACGACGCGAAGAAACAGAUCUUCGCAGAGUUCUUUCACUUCAUUGAGAAUUUCAAUCAGAAACCAUUAAGUUCCUCCAGAUACUCUGUGCAGGGAGGUCCAGUUUUCGCACUAACUGCUUGCAUUGGGAUACUGUAAGUAACUAUGAUAUCUACUCUUGACAUUUCCCUAGAAACUUAAACUGAAUAUCAUUUAAAACUUUUGUGUUGUGGUCAUUGUGGAUAUUGACUCUUGUCAUUUUUUCUCUGUAGGAAGAUGAGCAUACCAGAGAUUGACUCCAAAACUCUGAAGUUUGGCGUCGCUCUCAUUCAAAAGCUCAGAAACUCCAAAGAUGAAAUGACAAGGGACCGUUACACUGAGAUUCUCAGCGAAACACUAUCAAUCAUCUCAAGAAGCGAGCAGCUAUACACUUGCCAAGAGAUGGAUAAUGUCAUAACAGAGCUUCAAAGGCUUUUCAUUACAGAAACUGAUAACAGUCAGCAUCAUCUCCAUAAACUGAAGCCAAGCCUUGCUCUCUUCUUGUCAGGACUUAGCAAUUACGAGAUGUCUGAAACCGAAACCUGUCCAAAGAGCCGUGCAGUCUGGGAACUCUACCAUUUGCUUCUCAGGAAACGCCACUGGGCUUUGGUGCACCACGCGGUUACUGCGUUUGGUUAUUUCUGCGCACGUACUGGCUGUGCCCAGCUAUGGAGAUUCGUACCUGAAGACGCUGCUCUAGCUUUCGAUAUAGCUUCUGGAAAAGAAGCAAAAACAGAGCGGUUCAUGUCAGAGUUAAAGAUGUUCUUGGAGAAAGAACAAGCGCUUCUCUCGACCACAGCUUCACAAGAGGAACUCGAGAUGCUUUCGAAAGAAGGCACGCAGGUCAAAGCAACAGUGCAGAAGCUUCUAGAAGGAAGAAAGCAGCAGAGAUCAAUGGAAGUAGAGAAACAAUCGAACAAGAGAAGGAAGCUUCCAGAAGGAAUAUGCAGAGGAGUGGAGUUAUUGCAGAAGGGAAUGAAGAGGAUCAACGAAGCUUUAAGUGAGAUGAGUUCAGAUGAGAGUCAAGACUUUCAAAAGAGUAUACUGAAUCAGUUUUCAUGUCUUGAAGAUUUGGUGUCUCAUUUGGUAAGCCUCGCUGCUUCCGAGUAAGAUAUAUACUUUGUUACUCCUGAAUACUGUUUGUUAGUCGAUACUUUCAAUUGUGCAUAAGGAAAAGAUGAUCAAACUAAAGCUGUGUUAAGAAAAAACAAAUUAAAUAUUAGCAAAUGGGCUGUCAGUAUGACAAAUUAUUAUGUUUUCAACCGAUAAUUCAGCUGUUAGAUUCUAAGUACAUCACGCUAAACUGUUGUAUACAAGUUUAUGACUAAUAGUCUUAUUUGCAUUAUGGAAUUUUUUCUAUUAAAUUAUAAUAAAUCACGUUCACUAAGAUUUGAACUCAAAUUUCUUAAGGCAACUCUAAUCAUAAUUCAACACUAAAUUUUGGUGUUGAAUUUUAUUUUUCAUAUCCAACCAUUACACCAAACUACAUACCAAAACUAUGUUAUAUAUUAAAUUUUUAGUUUAAUAAGUCAAUACUUAAAUUAUUUAUAGUUGAAUAAUUAUAUUUAGGGCAAUUCUCCCAAAUAUAUUUUUUUAAGUUUUUGUCACAAAAAUAGCACUCAAAAAAUAAAAUGACCAAAUAGCACCUUUUUGUUUUGAAAAUUUUAAUUUUAUUUUUUUAUUUUAAAAAUUUGAAACUCUAUCUCCAAAACUCCACCCCUUAACUCUAAACUCUAAGUCUAGAUUAGUUAAUAAAACUUAUUUUGGUAAUUUUCUUCCUUGAGGUCUAUUUUUGUGAAAAUAAACUAAAAAUGAUUAUCUAAGGGAAUUUCUCUUAUAUUUAUCUCAGUUUAUUUAAAAUAUUAUUUUUGUCUUUUACUUAAUUUAUAUUUUAUUUUUUAUUCAUGUAAAAUUUAGUUGAAAUUAAAAUUUAUGAAAAGUUCUUUUAUUCUGUUACAAUUUCAAAAUAACACUCAUUUAAUUGUAUUACUAACUGAAAAUAUAAAAUGAUAUUUUAAUGUUUAGUAAUGUCAAAAUAAAAAUGAAAAAUACUAGGAUAUAAUUAUUUAUAACUAUAAGUUAGGAAUAAUUAAUAAUAUUAGUUUACGUAUAAUUAAAUGAAAAAUAAUAAAAUAUAUUAUUUUAGUAUUUAGUGUGAUUAAUAGUAUUACAUCAAAUUUAGUGUAACAUAAUUCACAAAAUACCAAAUUUAGUGAAAUGAUGAUAUUUCUAUUGUUUUUUUUUCAGCAGUCAUUUCUAUUGUUUCAUUUUUUUAGCAACUAAGAUUCAUUUCUAUUGUUUCAUAAAAAAUAAAAGGGAAAUUGCCAAAUAUAACACUUUCAUGAUACCACAUUUCAUUUAUACCUCAACCAAUUUUACCAUUAAAUUUUUAAUAUGUAAAGUACCAUUGUAUCCCUAACUAAUCAAACAUACACCUAUUUUCUUUCUUCCACGAUUCAAACAGUUCCCAAAUUGAACGACGAGAUUCACGACUCCGGGGAGUUCUACGAUUAUGACGAUUUCUCCGGCGAGAUUCAACGACUCCGGCGAGAUUUGAAGACGCUGACGUCCGAUGAGAUUUGGCGAAGACUACAAGCUCAAACGAACAAAACAUGACGAUCUCUCACCACAAAUGCGUAACAAAGGUGAGAGGAUAAUAUAUGGUGAUUUUUGUCUCUUUCUGUAGUUUUAUCUUUGAUUUUUCAAAAUCCAUCAAUUUCUGAGAAGGAAGACGAAGUCUUUCUCAUGAAGUUUUCAAAUCUCAUAAGACUUUAUAAAUUUACCGAUCAAGAACAUAGUGCUUAUGAAUGAAGACGACUAACCACCAUCAAGUUUUUUCGAUUGUGUUUAUGAAUUCCAUGGAAGCUCCACUGUUUCAAUCUCCUUCUUACUUUCUCGAUUCAACUUAGUUUUACAAUCUAUACCAAAAUUCCGUAAAAGCAAUCACUAAAGCUUUUGGAUAUCGUUUUUGGUUUCGGCUUAGAGUAAUCAGAAGAAUGCUGAAAGAACCCUCCUUUAUCCACUUGUAAGUCUAAAUGAGACAUAUAAGCUUGUUUGGUAGUUGUCUCAGUGUGAGAUGCUUUUAUCUUUGGGUUGCUUAUGAAUUCUUAGUUUAGUAUGUGUCUCUUGCUUCAGUUUAUCCAUUGAUAUUCCUUGUUAAUUUGGAAAAGUUUGUUAAUUUGGUGAAUAUCUUGUAGUUUCAGGGCUAACUGCAACUCGAUCUGUGUAUAUUUUAGGUUAUAUAGAAGUUUAUACUACUUUUCUACUAGUUUAGCUAAUAGAAUGUUUUCAUUGGGUAAUUAUGCAUUUUGUGUACUUGUGCUGUGGGUAUAUAUAUGCUUUGGUUCCGCCGUUCCGGUCUUUAGUGGUCAUAUACUUUGGUUUUCAAAGCAGGAGCAAUCCGUUUCUUUUGCUCUAAUAUUUUAAUUAUCAGGUGUGGCAAUGUCAACUGGGCUAAGCGUUUAAAAUGUAAUGUCUGCAACACCAAUAAACCUGGUCAGAAUGAAUGUGGUGUGAGGUAUGACUCAAUGUCAAUGACAACCUUCCUUUGUAUUGUUCUUUAACAGUAUUCGAGCUGAGGAUUGGUAUUAUAGAUGCUUUUGCGGUGAAUUUAGGAUACAUUUAUAAGAUUUUUGUUCGAUAAUAGUAGUCUUCGUGUCAGCUUAUUCAUCUUUAGACAUGGCCUCGUAGAUAACUGGAAAAGGGGAAACAAUAUUAUCUUCUGAAAUUUGACCGAAUGCUUUCUUAGGUAAUAUGUUCAGUAUGAGAAAGCUCCUAAUGCAUCAAAAUGUGCUUUCUCACUUGAAAUGUUUUGGCCAAAUUAGUGUUGCAUUAAGAAACGUUAUGUUUCAGCCUGAUAGGCUGUUGUUCACUGUUCUCUUGGAAGACAUGUGCUUAUUCAUUUAUUUUCUCCAUAUAGGAGAGGUCGUGGUGGUGGCUACAAGGAAUUGGAUGAACAAGAAUUAGAGAAAACAAAGAGACGAAGGCGUGAGGCUGAAGAAGUAAUAGCACAUGCUUCUAAUGCAGAGUUCUUUGUUACUUCUUUUGUUGCAUUUAGUUCUUUUCUAAAUGUUUAUAAAUUAUUUUUGAGUUCCUUAUACUCAUUCUGCCUAGCAUUCCUCAAAGACUUCUCAAGUUCACACAUUUAUAUGUUUUUUAUAGACAUAUGCGAUCCACUUUUGUUUGAAAACUUCUUUAUAAAGACUUAUAUAAAUCGUCCAGUUGUACUUUUAACAAUAUCCUAAAAUUCAGAUUUAUAAGGAAUUAUAGUUCUGUAAAAAUGUAGUGUUUACUAUCCGAAAAUCUUAAUCUUAACCAGAACUAUUCAAAUAACAAGUCCAAAUAAGUCUUAUUUGUUUUUUUGGAUAACAGAAGGAAGCAAAUCCUAAAAUUAAUUGAACUCUUGUUUAAAUACUUAUUUAUAAGGAUUUAUAAAUCGUCGAAUUGUACUUUUAACAAUAUCCUGAAAUCCAGAUUUAUAUUUUAUAAAUACAAGUUCAAAUAAGUCUUAUUUGUUUUUUUGGAUAACAGAAGGAAGCAAAUCCUAAAAUUAAUUGAACUCUUGUUUAAAUACUUCUUUAUAAGGAUUUAUAAAUCGUCGAGUUGUACUUUUAACAAUAUCCUGAAAUCCAGAUUUAUAUUUUGUAAAGGUGUAAAAAAAUAUUUGGAACAAAUUUAAUUUUUAGUAAAUAACUGUAUGAUUAAUGUUGCAGAGAGAAACUCACACACAUUCUAAGACUAAAUUGAACAACAUUUAAGGAGUUGACGAUGUCGGUUUUUUAGAACAUAUUCGUAUAAAUUAUUUUUUAUAAAUUUUUCAUAAACUCUUAUAAAUUAUUUACAUACAGUUAUAAACCCUAGAAAAUUAUUUUAUUAACUCUUAUAACUUGUUUAAUAAGCAUUUCUAAAUGGUUAUAGACUCGUAUAAUUGAUUUCUAAACCUGUAUAUACCUCUAUAAACCUUAUAAAUUAUAUACAUACCCCUUAUAAAUUAUUUAUAAACUUUUAUAAUUUUUUGUAAUAAAAAUUUAUAAAUAGUUUAUAUACUCUAUAAAUUGUUUUAUAACCUUUAUAGAUGGUUUAUAGACUCUUACAAAUAAUUUGUACACCUUUAUAAAAGGUUUAUAAAAUUUAUUAAUUGUUUUUAAUAAAAUUUUAUAAAUGAUUUAUAAUCUCUUAUUAAUUAUUUAUUUAUCCUUAUAAAAUUAUUUUACAAACUUUUACAAAUUGUUUUGAUAAGUGUUUAUAAAUUGUUAUAGCCUCUUAUAAAUGAUUUAAAAGACUUUCCAAGUGAUUCAUAAACUAAUAAACCUUAUAAAUUGUAUACAUACCCCUUAUAAAUUGUUUAUAAACUUUCAUAAUGUUUUAAUAAACGGUUAUAAAUAGUUUAUAGACUUUAUUAAUUGUUUUAUAAAUGGAUUAAAGACUCUUACAAAUAAUUGAAACUACUCUUUUUUACUACAUUUUGUUUCUUGUAAUAGAAAUCAAGCUUGGUUAGGUUGACAUUGAAUGGUCUAGAUUCUUUAUAAAUAGUUUAUAAACCCUUAUAAAUGAUUUAUAAAAUUUAUAUAUUGUUUUUAAAAACUUUUAAAAACGAUUUAUAAAUCCUUCUUAAUUAUUUACAUACCCUUAUAAAUUCUUAUAAAUUAUUUUACAUACUCUUAUCAAUUGUUUUACAAGCCUUUAUAAAUGGUUAUAUAUUCUUAUAAAUAAUAUAGAGACCUUAUAAUUGGUUUCUACACCUAUAUAAACCCUUAUUAAUAGUGUACAUACUCCUUAUAGAUUAUUUAUAAACUUUCAUAACUUUUUAAUAAACAUUUAUACAGUAUAACCUCUUUAAAUUAAUAUUCUAUAAAUUAAUAUACACUAAAAAUCUGUAUAAAAUAAUAUAAUUUUAUAGUCUCAAAUCGAGUUUUGGUUCAAUUAAUAUGUCGAUAAAUUAAUAUCUCUAUAAAUUAAUAAUUAAUAGUGUACAUACUCCUUAUAGAUUAUUUGUAAACUUUCAUAACUUUUUAAUAAACAUUUAUACAUGGUUUAUAGAUUUUAUAACUUGUUUUAUAAGUCUUUAUAAAUGGUUUAUAGACUCUUACAAAUAAUUUUACUUACCCUUAUAAAUUGUUUCACAAUCCUUUAUAAUGGUGUAUGAACUUUAUAAAUUGUUUUUGUAAACCCUUAUAAAUUAUUUAUAUACCUUUAUAAACCCUUAUAAAUUAUUAUACAAACCAUUAUAAAUUGUUUUAUAAGUCUUUUUAAAUGCUUCUAAACCGAUAUAAAUCUUAUAAUACCACUUUUAAAUUGAAUAUAAACUCUCAUAACUUGUUUUUAUAAAUUUUUGUAAGUUGAUUUAUCAAUGUUUAUAAAUUUACUUUUGAUUUAUAAGAGUUUAUAAAUGUUAUUUAUAAGAGUUUAUAAAUGUUAUUUAUAAGAUAAGAGUUUAUAAAUGUUUAUUAAAACAUAAAAUGAUUUAUAAGGGUCUAUAAGUUGAUUAUGAGAGUUUUUAAAAUGACUUAUAAAAAUUUAUAAACUAAUUUAUUAGGAUUUAUUUGUUAAUUUAUAAAAUAUUAAAAUUUCCCAGCUUGCACACCCAUUUUUCUAUACACCUCCAACUAAUUUAAAGGUCAUAAGACACAAAGUGUCUCACAUAUGUAGUUUGGAAGAGAUCUAAGCAAUAUAUAAUAUAGAUAAAUCAAUCCAUUUAUCACCAAUUGGUUUUAGGUUGGAAGUUCAUCUAACUUAACAUUGGUUUAUAAGUUGAUUUAUAAUUUUUAAAAAUUGGCUUUUGAUUUAUAAUAAUUUUAAAACUGGUUUAUAAAAGUCAAACUAAUUAAGAAACACUUAAAACUAAUUUAUAAAGGUUUAUAAAAUUAUUUAUAAGGUUUGUAAACUGAUAUAUACAGGUUUAUAGACUAAUUUAAUAAGGUUUAUAAACUAACUUAUUAAGGUUUCUAAGUUAAUGUAUAAAAACCUUAUAAAAUGAUUCAUAAGGGUUUAUAAAAUGAGAAUCAUUAUAACUUUCACUCCAAUAGGUUUUUAGUAAGAAAAAAGAGUUUAUAAGGUUUUAUUAAACAUUUUCUAACUUACAAAAUCAUUUAUAAAUUUUUUUAUAAAUAUUUUUACGUGAAAAUGAUAAGAAUUUAUAAAUAUUUAUAUAAGAGGUUAUAAAUUAAUUAUAAAUAUUAAUCAGUUAGUUAUAAGAAUAUCUUAAAGCUUAUGAUUUUAUCUAUCCACUCAUGAUUAAUAAACAACUAUAGAUGAUUUAUAAACAAUCAUAAUGUUUCUGCCAAUCUCCCUCUCUCUCUUUUUUGUUGUACAUAUAUUGUGUAACUAACUGUAAACGAGUUUGAUUUCAAGUAAAAAAAUAGCUUGGAACUGCACAUAUGAUCUCUUGGAUAAUUUAAAUUUAAAAGAAACAAUUAAAUGAUUUAGAAAAGCUUAUAAGUCAUUUAUCCGGUUUCAUAAACCAAUUUCUAAGAGUUUAUAACUUAUUUUAUAAAGAUUUAUAAAUUAGCUAUAAAAAUUAUAAAGACUUAUAAAUUAUUUAUAAGAGUUCGUAAAUAUUGAAACAACUAUCAUCCGGGUGAAGUUUCAGAGAUUCUAUUACAACACCACGUGGAGCGUUUGCUUCUUUGCUAUCCCCAAGGCAUGGGUUCCAGCUAUCAAAUCUGGUUUUGGAUGAAGGUGAAGCCUGAAGACAAGAACUGGUUCUUGCUCUGCCGGAGAGUGUGACAUACAUUGAAGAUAUGCAUCUCAAGAUUUCUUCAGAGAACCUACUCGGGUUUUCCAUGUCAUCUACGAUGUGAGAUGAGCCUAGAAGAUCUUUAAGGGUAGUGUGAUGACCAUAAACAUAUCUUGUAUUCUCCUGCAAACAUCAAAUCAGUUAAACAAGUAUGCUAAAUGCUGAAGACCAAUGUGUUCUACUUACAUUUGUAAAAAAGGCUUUUAAGCUGGCUUGGAAACUCCAAGGACAUGAAGAGGAACGUUCAGACACAAGAGAUGCUUGAUAAUGGUAGCUGAGCACACCCCAGUAAGGUCUGAUUGUGAGACUAAGCUUGUUUCAGUGUGUGGAGAGAAUGAAGUAACUUGUUCAUCAAAAGAUGCCAUGUAAAGAGAGAGAAGAUACUGUUCUAUACGCAGAAUCUCAAACUCAAGUGCAGCAAUCUCCUUCUUCAAAUCUUCUGAAGACUGCACAAUAACAGAGUUCAUAUCUAAAGUACACUUGGUAACAAAGAAUCUAUCAAGUUUCAUUACAAAAGAUCAAAUUUUUGGCAUUACGUUGCAAUGCGAAUCCUUAUGAGUCAGUAGUCUCUUCUCAAUUGAUAUAAACUGCCAUGAAAAUGUACAGAAAAAUGUGACUUUUUUGGAACCACCAGUAAAGAGAGGCAGAUUAAGAUAAUAUCCAAAAGCUUCGCUUUUUGAAAAGAGAAUGGAAAUUACCGGUUCACUAUUAUAGCAAGAGAAUCUUGACAAUACAAUUCUCUAGCAACCACUAUCACUAUGUCAUCUCUCUCUUGACUAGUACUUAGACUAAGCUUCUACUCUAAAUAACAAUUGAAUUUUACAAACUCUUAUAAAUUAUCUAAUAAAUCCUUAUAAAUGAUUACAGUGCUAAAGUCUCAAUAAUCAGAGUCUUUAAUAAACUCGUAAACCCAAUUCAAAAAAUUUCAAAACAAAAAAUCACAUUGCAUACUCAUCUCAAAUCAAACAUUUACCCUCUUCAGAUUGAUGAAUAUUCUGAAUCUCAAUAUUGCAACAAAUCGUAAUCCAUAAACCUGAAAUAGACUUGAAUGGUAAAAACCCAGAUUCUACAAUCUCCUCAAACCUGUGAAGUGAUCAAAGAUGAUCUGAUGCCAGAGGUUUUGACGAUAAAUCUCAACGAAGGAGGACGACGGAUCUCAACGGAGAGAGACGACGGAUCUCGACGGAGAGAGAUAGAUCUCGACGGAAAGAGACCGAUUUCGACGGAGAGGGGCGAUGGGUCACGACAGAGAAAGAAAAAACACGACGGAGAAAAAGAUUAGGUUAGAGUAAUUUAGUCUUUUACAAAUUAAUGAAUGUGAUAUUUAUGAAAAUGCCUUUUGGUUGGUGGUAAAGUUGAAUAAAUGUAUCAAAUAAAGUGUAUAAGUAAAAUUUCCCCAAAAUAAAAUUACACUAAUUUUAUUUUUUUGGUGUUUUGUAGGAGUUGGCCUUCUUAUAAAAACAUUUAUAAAUUCUUGAUUAACCAUUAAUAAAUACUAUAUUUUGAUCCGCGCUUCGAAAACACAUGUUUAUUCUUUAAAACAUAAUUAAAAAAGAUAUAAUAUAUGUUAGUUUUUAUAGGUUUGGACAGUCUAUCCAGACUCGAAAAUUCAAACCAUAACCGAUUCAAAAAUGUUUGGUUCAUGUCCGAGUCUAGGCUAGAGUAAUUAUUGAAUUUCUUGGACUUCGGUUCAGGUACAAGUCCUACCUAAUACCCGUUCGGAAAUUUGUAAAUAUAUGUUUGAAGUUCGUUUAGUUUUAUAGAACAACAUUAUAUUUUAUACAUAAUACUAUUGAAAGUGGGUUAUAUAAAGAAGUUAAAUUAAAGUAGGCUUUUUGAUAAUGUAAAGAAGUUGAGUUCUACUAUAUGUGAAUACAUUCAGAAAAUUGAUCCUUUAAAUUACACAUUGGAGUCCAAAGUAUUUUAUAAAAAAGUUAUCUCCCGAUCCACGGAUGUAAAAAUCAAAUCUAACCUCUCACCAUUUAACUUACAUUAUUGUUUGCAAAUCUGAUCCAUUUAAAUCUAUCUUAUAACCCCAAGAUCAAUGGACAAAAUUGUCAUUAGUGAGAUUUAAACUUUUUCAUAAAUUUAGGAAUAGUUUUUUCAAAAACUGAUAGAUAUUAUCAUAUUAUAUUGAUAUUCUUAAUUAAUAAUAGAUAAUUUUUAAAAACAAAUAAUUCUAUAUACAUACAAAGAAAAAAGUCUUUAGCGUAGGAAUCAUGUAAUGUUAUGGUGUAUGAUUUUAUAGAUAUACAAAUAAUAUAGUAUAAAUUUUGUGAAAAUUCUGCUAUAAAAAAAAAUCUGCUAUAAAGAUUGAUAUUGCUUUGACCAAUGUUGGCUAAUCUUCAUGACAUAGACAAAAUGGUUUAUAUUUUUAUACAAUACUGUUUCAUCAAUUUUAUUAACAAUCUUAAUUGCCACAAAAUAUUAUAACAUGUGUUAUCAAGCUUUUGUGAUUGUUUGGUAAAUUUUUUUAUUAGAAAAUAAAUUUAGUAAAAAGUAAAAGAGAAUUCCAUAAUGUCGUAAAUUACAUAUAUAUGGUUAGAUAGAUAGGCUUAGUAAAUAGUAAAAUAAUAUAAUUCAUAUUUUAAUUAAAUAGAAGUAUAAGUUAGGUAGAAUUAUCCACAAAAAUAGGAUAAAAAACAAUGAGUUUAAUAUUAAUAACCUCACAGUAAUAGUCACAUAGUUAUAUAUAUAUAUAUAUAUAUAUAUUAUUCUUUUUUAGUUUGUUAAGUUUCUAAUAAAUAGGUCCAGUGACUUUUGCAUAGUAAAUUUUUGGGAUGAUUUCCUUCUAAUAGUAUAGAUUUUGUUAUUAUGUAGUCAACACUUUGUUUUGUGCAUGUCUCUUUGGGUGAGAAAUGACAAGUUUCACAAACACAUAUUACAAUACUGACCUAAUAUAUAUAUAUAUAUAUAUAUUUUUUUUUUGUUAAGUUUCUAAUAAAUAGGUCCAAUGACUUUUGUAUAGUAAAUUUUUGGGAUAAUUCUCUUUUAGUAGUAUAGAUUUUGUUAUUAUGUAGUCAACACUUUAUUUUGUGUAUGUCCCUUUGGACGACAACUGACAAGUUUCACAAACAUAAGUUACAAGACGGACCUAGUAAUAAUUAAUUUAUUACUCUUUGACUGAUUGGCUUGUUCAAUUUGCGUUUUUUGGGUCAAAAUUCAUUAAUAAUUAAUUUAUUACUCUUAAGAAGACGUUUGCAUAAUUACUACGAAAGCAAUAUAUAUAUGGACUAAAUAUGUUGAGGCAUCCCAAACUACUUCAAGUUUAACUCCAGUAUAACAAUCUUAUUGAGAAAUCCUGCAUCAAUGAGAAAUUCACCAAAACUUUGUGUUGUUUUUCUGAUCAUGGUUCUUUUGUUUGGUCCGAGUCAUGAGUUAGCACCGUUUUGGCCCGACACCACCGUCACAGUGAUAAAUAAUCUUGGAGGUCCACUUCUUACGGUUCAUUGCAAAUCCAAAGAUGAUGAUUUGGGGAUUCACAUAGUGGCUGCCAACAAAGAUUACCACUUUUCAUUUCAGCCAAAUGUAUGGAAAACAACACUGUUCUUCUGCAGCUUCCAAUGGAACAAUCAGGUCAAGCGGUUUGAUAUAUUUGAUGCUACGAGAGAUGAAGGUGUAGGUGAAAAAUUUAACUGGACUAUCAAACCCAAUGGUCCAUGCAAGCUUGGUAAAAAGGUUAAAUGUUUCCCAUGGAAAUGAUUUGAUAAUAAAUGAUUGUGAUGAUAAAUAUAUAAAGAUGUUUUUAGCAACAAAAUAUAAAAAAAUAUAAAGACGAUCAAAAUAAAAAAUAUAGUUUCCUUCGUUUCAUUGUGUUUCUUUUUCCUUGUAUUAGUUCAAAAUGUUCAGUUAUGAAGUUAAUAAUCUGAGAUAUUCUAUGAUAUUUGAAUUUACUAUUUUAUUUACUUUGUAUUUCAAUAUUUAAAAGAAAAAAUAUUAUAGAUGAAAAAGAAAAAAUAUUUACGUAUAAUAAUAUAUAAUCAGAGGAGAUAAGAACUGUUGGUUGCAGUAAACUCUGUACAGAAGUUUUUUUGAUUGAAAUAAAUUUAAAUUUUUUUCAAAAAAAAAAAAGAUAAGAACUGUUGGGAAAAAGAAUAUUCAUUUUGAGAUUUGACAUAAUCAAACCCUUAGAUAAUUGUAUAAGGUAACAGAAAAAAAGUUUCAAUAUAUAAGAGUACUAAGGCCCUUUUUUUUUUUUUUUUUUUUUUUUUUUUGUAACAGAGUACUAAGGCCUUAACUUCGACUAAUAUUACCAAAAAGCUAAACCAUGGAUCCUGCUGCUAAGGUCGAUGAAAAUCAGACUAAUAUUAAAGUAAAUACUAUUUUAUUUACUUUAAGGUAUUUCAAUAUGUGUUUUCUUUUUCACUGAAAUUACGUCCUUUUCAUUCAUAACAACUUAGAACCAAUACAUCAAAUAAAGAAUCAAACUCAAACGCCUGGCCCCUCUUAAACAAAAAAGGAAGAGAGCCAUUGAGGAAAGUCACUCGUUACAUACGAUUGAGUUAGCUUCUUUGUGAUCACACUCUUUGCAAUCAGCAAAGCUGGAGUAAUAGCCAAUUUCUUAUAUAUUAUGAUCUCUCAUAUUUUUAGAUUUAUACAAGUUUGUGUUAAUAAAAUCGUUUGGAAGGAGUCAGAGCAAAACUAAUCGAAUAGCGAAUUGCAUAGAGUAAGUAAGAUGCAUUCAAUCAAAACCGGAUUAAACCGAGAUAAACCUGAAGAAGGACUAUUAGUCUUUAUACUCCUCCUGGUUGUCCAAAAUGAAUGAAGGAUCUUCUUUCCACACAACAUCAUCAUAUGAGAACGCUUUGGCCAGACAAGAAACCAACUGCUCAUGAAUCACUUCUUCAGAAGGAAGCAGCAUAUCAUCUGUCUCUCUUCGCAGAGAUGUAACUUCUUUAUCAGCAAUCCCACAGGGCACAAUGUGCUCAAAGUACUUCAGAUCAGGAUCUAUGUUGAAGGCCAAACCAUGACUAGUGAUUCCAGAGGAGAUACGAACCCCAAUAGCACCAAUCUUUCUAUCUCCGACCCAAACCCCUGUCUCACCCUUGUGUCCUGCACGUGCUUUCACACCAUAAACAGAAGCAAAUUCGAGCAUAGACCGCUCCAACGUCUCUACAUAAUUCCUAGCACCAAUACCAAUGCUGCGUAAGGAAAUGAUGGGGUAUAAGAUGGCUUGAUGAGGACCAUGGAAAGUGAUAUCUCCUCCUCUUUGAGUAUAAUGAAGCUCAGCUCCAAGGCCCUUGAGAUCAGCUUCAGGGAUCAGUAGGUUGUGAUCGGUUCUACGUUUUCCGAGGGUAUAAGAUGGUGAUGCUGAAGAGAGAGGAGUGCAUCGGGGAUUCGAUUAGCUUUUCUGUCGGAAACUAAUUUGUCUUGAACUUUAAGUGAUUUCAAGUAGCUGACAGUGCCUAGCUUCCAAACCUCCAUGCAGGGUUCUAGGGGAUCUCAUUUCCUGCACAUCAUCCAUGAUCACUCACUUCAGCUCUAAAUAUAAAAUAUUGUUCUUCUUUCUUUUUGUCACUUACUAAUAUAACUGAUGAGAUCUAAACGUAUGACCAGAACAGAAAGGCAACAGUGUAGAAGCUUCUAGAAGGAAGAAAGCAGCAGAGAUCAAUGGAAGUAGAGAAACAAUCGAACAAGAGAAGGAAGACUUCCAGAAGGAAUAUGCAGAAGAGUGGAGUUAUUGCGGAAGGGAAUAAAGAGGAUCAACGAAGGUUUAAGUGAGAUGAAUUCAGAUGAGGGUGAAAAGUUUCAAAAGAGUAUACUGAAUCAGUUUUCAUGUCUUGAAGAUUUGGUGUCUCAUUUGGCAAGCCUCGCUGCUUUCGAGUAAGAUAUAUACUUUGUUACUCCUGAAUACUGUUAGUCUAUACUUUCAAUUGUGCAUAAGGAAAAGAUGAUCAAACUAAAGCUGUGUUAAGAAAAAACAAAUCAAAUAUUAGCAAAUGGGCUGUCAGUAUGACAAAUUAUUAUGUUUUCGACCGAUAAUUCAGCUGUUAGAUUCUAAGUACAUCACGCUAAACUGUUGUAUAAAAGUUUAUGACUAAUUGUCUUAUAUAUUUGCAUUAUGGCAAUUUUUUUUAUUAAAUUAUAAUAAAUCACGUUCACUAGGAUUUGAACUCAAAUUUCUUAAGGCAACUCUCAUCAUAAUUCAACACUAAAUUUUGGUGUUUUGGUGUUGAAUUUUAUUUUUCAUAUCCAACCAUUAUAUCAAACUAUAAACCAAAACAAUGUUAUAUAUUAAAUUUUUAGUUUAAUAAUUCAAUACUUUAAUUAUUUAUAGUUGACUAAUUAUAUUUAUCUCAUUUUAUUUUAUUUUAUUUGUUAAAAUUUGGUAAGUUUAUGUUUCCACAGUUGACAGUUUAUUUAAAAUAUUAUUUUUGUCUUUUACUUAAUUUAUAUAUUAUUUUUUAUUUAUGUAAACUUUAGUUGAUAUGAAAAGUACUUUUAUUCUGUUACAAUUUCAAAAUAACACUCAUUUAAUUGUAUUACUAACUGUAAAUAUAAAAUAAUAUUUUAAUGUUUAGUAAUGUCAAAAUAAAAAUGAAAAAUACUAGGAUGUAAUUAUUUAUAACUAUAAGUUAGGAAUAAUUAAUAAUAUUAGUUUACAUAUAAUUAAAUGAAAAGUAAUAAAAAUAUUAUUUUAGUAUUUAGUGUGAUUAAUAGUAUUACACCAAAUUUAGUGUAAUAUAAUUAACAAAAUACCAAUUUAGUGAAAUGAUGCUAUUUCUAUUGUUUUUUGAGAUUUCCUCCAAAUCACUGGUAUGACUUUGUGCAUCGUUCAUACUUCCGAUGUGUGGAGGGAACCAUUGCAGCUAUCCCUUGAAAGUGCAGCUAAAGGAGUACCUCCAGGUCCGUAGAAGAACUACUUGCUUGUUUGUCCUGGUAUUGGAAGAGGUAUCUAGAGGCAAACAGGGUUAAAAGCGGUAGAUAGCCUGGUUCCUAGACCAAACAAGGACCAGCUUACUUUUCGAGUGAGAGUCUCACGAGCCGUCUCUGUGAGAAAGGACUCUCCCAGACACGAUAGUCGAGGCAAGGAAAGCAACUUGGGUAUUGUUUGAAAAGCUAGACAGCGACAACUCAAUGCUUUUCCGUUAGGGGAAAGAAACCACUAGUCUCACCACUAUAUCUUCAAGGAAACCCUACUUCUUUACCAGAACUAACAUCCUCCAAGGGUUAUCUCUUCCAGUUUCAAGCUUCAAGAUCUUACAAAAUCUUAGAUCUCAGCCAUUCCCACUUCAAAUCUUCUCAGUACCUCGCUCAAGAUCAGUAAGAAAGAACCCCUCUAUCACCUGAACGGGACCUACAUCACAUACAGGAAGGUUUUCAGAAGAUAGAAGCAGCAUGGCUUGUCGUUUCACUAAGGAAGAAAAAGGAAAACACCAGUUGGCUGAUACUAACGAACCUAUCAUCAAAAGGAUCAAUGCUCCAUAUGUGGACACUGCAGCGCUUAUCAAAGAAAACGAUCUCACCCUCAUAGGCAGAGUUACCAACUCACAAGAGCAGAGAAUAUCGGCGCUCAUUCCAGCCCUACCUCGCAAAUGGCACAUACAAGGAAGAGCAGUUGGGUCAGAUCUUGGUCAUGGCUGUUUCCAGUUCAGAUUUGAAAAAGAAGAAGACCUUCAGAGAGUUCUGGACAACAGACCUUACCAUUUUCCAUACUGGAUGGUCAUCCUCCAACGCUGGGAACCGGUCAUCUCUGCCACCUUCCCCUCGCAAAUCCCCUUUUGGAUCUGUAUCAAAGGGCUACCGCUCCACUUCUGGCACGAGGAUAUGAUAUGUGACAUGGGAAAGGAGCUCGGAACACUGAUGAACCACAAACUCACCAAGACAUCUGCAAGAAUCAAAGUUCUGAUUGACGGCCUAAAACCUAGAAGAAAUACAUCUUGAAUAUGAUUCAGGGGAAGAGAGUCUAAUCUACCUGGAGUAUGAGAAACUCGAGAACCACUGCUCUUUAUGCCAAUCCCUCUCACACUUGAAGAAAGAUUGUCUCCACUUCUUGGAAGGCAACAAAACCCUAACAAGCCAAAAGAAUCUCGAAGAACCUAAGCAACUAGAAGAUCAGAACAACUAUGAGAGAAGAGCAACUCCUAUCGACAGGAGGAAUGAGAAAAUCUACAAAGACAAGGAUCUUAAUCAACGUUACCUAAGACUGGAGAUGUCUGAUUACAACAAGGAAAGGAGCCCAAAGGCUUUCAACGACAGAGUGGACAGGCACGGUAAUAGCUUUGGAAACAGAGUUGCAACCAAACAAACCAGAGUACCUCCGCCGGUCAAAGCGAUGACUGACAUGGCUGACACUACGCAAAACUGGCGUACUAGAACACACACUCAGGAAGGGGAAAACCAAGGUUAUGUCUCACCACCCUACACAAACAGGAGAGAUGUUAGGAGAGAGAGGAACUAUAUGCGAGCCCCUUUCCCCCAGAGAGGACUUAGUGAAUGGAGGAUCAAAACUACCAACCUGCACUCUGGGAUGGAACAACCGGAGCAAGCACAGGAUGAAAAUCAAAGAACUCAUCGAGACCUACCAACACACAAAAGCCUACAUCAGACACAAGGUGAACAACAAGCUGAAGAACAAGUGUUGAAUGAGCUCGACGAGGCCACGCUACUCUACCUUAGCUGUCCAGAUCCCACAGAAGCGGCUGCUCGAAAACAGAGAGUGAUGAAUGGGGACGCGAAGGGACAAAGGGAAGAAACAGCUGCUUUCAUGCUAAACUCACGUUCCCUCCAUUCAACAUUCCCAUCUGGAAGGAGCCAGGAAUUAAUAAACAACUCUAAGCAAACAAAGGAGUGAAUAAUGGAAGAUCUCCAAGAUGUGACGAAGCAAUACCUUAGCUGCACAGACCUCAUCGAAGCGGCGGCUAGAAAGCAGAGAGUCUUAACGGGAGAUGCGUCUGGCCUUAUGGAGGAAGCUGCUGCCUCAAUCUUGGCUGUUUCAGAGUUUCCCAGACGCCCUCUAUCUCCAUGGGAACGUGGAAUACGAUCAGUAAGCCCCUCAGCGCAGGACAAUCCCCUUAAUGCUCUCUUCUUAGCUGAUCAUACAGUGGUUCUUAGUCCCCAAGGAGGAGAAGAUAAGGAAGAAGACACGGGGGGUGACUCCUACUACAAUGAAGCAUCCCCUCUGCAGCCUCCAGCAUCCCUCAGUACUAGAAAGACACGACCACAAACGUUAAAAUCAAUCAUCAUAAGUCCGAGUCUAGAAGGGGAGGAAGAAUCGAGAGCACCUGAUCAACAAGAGAAUCGUACCGCGUUGGAAAAAGAGGAAACACUGCAGGAAUUUCAAAACAAAGUAAGGAAAACUAAAAACCUCUCAAGGAGCAAAAGCUUAAGAAGUAGCCCCACUCACUUAGGGCCUAGCUUAAAAAAGAGAAAGCUAGCACAACUGCACAACUCACCUAGCGGAGGGAGGAACAUAGGAGAGGGGACAUCUGGAGUUUCCUUCCGAAGAAAGAAAGCAAAUAAGGCAACAUGAGCUGCACAGACCUCAGGAAACCCCCCAAUCCAACUCAUUCCGGCGGUAUCACGAAAGAAAGCGGAUUUUCGGGCUGCUCCACCCCAGGCUUCUUAGUGGCACUGAGCUGGAACUGUUGUGGGCUGGCACUACAAGAAAUAUGAGUAUUGGUAGCAGUUCGCAGUAGCACGAAUUCACCAACUGCUACCAAAAGUCCCAAAAUCAGAUCACAAUUCUUUCGUAGCACUAAAUUCGCGCUAAGAUAAAAUUUCAUUAAGCGGGAAAGCAAAAAUCACUAUUAUAGCUGAAAAAAUAUUUUGGAACCAACACUUAACCAAUUUUUUGGGUUUUCCUUUACUUCUUAUGAACCAAAAAAAGAACAAUUCUCUUUUCAUUAUCUCUUCGAUUAAAAAAAAAAUAAAAAAUCUUAUCUCUCGUCGUCGUCUCUGUCCUUCUCGAGUCUCAUCUAUGCGUUUCCCCUUUGCUCGAUCUCGAGCUCCGACCACCACUCUGUGGUCUCCACUCACCCGCAAUCGAACACGGUGGCGCCUGAGUCCGUGACCAAACCACACCACGAUAACAUCUCCGUCUUGUUUCGUUCUCGUCGUCACCGGAAUCAUGCCUCACACCGUCAGAAUCAAAGUGGAGAAGAGCAACAAUGGCGUUUCGGCAAAAGGCUUGACUUUUAAAAACUUUCGAAAAUCGAUUCAUGGUUCUUGUUGUCUCUGUGCGUUUUCAAUCAUUAUAGGAACACUUCACAAUCGAUUCUGGGUUAAGUCUCUGUGUUUUUAUUUCUUCUUUUACUUUGUCUCUUUGGGUAAAUCUAUGUUCUUUGUAACUAACUCUUAUGUUGCGGAAUGAGAGUCUAUAAUCAUGGCGUUUAUUAGUGUUCUUAUGAGUGUCUCUGACUCUGAUGUUGUAGGUGUCUUUCAAGAUUAGGGUAUGAUCCAAAGCGGAUCUGAGAGAAACAGAGGAUGAGCUCGUUAAAGUGUUGGCAGGUUUAUGCUUCACUUUCAUUCUCUUGUGUGAAGUUUUUACUUUCAGUCAUGUGUUCAUAAUGAUGCUAAGGUUACAAAGAACUUGUUAUUUUGGUUUUUGAAGUUUGCCAGUAUCAGUAGAGAAAACAAGCGUUACGGAGUCCCCCUACUGCUCCUCCUCGUAUUCCUGCUGGCGCUUGCAGUGGAGCUGCUGUUGCCGUAGAAACUAGACCUGCUGAUUGUUGAUCAAGAAACUCUUGAAGGAGUAGUAGAGAUAAAGAGUGGAGUAGCGGUUUGUGUUGCUGUUGCUGCCUGGUUUGGAACGGUUAGGCUCAUAGACAACAUUGAGAUCAAGAGAUGGACCAACUUAUGAGCUAUCUCAUCAACUUAUAAGCUGUCAGGUCAUUGGUUUUAUAAACAUUUUUGGUCAUGGUUCCUGCAACCAGAUUACAACGUAAAGGUAGUUAUUGUAUGAUCUUGGUACUAAAUGGGUGUGAUGCGGUUGGCUCGUCCACUUUAUGAUGUUGGAGAUCCUUUUCUUAUCUAGCACUGUCUCUCAUGAUGAAGUGCAGUAAGAAGACAGAGAGGCUUGCUGUGAUUCAAAGGCUUUAACAGAUUAGAGAAAAGUUCAUGUUUGAUUUUCUUGUUGACACGGUGAAAAAACAAGAGAAUUUAUAUGGUUCAUAAUGAUAAUUAGAGUUUGUAAUUAUUAUGUCUGAGUGUAAAAUUAAAGUCUGAGUGUAUUUUAAUUUAUAUUUUAAUUAGAUAAAAAAGUUUUGUAUUUUAAUUUAUAUGUUUGAUUAAAUCAAAGGAUAAAAAUGAUAAUUAUACUUUUAGAUUAA